AACUAAAUAUGAGUGUAGAAGAAGCUGAUAUGCUAUCUUACGUAAACGACUUAUGAAGCUCGAAUUACUAAUCGAGCGAGCUCGAACUGCUCGAUUAGAUGUUCGAGUCGAGCUCGAUUGUCGUGUGCUCGAGCUCGACUCGGCUAGUUUAACAGCAAGGUAACAUGCAUCAAAGCAGGCUUAUUCUCUUAGUACUUUUUUUUUUCUUUUUAUAAAACACAGGUGCAUUAACGCACGACAGAAGCACCCUAUCAAUCUAAGAUCCCAGCUUGCUUGUAGCUUUCGAUAGAGUCAACAAGAGUUUCUUCCACUGGCCUAUACCUCCAGCCCAGCCUCUCCAAUUUUUCUGAGCUAAUAUUCCAUCGGCUUUGAUCCUUCACCUCUAUAAGUCUGCGAAGAAAUGAGUUAUAUCAAAAAAUAUGCAGACAACAUAAAUGGUUCUUGUAGAGACUCGUAGAUGCCACACUUUUGGAAAUGGAAAUCAUGACGGACAUGAACAAACAAGAAAAUCAGGACAAACGGGGUGUCUGAAAAAUGAGACAAUUAAUUUCAAAGAUGGUAAUCCACCUCUUAGGGUACUUGUAGUUGGCAUAGUUUUUCCUCAGAGUUUCCACCAUAUCUUUUGUCGUGGUGACGUGAGGUGAACAUAUGUACCGGCCUUCAGCUUCAGGUCUCCCGUAAACCAAAAGCAGUGCCUCGGCCACAUCACGCACAUCUACUGUGUUGUAGAAUUUGUUUUCUGUUUCUUCACAUCCGUCUGUGCAGCCAAGGAGUGAAACAAAAGAGCAGUUUAAUCUCAAAAAAGGAGAUGUUAUCUGUGCUAAUCUCUGAGUUCUUUACUGCAUAUAUGAAACCUACAAUCCCUUUGACAAAUAGUACAGCAAUAAAUUCAUGGGACUUUUGAAUUGCAAAGGACCUACAGGUCACAAUGUUAACCUUUUAUAUCUUCAACAAUGCUCCAAAGCAAAUCAAGCAAACAGUUGAAAGAUGCAACCUCUUCAGAUGUUAUGCCUAUUGUCUGUCUCAUCUUCCAUUAGGUCAAACUCACACAAUUUUCACAUCAAUAAAAUUUGAAUCGCUUGUGCAUGUGUCUGGAAAGAUUACAUUAGCACAAUUUAGUAUUUUUGGCAGCACUGCUCGUUUAAAUUUCCCUGCCAUCAAGCAGAAAAUUUAAUUCCAUUCCAACAGUAAAAGCCAAACACCACAAUCUUAGUUUUUUUUAGAUAACUUUGCAAGUUUUUAGAGCAUUGCCAAAAUCAUAAAACUAUCAGAAUGGCAGAUAGCUUACAGGUUUAGAAUCUGAAAACCUCAGCUGGCUUGAAGAUUAAAUAAAAAUGCCAAAAGACGGCAAAGCAGUUAUCUCCAUGAAUGUAGUUUCAUUCCUAGAAGGUCAACCGCAACCAGAUAGACGGAUUUUGUGAAAUUUUAUUGGCAUCAAUUCAUUGUGUAUCAUGUAAAUAACACUGGAAGCCAGAAGCAUAAAAAUGAUGGGUUACUUGGAAAAUUAGCUGAUCAACCACAUGAAGAAAUUCAAUUGUUUGACCUUUCAAGUACAAAAAAAGGAAAAAAUUGCUAAGCUUUAGAGGUCAUCUGAGUUCUAGAGUGACAUCCAUGCUCACUUAGGCACAAACCAAUAUCAAGGAGAAAACUGUAUCAUUUACGACCACUUCCAUGCAGAAGGUGAAAGAAAGAAAAAUAAAAUAUAACAUAACGGAAUAAGUUCUCCAAUUGACUACAAAGCACUAAUAAAUCACCUUUCAACAGCUUUAUAAGAGCCAGACUGCUAGCAUUCACAUCAUGCUGAAGCAUGGGGCCGAGAACAAAGGAUGGGCAUACAGUUAAAACAUCAAGGCCAGUUUCUUUUGCAUAUUGUAAUGCCUCACUUUCAGCAACCGUCUUGGAGUAACAAUACCAGUUCUGGAGCAAUAUUAGUACUAGAUGGUCAGCCAGAAACAGAUAGUAGUUGCAAAAAUCUGAUUUCUCAGCAAUCUUAGAAACAGUAUGAAUAAGACAGUGAAUUUUCUGCACAAUUACAACACCAAGGUGCAACUGCAAAAAGUCAAAUUAUGUUGAUGCAUACAUUUGUUGCCUUGCAGUAUUCGCCGUCUGACCAACACUUCUCAUCUAUGAUUUCACCUUCAGGCAGAUUAGGACUCAUUACAACAGCUGCAGUAGAGGAAACAACUACAACGCGCUUGACAUUUGCUUCAGAACAAGCCUUCAGUACAUUAAGGGUACCCUUUACAGCUGGCUCAACAAGUUCAACCUGCAACAAAUCAUCAUGUUGGCAGAGGUACUAGCACUCAACUCUUCAUGCUGAACUGCUUGUUUUUGCGUAAAAUAUAUCCAGAUAGACAGCUAAGUAGUGUCAGUUAACCUGACAUCUUUAGAGUGAAUGAGUACAUAGUUAAAAGACUCAUGACUGCUUAUGCCUGUGAUUUAACUUGGUUACCAGCAUAGGUUAUUAUUAUAUGCAUUUAUUCACUCAUUUCAACAUUUGAAAAAUCCUUCCACGAAAUGAUAGAAAGACAAAGAGCCCCAGUGACUUCAUAAGUUUGUACAAACGCUUUAACAAGGUUCUAUUUUAAACGAUACCCAACUUUAGCUCAUGUUUGGCAAAACGCAAUAAAAUAUUAUCUGUUAUGACAAAAGCUGUCUCAUAAACAAAAGAUAUGUUAAAAAUGUUAUUCUGGGGAAACCAAAAGGAAGAAAUAUCAUAGCAAUUGAAACGAUUGAAAAUGGUCUUGCCUCAGGAUUGGGAACAGAGCCUGAAGGAACAGGACUAGCUACAUGAAAUACGCCAUCACAACCCCUGAUGGCUGCAGAAAUGGAGUUGUAAUCCAGCAAAUCAGCCUUAAAGAGUUUCAAAUUCUCAGCUGCUUUGUCAAGUUUCUUCAGAUGAACAUAUUUCUCAUCGUCUACAAAACAUACACAGCAAUGCCCACAUCAUCAAGUAACGAAGCACACAAUUCACAGCAGGUGCUUUUAUAUAUUUCUUCAAUUAAACAUAUUUCUCACCCUUCACAAAACAUUUACAGCAAUUCCCACUACAUCAAAUAGGAAACAGCCAAUUGACAGCAGGCAAAAAAUCAAUUGCGGUAUUAAAGGGAAUGAAACAAUCAUACAAUACCCAAAACAAAAACAAAAAAAAAACGAGUAGUAAAUCAGGAAGGAAGGGUUAUGAGGAUGAAAUACGUACUGGGAUUUCUGAGGGUGGCAUGAACAGUAUAAUGGCGGGAAAGGAGUAGCUUGACUACCCAAGAUGCCAGGUAUCCCCCUGCUCCUGUAACACACACUGUCCUGUCCUUCUUAGCCUCCCACGCUGCCAUGUCUGAUUGCUUACCAGUAGCAGUAGCGGGAUUAGUAUUUUAGCACCAAAUUCACUAUAGACUGAUCAAGAAGGUGGGUGAAGUUCUAUUCUUUUCUUUUUUAUGAAUAUUAAUUCUUUUUUGGUUGGACAAGGCAGAGAUUUCGUCGAUUCUUAAAGAGGAGGACUGAAGAAGAGGGCGGUUGGAAGAGGAGGAGGAGGCGGAGGUGGUGGUGUUGGAAUUUUGAAUAGACGAGUCCUGUAUGUAUGAGCUAGCUGAUUCCAGCAGCCUCUGUCAAUACUAGGAGUAAUCAGCAGCUGGCAGGCUUGGGGCUUAUAUAUAGCAGCAGACCAAUGGUCCUGUUGCGAUUUGCACGGCUCAUGGAAGACGUAUGGUUUCAACGCAGGGUUGGGCUGGGUGGGUGGGGAAACGGUACUAAUGAUAAAUGUAUGUAUAAUGAAAUUUGAGAUAUUCUAGCAAUCUGUUAGUAAAAUUUAUUUUAUAAAAAAAAAAGGAGUAAAGGAGCAUAAUAUUAUUAAGUUAUAGUAAAACUUGAUGCACAUAUCAAUAAAACAAGAUAUUCUGUGCAUUUGAAUACAAUAGUAUAAUAUGAUUUUACCAUUGUCGGAUGUUUAACAAAUUUAUUUAUUAAUGGAUAUUAAAGUGUUACAUUUUAUCUCAUAUUUUCCCAAUUUAUGACUCAGAUUUUAAAUUGAUUAACUCAUUAGAGAAUAAAAAACUCAUCCCGUUGCUAAAUUGGACAAGUGACAAAAACUCAUGUCCAUAAUGGGAUUUUGCUUCUGACUCAAAUCCUAUAAUGCGAACCAAACCCCAAAUCACUCCAUUAUAACGGAAACACAAACUAAACUAUUUAAUAUUCAAAUCAAGUUCCGCUCAAUAACAGUUUGUUCGAAUUUGAUUCGCAAACUAAUCUAAUCAAGUUAGAAUAACAUUUUAUUCAAAUCAAGUUCCGCUCAAUAACAGUUUGUUCGAAUUUGAUUCGCAAACUAAUCUAAUCAAGUUAGAAUAACAUUUUAUGUUUGAAAAAAUUUUAACUGCAGCUCAAGCUUAGCUCAAUAAUCAUAAAAUUGGAUUUUAUAGAUAAAAAUUACUCGAACUCGACUCAAUAAAAAUUCUUUUGAACGUGACUUAGUAAAUAAAAAAGCCAAUCUUGAAUACUAUUUCAAAAUUCUUUAAAAUAAAUAACAAGAUACUUGGUUUGAUUAGACACAUUCACACCCCUGUUUUUCAUAUGCUCGAUAACAUAUAUUUUUGCCAUUGAAUUUUGGGACAUGUUUAUCAUUUUUUAAAAUCUUUUUUUUUAUUUCUGGCUUUUAUAGGAAAAAAAAAACUAAAGGAUGUGUUCGGAUAGGAGACCGAUAAACUUUUCUCUCCCCCUCGCGCCUAAUUGCAGGUUAAAAGCAGUGUUUUGAAAACCGGACCGGACGGCCGGUUCGACCGGUUGGACCGCGAACCGGCCAUGAUUCCGGUCCGAUUCUAUGCUAUAGUUGACCAGGUUAGAAAAAGCCGGUUAAACCGUGAAAACCGCCGGACCGGAUUGAACCGGCGGUUUUCGGUUUUCGAGAUUUCCCUUUUUUUUUUUUUUUUUUUUUUUUUUACGUUUUGCAAAAUGCAGCUAUCAAGAUUCGAACUCAAGACUUUUGUAAUAGAAGACCAAUGUAGUAACCAUAGUAACCAUUGCACCAUCACAUCUUAUUAGUUUUUUUUGAUAACUUGUUUAUAUAAAACAAAAACUCAUAUUUCUUUUUGUCAUUUUUUUUACAAAAUCUAAUCCUCUCAUAGCUCUUUCUUUUUAAUCUUCAACACACACACACACACACUCUCUCCUCUUUUUUUUGUCACUCUCUUUUUAAUCAAACCACUUUAUUUUUAAUUUAUUGAUGUUUUCUUCCAUCUUUUAAUUUUAUUUUUGUCCAUUAAAUUAAAAAAGGUUAAAAAAGAAUUAUUUUUCUUUAACCCAAAUUAUUUAAUGCCACAACCACUCACUUUUAUCUCAUUUUUUAUUUCUUAUCAAGUUUGCAUUUCUAUUUUCGAUUCUCUUGACUUCUUUCGAGCUCCAAAAUUCCUUUUUUAAAUUGCAAUUUCUAAUCCCAAAACGUAAAUUAAAAUUUAAGUUCACAAAAUCUAAAUUCUCAUAGACAUGAAUUUUGUAUAAUUUUAAAAUAUUAUGAUAUUUUUGGGUUAGAUCUAAGAUUUUUUUGGUAGAUAUAAUUGAAAUUGAAAUGAAAUUUAUUUGUUUUAACUUAUAAUUUAAAAUUUUUAUUUUUAAAAAAUCAAGUUAUUCAAAAAUAGUAAACUUUUCAUCAUAUAAUGUAUUAAAUUAGUCCAUUACAUGUCUUAUUUUGUGCAUAAAUAUUUACAUAAAUUAUUUUUAAAAAAAUUCAUUGAACCGAGGUUGAACCGGUCCGACCGGUUAAAUCUCGACCUUUCACGUCACCGGUUCAAUUAACGGUCGAUUUUUAAAACAUUGGUUAAAAGGAAUAUCCAGUUCUUAGAUAACUUUUCUAGCACAACUCUAGUUGUCAGAAAACUGGUCUACUUUGACUGUGGGUUUUCCUUUAGUCAGGCCAUUUUGUCAUUAGUGAUGAUUGCUUCUUCUAAACCUUAGCUAACUGCACACGCCAUGCGCAUGAAACUUCUUCUAAACCUUAGCUAACUGCACACGCCAUGCGCAUGAAAAUCCAAACUUCAAAUAAAAUAAUUUGAACUCGUCAACUUGCAAAAUAAGAUAAUUUGGGUUUCGUCUGAUAUGAGUAGUAAGGGAAAAUUUAAUUACUAUAUUUAUGAUUCUUGACUAAUGUGAUUGCUCAUCUAUCACCACGCAUCAGUUUAAUACCUUAUCUUCAUUUAAAUGUGACGAUUGUAGAAUUGAUGGCUGAAACUGAAAGGAAACUGAAAAAGAAAUGUCAUGUGAGUGCAUAUGCAUGGUUAAAACAAUACUCCCACAAAUUAUAACCAAUUCGAUCCCUUGUUUUUAAGGUUUUGAUCGUUUUGGUUCCUUGGUAUCAUGACAAGCCAAUUUUGCCUCUUAAAUUUAAAAAUAUGGUUAAGGAGAUCCUUUUGAUGGAAAUUUGAGUUGCUAAUGAAGUGAAGAGACCAUUUAGUGCCUUUCGUGUCACAUCCGUCUCAACACUAUAUUAAAGUUUCAAAAAAUCUCAAAUAAGUCAUAAAACUCAUAAAACAAACCCCAAAACUCUUUAUCGUGAAGAAAAUAAAUUUUUAUAACUUUAAAAUAAAUCAAACACAAAACCUUAAACAUAAUUAUGGAAUUUGUGCCAUUUUCGAGUUGAAAUAUCAUGAAAAGGAGUACCAAAAGGUGAAAGAAAAAUGCAUAAACUUAUGUUUGACAUAGUAUUAAAAACUUUUAUUUCAUUAUAUUGAAGAGUUUUGGGUGAGUUUAGGCUUUUAGGAUUUUAUUUGAAUGCUUGGUGUUUUCUGCGAGAUGGCACGAAGUACCCUCUAAGGUCUCUUAACUCCAUUAACAACUCUAAAUUAGCCUUGACCAAAUUCUUCAAAUUUAAGAAAAAUUGGUUCGCCAUAAUACAAAGGGACUAUUUUGUUAAUACAUUGGAGAUAAGAAACCAGAUUAAUUAAUUUUUGUUGUUUGCGUAACUCAAGGGAUUUCUCCGUUAGCUUCCCACAAUUUUGCUACAUUAGUCUCUUUUGAUGGAGAUAGAGCACCAACUCACAGUUGUAUUAGAACUUCACUUACGCUAUAAUCGUUAGGAUUUUCUUAUAUUCAUCCGACUACUCAAUAAGUAUCCUAUUUUAUAAUAACUAUCCUACACCUCUUCAAAGCCUGAUAAGAUGAAGAAAAUCUCUUUACUAGCAUCUUAAUGCCUUAUAUCCAGUAUUGAGGGAAAAAAUUUAAUCACAUUACAGUCUGAGAAUUUGAAUCCAGCAAUUUCACGGUCUGAUGUAGUCACCCCAAGUAGGUUCUCCAGUAAAACAGGGUAGUGAGGCAAAAUGUACAUCAAAUAGGUCAAUUGUCGAGCCCCUCGGGGUUCGGUUCCGUGGUUGUAGCCCCAGUUGGGGGAGAGCCACGUCCAGGGAUCGAGUCCCCGUUCUACCGUGGCUGGUGAUGCUUGAGGCGGGCCGCUCCCAGCCCGCAGUGGAUUAGUUGGGCCGUACGGUAACCAGUCAUGGGUCCAGAUACCCACUGUGAUGAAAAAAAAAAAAUAGGCCAAUUGUCGAUCUUUGAUUAUGUCUACACUUUCAAAAGAUAGGCUUAAUCAUAUUAGUGGAAAUAACUCAUAGUUCAUCAUAUAUUAAUUUGCUAUUCAAUUUAGUUUGAAUACAUGAUCAAUGUUAUUGUAUGCCAAAAAAGAUUGAGGAUACUUUUGACCUAGUUCUUUGCACUAACUUGAAAUCUUCCAAUUGUUCUUUCUUUGAUGCACUUGCAAAAUCUCCUGCAAAAGUAAAAUAACUCAGUUGGUGAAUUUUGGCUAACUGAGAGGCCCAUCUUCUUUUUACUUCUUUAGCACAAGCGAAGAAUGAAUUUAUGCAUAAUAACCGUGUGAUUCUAAUGAGAUAUGAUUUUUUUGGUUUUGCAUGCUGGUUAAACAAUUGUUCAAGCUCUUAUCUUGGUUUUUGAUACUUCACCGGUAUGUGGAUGUUGCUGCUAAAGAAAUUUACAUUUGUCAUUAGAAGAAUUUUCUAUUUUAUGACUGGCAAGUGAUUUGGUAUCUUAGCAGUUCAUCGAUUUUGGUGCUUUGUUUACAAUUUAAUUGGCUUCAAUGGUCCAUACAUAUAGGAACUUGGAAUUUACCCUUUUAUUUCCUUUUGCAUGAGCAAAGAUUAGUAAUUUUUAAUCAUAAUUUUCGAUUCCUCUAUUCUGGCCAUAGUGAAGAAAUCUACCUUUUUGUACUUGUGUAUAUGCACACCAAACAUCAUUGGGCUGUCUACUUUUGACAUUAUUCUUGAAUUACUCAGUUUAGAAUGUGUAUUAGCUGCUAGCUGCAUCAUCGUUGGCAAUUACUAAACAGAAAAUAUGCAUGCCAUUACUAUUUUCACUGAAAUUAGCAUCUAACUUAUAAUGAUCUAAUUAAAGGUUAACCACAUUGGUUUUGACUAGAACUAAGAGAUCACUAGCCCUCUUAUUUUUGGAUUUGCAUUAAUCCAGUAUCAUCAAACUUCUUCAAAUGGGCUCUUUAGCUACUAACCCCUUCAAAAAUAAUUUAGGCUUACGGUUCUGUUGAUGUCGCAAUUGCAGGAGGUUCAGAAGAUAACGAAAGGCUCAUCUAAGAUUUCUUAAGGUGUUUGGCUUAUAUUGCUAGAUUUACUUAAUCUAUUUUCAUUCUUCUCCGAUGUCAUUAUUGUUAAAGUUCAAUUCAUAAGUUGGUUGUGUUAGAAAAUUGGCUUAAUUUCUUUUUAGAUAGGUUUUUGUUUUGUGCAAAAGUAACUAGUUUCCUAAUUGGUUUUAGUUACUCGGAAUAGUAGCCAAGAAAUUUCUUAUUUUGUUUAGAAUUAGAAGUUAUUUCUUAUUUUCUACAAGUCUAGGAAUUAGAAUUAAUUUCCUGUUGUUAUUUGGAUUUUUUGACCAAAUAAUAUUUUUAUAAAUAGGUGGGUUGGCAUACUAUAAAAGAGACACAUAAGGGCACACAAGGACGACAUGUAACCUUAUACAUGGGUGGUGAGAGAGAGUUCUUAGGAGAUGAGAAAUGGUAUACAAAGGUUGGACUUGAGUUCGAGUUGUAUUCUUGUAUAAGGUUUUUCUCUCAUAAUAAAUAACAAGUUUCUCUCCGUGGACGUAGGUUCAAUGGAGUCAAACUACGUUAAAUAUUGUGUGUUGUUUAUCUUUUAUACUUGUGGCUUGUUUCUCAUUAAAUUAUUGUGUACUUGAUAUCUUAAUAGUUAUUUAUUCUGCAUUUAGUUCCUAACAAAUGGUAUCAGAACUUGAUUGCGAGAUUGGGCUGCUCACAAGCACUUGGAUCCCAACAAACUGAAUAGUUGGAUCAAGAGUUUGGUUGUUCAAGGAUGGAUCCUAGUUAGCUAUUGAGAUCAAGUAGGUUGGUGACUGUUACCAAUUGAACAAUUUAAUGGGCGGUAUCCUUUUUCAAGAGUUUGGCAAAAAAGCAUUGACGGUGAAUGAUGAAAAGUCGAAAAGCAUGGAGAUACUUGACGGUGAAUCUAGGCAGAUGAUUCAAGAGUCAAGGAAAAGGUGGAAUCCAAUAUCGAUUUUGGACGUGAAUCGGUGGAGACUUUCUCACAACUUCAACGGUUGAUACUUCAUCUCGGUGAUUUUUAGAUUUCGCUUAUGUUUUUUGAGUGGUACGGCACCUGACCCAAAAAAAUAAAGAGAUUUAAUUUCUAUGCGCUAGAAGACUCUGACAGUUACGAGUCUUUUGUUUCAGGUGAAUUUUUGGAAACCACACGUGGCGAGAUAGUCUUGAGGAAGGGAAGAAGUAUGAUGAUUUUAUCACUUGGUUGCCUCAAUGAUUAAGGUUAGAGCUCAUAGAAGGAGAUUUUGGGUUGCAAGUGGUGGUGAGAAGAAAUCCUGUAAAGAAAAAUGGUGAAUUGAGGCAUCUUCUCACGAAUCAACUGGAGGUUGUACUAGGUGUAAAUACACAUAUUCAUUUGGCAAUUAAAUUAAUUUGGUAUCAGAACUGUAUUGAUUCGGGUGUGUAGUUCGGUACCAUAUUAUUUGGUAGUUGAAAGUAAAUAAUUGUUAAAAGAAAUUUUCGCCAAGAUAGAGAUUUGUUAGGAAAUUGAUUUAAUUUCUUUUCAGACAGGUUUUUGUUUUGUGUAGGGAUUUAGUUUUACUUGAAAUAGUAGCCAAGGAAUUUCCUAUUUUGUUUAGGAUUAAAAAUUAUUUCCUAUUCUAUACAAGUCUAGAAAUUAGAAUUGGUUUCCUAUUAUUAUUUAAUUUUUUGGCCAAAUAAUAUUCUUUAUAAAUAGGUGGGUUGGCAUACUACAAAGAGACACACAAAAGCACACAAGAGACGACAUGUAGCCUUAUAUAUGGGUGGUGAGAGAGGAUUUUUAGGAGAUGAGAGAUGGUAUACAAAGGUUGAAUUGGGGUUCAAGUUGUGUUCUUGUAUAGAAUUUUUCUCUUAUAAUAAAGAACGAGUUUCUCUCUGUGGAUGUAGGUUCAAUGGUGGAGCCGAACCACAUUAGAAAAUAGUGUGUCAUUUAUUUUUCAUGUUUGUGGCUUGUUUCUCAUUAAAUUGUAGCGUACUUGAUAUCUCAAUAGUUGUUUAUUCCAUGUUUGGAUCCUAACAGAUUGCUAAACCAAGAUUGAUGUAAUUGCGUCCUAUAAGAGAGUUUGCAAUUCAAUUGAUUAAGGGAAGAACAGAGAAAAUCCCUGAAAAUGGGAAUUAAAGGAAACAAAGGAAACCCUAAAACUAGUUUCCAAGAACAAUUCUGUCGAAGACAGAAAACAAAGAAAAUAGUAUCAAAGGCUAUAUCGUUAUUUAGGAAACAAGAAGCACUUGAAGGUGAAUGUUGCAGAAAGUAGAAGAUCCCACUACAAUUUACUAAUUCAAGGAGCUGUAAUUAAGAAAGAAAGAAGACAACUCAGAGAAUUAGGGAUUGUUAUUAAUUGAUGAAUGAGUAGGAAGAAUGUAGAUGAAGAUGAUAAUCAAUUACAAGUAAUGGAAAUCGGAAAUCCUAGAACUGCCUUCAACUUACCACCCUCCUCUCUUUUAUUCGGCUACUACACUUGUCCAAGUCAGCUAAUUCAUUACAACCAACUGACAUACAAGAAUUAUAAGGAUUUAUUCAUUAAGUCCCUAUCAUACUCGCUUUAUUACAAAAAAAAAAAAAACCCUAUCAAUAAAACUAAGGUAACAAAUACUUCCCCCUCAGAGAAUCCUUGUCCUCAAGGAUUAAAUUCAGGAAAUUGUUGUUUAAGGUCAAACCAGAAUUCCCAGAUAGCAUCUUCAAGAAAAGAAUUGCUUCACUAUGCCAAAACUUUUGUAGCAAGAGAGUUACCACAUUUCACCAAUUUCUGAUCAAGUAUGGCUAUAGGCUCCAUUAAUAAUUAUCCCUGUGUAUUGAUUGUGUAUUGAUUGCAAAAGGAAUGUGUGAGGUAACUAGUGAGUGCCCACUUUCUUCUUUAGAAGAGAUACAUAAAAAAUAGAGUGUAUUUUUGCCAUAUUAGGCAGCUAAAGCUGAUAUGCAACAGGGUGUACUCUUUUGAUCACUUGGAAAGGUCCAAAAAACUUAGAAGCUAACUUCUGACAAGAGUGUACCUUCAAAGAGUGUUGCCUCUACAGUUGUAGUUUCACAUAUACCCAAUCUCUUGCCGAGUACUGUCUAUCAGACCUGUGUUGGUCAGCUUGUUGCUCCAUCCUAUUUUGUGCCUUAUGAAGGUUGUACUUUAAGUGAUGCAAAACUAUCUCCCUUGCUGCCAAGAUUCUAUCCACCACUUCCACUACUGAAUUCCCAAGUAGACAAGGCAUAUGCAGAGAUGGUGCAUGACCAUACACCACCUCAAAUUGGAUAACCUUAGUGGCAGCAUGAAAUUUGGUAUUGGACCAAUAUUCAGCCAAGGGUAACUAGAUAGACCACUGCUUUGGAAAAUCUCCACACAUGCACCUCAAAUAUUACUCCAAACACCUGUUUACCACCUCAGUUUGACCAUCUGACUGAGGGUGGUAGGUAGAAGAGGUAUUAAUCUGCACUUUUAGUAACUUAAAAAGUUCUUGCCAAAAAGUGCUAAUGAAGACCACAUCCUUGUCACUAACAAUGCUCUGAGACAAGCCGUGAAGUCUACAGAUCUGAUCCAGGAAUAUGUGCAAAUAUAAAUGCUGAAUAAGCAUGUGACAAUGCCAAGAAGUGUGCAUACUUACCUAACUUGUCAACCACCACCAAGAUGGCUUGUUUACCAUGUGCAUUAGGUAAACCUUCCAUAAAGUCCAUGGAAAUUCACUCCAAACCUUUUGAGGCACACGUAAAAGUCGUAAUAAACCCAAAUAAGCAGUAUUGUCAUAUUUGUUGCACUGACAGACAUCACAUGCAGCCACAUAGUUGACUAUGUCUUGAUACAUUCUUCUCUAAUAAACCACUGACUUCAACUUCUUUUAGGCAGCAUAAACUCCUGAAUGCCUCCAACAGCACUAGAAUGCCACAAGUGAAUUAUAUUAUUCUUGAAUUGGCAGUCAUUUUCUACCACUAGUCUCCCCAUUCUCCUUAACUGCUAGUUGCUCCAUGUGUAAUAAGGUGAGACCUUAGAAAGAUCAAAUUGUAAUUGAGUGAUGAAGUUCUAUAGCCUUAUAUCUAUUUGCCAUCCCUUUUUAAUCACUAUCAAAGAUCACUGUUAACAAUGAUGAUGGCAAGAGCUUCUCUUGGUUCUGCUAGUUUUCUAAAGAGAGUAUCUCUCACCAUAUUAUAUGCUUCUUUCCUGUAGUGAAGCUCAUAAUAAAAUCUUACUAGCUUAGUCAUCCAUUUCUGCUGCAUAAGAGUAGGGCUGUCAAUGGUCUGGGUCUAGACCCGGAUCCGGACCGGAUAAAUAUCCGGGUAUGGAUACUAAUUUACAACCGGAUCCGGAUAUAAAUGGAUUACUAUAUUUAAAAUAUAUAUUUAUUAAUAUAAUUUGAUUAGGAUGAUGUAUUUGAGUAUCAAUAUAAUUGGACCCGGAUCCUAAUCAAUAUAAUUUGAUUAGGAUGAUGUAUUUGAGUAAGGUUAAUUUGAUUUCUUUUCUUAUUUGAUUUUUUUUGUAUUAGUUAGAAAUUAGUUUAUAAAUAUAUGUUUUUUCUCAUUUUUGUUAGAAAUUAUAAAUUUUGUUAGUUUUUUUUCGGGUAGACCCGGAUCCGGAUCCGGACCCGUCGGAUCUGGAUCCGGAACAUAGAGUAAAGACUCAUCGGGUAAACGGGUCGGGUCCGGAUCCGAUAUAGUGUGCCGGGUCCGGGUCUGGAAUAAUGAAUUCCGGCCCGGACCCGCCCGUUGACAAGCCUACAUAAGAGUGUUCAAUCUUUGUUCCAUCAUAUAUUCAAUGCUCUAAUGGUCAUUUUUAAUGAUAACGUACCUUCCAGGUAGAUAAGGUCUCCACUUCUAUACAGCAGCAACUAUGGCCAAUAUUUGCACUUUUCCAAUAUACUAUCAUAUGCUAUUCCCCCACACACCUAAAUCUUAUAUUGUCCCCAAUGUAAAAUAAAGAAUAAAAGAAAAGUAAUGGGGAUAACGAAACUUCCUUGAUAACUGAGGGGGCCGUCGACAGCUACAGGUGAGGGGCGAAUGACUGUGGAGCUCGACGUAUGUUGAUGGUUGGUGGCGGUGGAGUUCGGAUGGAGAAGGAGGAAGAAGAAAGAAGAGAAGAAAAAGAAGAGAGAAAGAAAGAAAGAAAAAGAAAAGGAAAAAGAAAGGAAAAGGAAGAGAAAAGAAAAGGGAAAUACGAAUGGGAAUUGCUCCAAUCCGAGCUGGUUUUUUGUACUACUACUUUGCUUCUUGUACGAAGCUUGAAGAUGCAGCAAGCGCGGAAAUUUUUUUUUUUUACAUCUGAUUUUGAUUUUUUCUUUUUCUUUUUCCUUUUCUGUAUUUCCUUUUCUUUUCUUUCUAAUUUUUCUGCAAAAACAAUCAAAUAGAAAUCAAAUGAGAUGGAAUGAUUUUUUUUAAAAAAGGUAAAAAUAUAAAUAGAGAUAAAUAAAUAAUAAUAGUUAUUAACAAAUCAUAAAAUGAUUUAUGAAAUUUUUUUGGUGUCUACAUAUAUUACUAAUAAUUUUUAUAUUUAUAUAUUUUUCUAUUUAAUCUUACCUAUAAUUUUCUUAUUUUAUUUACUUUUCUAAUUAAUUUUAUAUUUUUAAAAAUAUAACAUCUAAAAAUAUAUAUUAACGAAGAGGACAUCCGUUAGACAGGUCCUAUUUUAUGUAGCAUAUAUGUCUCUACAUGAAAAAAACUUUUUUAAUAGGUAUCCCGUUUUUUGACAUGAAAAAUACCUUUUGACUACAUUCUGACUAGCGCCAAAAGCUAUCCACUUUUGACAUGCUGCCCAUGCAGGCCUAAUUUUUUUUAGUACUGAAUUUGUUUUGGAUACGUUAGUAUUUCUUGAAUUUUAGAAAAUGCUUCUCUUUAAUAAAUGUAAGUUCAUUUUAAUCUUGAUUCGCAAGCUUUUUCUUGAAAAUGGUUUGCCAUUUCUUAUUAGUUGUUACAGUAAAUUUAGCAUGCAUAUAUGCUUUUUGUCAAAAUUCAAUCAUUUCAAAAUCUAGAAGGGAACUUCUAAAAUACCUGCAUCCUCCUUUUUCUUUUUUUUUUUAUUCCCCCCCCCCCCCCGGCUUUGUAUUCAGAAUCAGAUUGUGUUCAAUUAGUUGGAAUUUGGCUUUGGAGUUAAAAGGGAUUUCCAUUUUUUCCUAGGUAUUCCACAGCUUGCAUACCAAAAGCACAGAGGCGGAAGAAAACCUAUGAUUAAAUCAUACAACAGGCUUGUAAGAAAAUGCCCACUCUGAAAAAAUGAAAAGUUGAAUUUCCUAUUUUCAAAUUUACAUGCAAAAAAUCAAAAUGACAUGCAAGAAAUAGUCUGCUAUUUCGCCAUGUUUCACAGUUUAUGAGAAAUAUAUUACAAAUAAAUCCACAUAAAUGGUGGGAAUAAUAACUCAAAUAUGGUGGGACAAAAAACAUACAGGGUGACCCCUGCCAGCUGAGAUAACUAGCUGGUUUAUUUAAUUUAAUACUUUGAAUACAAUAGUAAAUCAAUGCCAUAGCUCAGAUACUGACUAAAUUUUUCUCCCUGAAGAAUUCAACAGCAUCUUUUAGGCUGACCUCCAAAGGAGUGAAUUGAACUCCCAGCCUUUUUGCCUUCUCAUUGGAGGCUCUGUAGUUUGGGCUGAUAAGGUUGGUAUUGUUUGACAUUCUGCUGUAUGCGGGACAAUACACAAUUAUGGCAAACAUAAAUAAAGCUUAGGUAAUGAAAAUGCAAAUGUAAAUUCAAAUGCUUGAAAAUCUACUGGACAAUUGCCUCAUAUCUACUGUAAAUUGUGCCUUUUUACGAAGUUUCAAAAGACCUUUUAAAAGAUAACUUUAGUUGUGAUAUGAAUGAAAUUUAUUUUUUUCUAAAAAAAAGCCUAAAACGGAAUUUCUAUUUUGGAGACAAAGCCAAUUUGGUGAUAUAUCCUAGUCCAAAGAAGACCAUCUUCUAGAAAUCAACCUGAGAAAGAGCUCAUUUUUUAUGGAACAUGAGACCAAAAGAAAAAAAAAAAGAAGGCAGAAAAUUUAGGAUUUAGUGUCCUUUAAAAGAGAGUAUAAAAAUAUGUGAUACAUUUUGGACGUAUACAAGGCCAUCAGCAAAAGCCUGUAAAGACCUAAACAAGGAAAACAAGACUUACUUAUCAGGAAAUUGGUGAGUUGGGUAAUGCUCAUGCAAAAUCUUGAUGAUCUGAGAGGCAUUUGCACAUCUUUCAACCAGACAAUAUCUUCCACUUGCAGAAGGGGUUUCAAGGGCAAGAACAUGUGCAUAGGCAACAUCUCUAACAUCAACCCAGCUACAUGUUGCCUUAGGAAAUGGUUCAACCCCUGCAUUUGGCACCUAAGAUCUUUAAACACAUUUUUUUGCAGGCUCUUCAGCAAACAUAAGUGAAACCAUAUUUGGUUUGUUUGGAUCAGCAUGAUUUCAGAUAAAAUAAUUUGCUUCCUUCCAAAUUCCAAUCACCUUUUUAUCUCACAUACAGCACAUCACAAAAAGUGUUACAGUAAUUAUCUCAAAUAAAUCAUCCAAAUAAACUUCUAUCCAAACAAAAAUGUUGUUUGCCAUGAAAAGAGUCAAAUUUAGAGGCCAUGGCCUGCCUUCCAGAAGAAAUGUGUGGUAUGUACUACUUUGUUCUGUUUUAGUAUCAGCAAAGCCACAGAGGGGAGGGAGAUGUGAGGAAUGAACUAGUUGAGACAAUUCAGAUAAUUGGUGAAUAAUAAGAAAGAUUAAUCCCAACAAUCUACUAGUUAAUCUGUCCCUGGAAUUUCACAGAUUUAGAGUUAGGUUUCUCUUUCAAAGGAUAGUUUAUUUAUUUUCUUCCAAAAAGGAUCAAUUACUAGACAAAAGAAUAAACUACAGGCAUGAUAAUACUAGUUGUCUCGUACUUAAGAGUUAAAUGGUGAGAGUUGAAGAAACUUGUCCCUUCACUCUCAUCCAGAUAGAAAAACAGAAUUUAUUCCUGUUGUUUUGUUCAGAGAGUGAAAUAGUAAUCAAUUCCUGAAAUUUGUUUCUUGCCAUUGUUGUACAAAGUGGCUAUUUGGGUCGAAGGAGUCCUGCGAAUUGAAAGAAUAAUAAACAUGCUUUAGCAAGUCUGUACAACAUAAACAGUGACUACUCCUAACAAAUUUUUCCUCACAAUUACCACCCAAAAAUUUCUUUUCCUUCCUGUUAAUCACAUAGAACCUCAAUGUUGUUGAAAGGAAGAUGCACACAACGUGAAUUUCAGAUGAAAGAUUGUACUGCAAACCUUUAAAACAUCAUAAGCUGGUCAGAGUUUAUAGCUUGAUAUAUCAGUUCACAUUCUGACCUAUGUCUGUCAAUCAUGUGAUAGCCAGCAGUGCCUUGAAAUGUUAUUAGUCAUAAGUUUUUUGUUCUACUGUAACAAAGAAAGUUGUGGUGCAUAAUAAAGCUAUAAGUAACAUAGAUGGAAGAGUCAGUUAGACAAUGAUUACUAAGGUGAUUCAAUAAAUUUUGAAACAAACCCUUUAAUAGGUUGAGGAACAAAACAGCGCUCGAAUUAACAGAUGGCUGCAAGAGAGGACCAAUGACCAAUCCUGGAUGAAUUGUAAUCACGUCAAUGCCAUGCUCCUUUGCAAAUUUCCAUGCAGCAUUCUCGGCCAUGGUUUUUGAAAGUUCAUACCAAGACUAUCAACACCGAAAAAUCAGUAAAUGUUGGUAAGAUGGUAGCAGAAAGUAAUUAGAUUUGUAAACUUUAAGAAGUAACAUUAUAAAUUUCUACAAAUUUGACAAAACCAGCAACUUACAUCAGUUGAAACUAUUAUUGCUGUAGCUACAAAGCACAGAGUGAAAGCAUCCACAUUUCCCAGGACAAGCUAUGCUAUAAGUGAAUAAGUAGAUUUCUCAAGGAUCCUAGGAAUGGUGUAAACUUUCUAUAUUCAAGGAAUGAUGCAAAGCACCAGUGUCGACAUAUCCUGAUCAUCUGAUCUCUUAAUCCACAAGCUAACAGCAAAACUACAAGGGACCUUGACACUUUAACACAAUAGCCAUAUUCAUAAUAUUAUAGCAGAAGUUCCUUUCCAACUGACCGACCAAAUAUUGCUCAUCUAGGUGUGUAUUCUCAGACAAUAGUAUAGAAUUUGAUCAUGCAAGAGAUGCAUAAUUAAGUAGGAAAACUUUCAUAUUGCUCUUUCCCCGACUAUUCCACACUACAUUAUUAAUUUUUCAUUAAAGUUAAGUUGUUACUUAGAUAGAAGGAAAGAAAUGGACUGACCAUUCUGGUUACAAAAAUAUCCUUUUUUUGCCUAUUAAAGUACCACCAAGUCAUGAAGAUCCUAACUUAAUUAUCUCCACAGCUGGGCUAACUCCUCAUAUGUGUUCCAACAACAAGUUAAAACUAAAGAAUUCCAGCAUUCCAUAUUAGAUUUUACUGGAAGAAGACAGAUAAUAUAUGUACCUUUUGCUCCUCACAGUAUGAUGGAUCGGAAAACCAACUUUCAUCAACUACCACAUCCUCCUUUAAUUCUCUGUUUUUUGAAACUGCAACCAUAGAGGAUGUUAUAACUACUCUUUUGACAGAAGAAGAAUUUGCACAUGACCGCAGCACAUUCAGUGUUCCGCUUACUGCAGGUUCCAGUAGUUCUGCCUAUGAAAUCAAACCAAGUAAAAAAGGAAGUCAUUACCAGUCAUAGGUAAGACUAUGCUUUUAACCUGCAAAAAACUUAUCAUUCUGGUAUUAUGUUUGAGAAUUUCACCACAAAUGCUGUAAACCUACAGCUUUAGUUACUUAGCUAAAGGAUGCAUAUUGUUGUCUUAUCUCCUCUUGCUGCUAAAAUAAGUUCUCAGGUCCUUUAUUGUUGUUUUUUCCCAAAUUUUUUCAGCUUUCACUGGGUGACAGGAACUUAAGACCAAUAGAGGAACAACUGAAAUAAGUCUCAGAUGUGGUCACCAAUUAAACCGUUUGCUACCAAAUAUCAACCGAUGAAAUUCUGUUCUGGCUUGAACAGGACAGACAGAAAAUAUAAAAGGUGUAGCUCCCAUGAAUCCUGCGAACAGAUUUUAGCGUGAACACAUAAUGCAUGUUGCAAUUUCUUUUAGUGUCUGUGAGUCAACCUUGUUCAUUGAAAUGACUAAAAUCAAAGUUCUACAAAGUUACUUAAAAAAAAUCCAUAAACACAAUUUGAGAAACAGACAAGGAUAGGUGUACUGCAUAAAAUUAAGGCACAAUCAUUAAUAGAAGUUAAUCAACUUACAAAUGAAGAUACAUAUAAUUUGCAGAUGCUUGAACAUAUAUUGUAGUUUCUAUAAGCUUCUUAUUCAUUCUGGUAUGGGCACGCAAAAGCCAUUGGCUCUACACUGGCUGAAUAAUUAGUUGGUCAAAGCAGGGAUUCAUUUGCUCCAGGACAAGCUUAUAGCUUGCUCUAUAACCUUACCCUGACUGACUUACCCAGGAAAAUAGUUAGUCGGACCCAAUCUACUGCCCAAUUGUGGACCAUUUGCUAUGUUUAUGGCUCUUAAUGUUUUUAUUUCACAACAUUACACCCUUUGAAUUGUUUCGCUGAAGUACCAAUUUCCAGAUCAUUUCAUAGAAACAUCAUGUAUACUGAUUAAAAAGAGACUAAAGCACAUAACACACGACAGUCUUUUUGUGAAUGACCUGCUGGAACAGAUUAGUUUUGUAUGUACCAAAUGUAAAGAAAUAUUCUUCAGGUGUUUGACCUGAUUGCUACAUUAAUCUCCUCCCUUUGGUUAAUAAAAGAAAAAGUAGAGCCAUAGAAUUGGAAACAUUUGAAUCUAACUCUCUUUUUUUUUUUGCCUUUACAGUUAUAACCUUGUCAUAAAUCACAUAUAGAGGAGUAGACUAUCACCCAAAAAAGCCAGUAAAAAUGCAACAGAGGAAGAUACUAAAAGAAGUCGUACAAUUAUAAAUCAGAAAAUAUGCUACGAUUUCAAACUUCACUUGAUAAAUAGCAGAUUUUGUAGACAGUAGAGAAUUUUCAAUCUUGUAAAGCAAAUGUACCUCUGGAUUGCUAAAUGAAAGUUUGAUUGGAGAUGCAGUAUGGAAAACCCCUUCACAUCCCUCGACUAUUGCAUCAAACGAUCCCUCUUCCAGUAAGUUUGCCGAGUACAACUGAAGCCUUUCCUUAGCUCCAUCAAGUGAUGUCAAAUGUUGUGUCCUUUCCGGAUCAUCUGUGUCAUGAUUGUAUCAGUAGAAUGUUCAGACAGCUAUAAUCAAAACCUUGCCGCCUUGGUAAAGUGUACUAUGUUUUCACUAUGGUGAAACUCAAGAAGAAAUGGACAUAGAGUAAUAAUAAACGAAUCUCAAAGCAAUGAUAAAUUUGACUAGCUAAAGGCAAGCGGGGAAAAACGAAAAGAAAUUGACGGGCAACAUAAUAUGACCACAAUAAUAUCAUAGCCCUAUGAUUUCUGGUUUUGAGAUGCGUACAUUUGUAACUUUCUUGAUAACAAUUAAUUCUUGAGAUAAUUAUCAGAGGGACAAUUGUAUGCCAUCUACCACUAUUUUUAUAACAAACUCAGUCCUUCAGAAGAAGGAUAUAGAUUCGAUAGGCUAAAGAUUUUUUAUUAUAACUUGAUCGUUGUAUCUGGAGCAUGAAACAAUUAAGUUGGUCCACAUCAAAAAUAUAUAUAUAUUUUGCAUGUGAUUUUCUUUUGAGCAAACAGAACAUGGGGAGCAUUUAGCUGUUGCAAGAAUAUCAUCUGGAGCUACAAGACAAUUUCACACUGCAGAGUUGAAUAAAAAUAUUGGGCAAAUUACAUAUAAUCCUCCUGUGGCUUUGUCUGUUGCCACAUGACCCUUCUAACAUUUUAAAAUAUCCAAUUCACCCACUAUGAUUUUAUGUAAAGCGGAAACUUGAUGGAGAAUAGCCUAUAUAAUGUCGUUAAUUGAAAUACCAUUAGUACUUUUACUUAAAUGCUAAAUCAAUCGACGAUUUAAUUACCUUAUAUAAAAAGUAUAAGGGGAUUAUAUGGAUAAUAUAAAAAUCACAGGAGGGAUAAAGUGGACAAUUAUACAAACUAUAAGGGAAUUACAUUGAAAUUAAGACUUUAUCACACCCUUUUAGAGCGCGUUUGGUAUAAAUGCCGUAAUUAAUUGUGCAUUCCAUCAUUUUCCGCUUUACAUAUAACUAUAGGGAAUUAUGUGGCUAUUUUGAAAUUUUAGAGGGACCAUCUAGCAUUAUAUAAAAUCACCCUAAAAUAUAGUUAUAAGUAAUUUACCCUAAAAUGUUAGAUUCCAGGGGCAAUUAAACAACAAUCAGAACAGGGCAUCAAAAACUGCACAAGCCACUAAGAUAGUUGAUCAAGAACAAAAACUGGACUUACAGGCAUCUCGAACUGAACCUUUAACAGUAUAACCGCGCUCGAGCAGCAGCUUCACCAGCCAUGAAGCUAUGUAACCCGAAGCUCCGGUCACACACACCAUUUUCCCUUCUCCUGCUCCACUCAUUUUGUUAAUAUUUUUGUGUGUGAACCUGUCACCUGUUUGCCUUACUUCUGGACUUAAUGGAGGGAUGCAUAUAUGGUGUAUAUAUAGCUAUGGUGAAGAAGACGAAAGAUUGGAUAUGAGAUUACGUGGGAGACUAGGGAGAUCCAUAUGUAUUCUUGCAAUUUGCAUGCAUCAUCGCUGACAUACGUAUGGUAUAAUCGCGUCACAUCCCAUUUUAUCAAGGUCAAUUGAUCAGUGUAAAAUAGAAAUGAACAAUAAAUACAAUGGUAAAUUACCUUCUACACCCUAUGGUUUGAUGUUUUAUCACACUCCCUAUGAUUUAAAAACCUAUAUUUGACCCUUUCAUAGUUUGGAUUAUUGUGUCACUUUAGAUUUUUCCGUUAAAACUAACGGUCAAUAGUAAAAAGUCAAAUUCAAACUACUAAAUUGAUAAAUUCACCAUUUCACUACUUUUUUUUUCUUGUUUUCCUUUUCUUUCUCUCCUUUUUUUUUUUUUGGAAAGAGAAGAGAUGACUUUGAAAACUUGUAUUUUGGCUUACAAAACCUUAAUUGUUUCCAAAUACAAAAGAGAUAGAAGGGAAAUAAAAAUAAAUCAACAAGAAACAAAAUAUGGAAGGUAAAGAUAUAACAAAUAAAUAAGAAACAAAAAAACACCAAAUCUUUUUUACUAUGAAUAUCAUUAUAGGUUUUUAAACCAAAUCUUUAAUAGUAUUUUCUAGUUCUUAUUUAUCUAUAUUUUAUUUCAAUUUCUUCUUUUUGAUGUUUGUAGGGGAAAAAAACAAGUAAUGAAGGGAUAAAUUUGUCAAUUUAUUAGUUUGACUUUUUAAUAUUAACUGUUAGUUUUAACAAAAAAAACUAACUAUUAGGGGGUUAUGUAUAGUUUUUAAACGAUAGGGGUUAUGUGAGAAAAUACCAAACUAUAGAGGUUAAAAGGCAAUUUAUCCUAAAUACAAAAUCAGGCGGUUGCAUAUGAAAAAAUACCAAGGUUCUUGACUUUGCUCAAUACAAUUCCAAGUCUAGAGACACAAUUUUUAAAUUCACUACCAGGAUAAACCAUUCUCCUUUUUUUUUUCGGGUUAAAAAAUACAAACUACUUGAACUAGAAACUAGUCCUGACAAAGUUUGUGGGUUUUUUGCAAGAGUUUUAGUUAAAUAUUGGUUACUUCGCCUAAUUUGCACCUAUUUUAUCACGUAAAUGCACACACACUUUUAAAAAAAUAAUGCAUGCACUUAUAUUAUUGCCUUUCGUACAUUUAAAUACUUUUUUCAAUUUAAUUUUACUUUUCUGGCAAAAUUAAAUCUGAAGCCCAUUUCAAGAAAUAUCCACCGAAUACCAGGUCAACAAAUCCCCUUCGUAAUAAAGAACGAAAAGAACCGCAGCGUUCUUAACACGCAGCGGUCUUUUUGCAUCUAAGAAAGCUUUUGAUUGGCUAGAAAUCCUUCUCUGAUUGAGAAAUGGGAAUUGACUUGAUGAUGGCAACUCCAUUUAGAAAACUGGUCCACACCCUUGAAUGUGGUUUAAAUUUAAUAACACCAUUUCAUCAUUUCUGACGACUGCUUCUUCUAUAUCGAUCCUAGCUCACUGCACACGCCAGUCGUGUGAAACUUGGCAAAAGAGUUACACCCGCCGUCCUAAAAUUGUUUGUCGCAUUUCGAAACCCAACUUUUUAAAAAUAGCAGCUUGAUGAUGAUAUUUGUAGAUUUGUCUCAAAAAUUGUCAUCAAAAAUUCAAAUUUUAAAUUGAAUUUAGUAUGAAAUAUAGAUAAAGUUAUUGGAAUAAUAUUGAAAAAAGAGAUUAAAAGUUAUUUUGAUUUUGAUAAGAUAAUAAAUAUUUUAGAACGUUUCAAAAUAAAAAAAAAAAUAUGACACUUUCAAUGAGACAAAAGAAUGGAGAGAAUAUAUAUAUAAGAUACUGAAAACUAGCGUCCAUCAGAAGCAGUCAAAUCAAAGCCAACAUAUUACUUGUAGUUUGGUUAUAACAAUAUCUCAGCUUGCUGGUAGCCCAAAAAUUUAGCAAAAUAAAUUAGGAAACCAAGUGCGAUAGAGCAUAUUUCACCCAAAUAUAUUAAAAGUGAAAAAGAUUUAUUUUUAUUUAGUCAAUGUGAUUUUUUGUGUCCGCAUGCCCAUAAAGCUCAAGGACCAAAAAGCCAAACAUACGAAGUGAAAAUGUGAAGAGCAAUAAUUUGAAUAUAAAAAAAAAAACGGGUAGAUGGAUAGAAAACCAUGUCGAAGGUCUCUUCUCUCUCUUUUUUUUUUUUUGGUUUGACCAUGCAUGGUGCAUAUGAUAUGAAGGAUAAUUGUAAAGCACACCAUAUACUGCCCAAGGAAAGUAGAUUACACAGUGGGAACCAAAAAUAGAAGAAAAUAAAGCCUCAUAUGAACCGAAUCUUUCCCCUUGCUUUUUUUCUGGGAAUUUAAAGGUAUAAUGCAAGAAAUAACUCCUGGUCAUGCAAAAUUGCCAACAAAAAUGCGUCUUUGGUUUUAAAUUCCUUAAUAACAUACUAUCCAGCAUACUAUUUAGCAUAAUAACAUACUAUCUCAGAUGCAUCCACUCAAAUAUCCUGGCCGAGAUGGUAUGAGGCCAAUUUUCUAUCAAAAAUAUAGGUCUGUAGCAGGUAAUGACGUUACCUCACUACAACAAAAAUGGCCUUUAGCGGCAUUUAAAGGUGUCAGUAUAGAAAAUCUAACCUGACACUUUAUCUAUCCUGACACCCAUGGCGAGUGUUGUCCCUUCCAAUGUGGGGAUAGCCUCAAAUCUUUAGCAGCAUUCAAAUGUGUCAGGCAAACCAUGCUGCUAUAUCUUUACCUCUGCCAACAAAUCUUUUUUUUGUGAUAAUCGAAAGUGUCUGUAUAGCGUUAGGACAUCAGUAGGGAAUCAGUAGGAUAUCAAAUUUAUGAAGACAUCUUGAGUUGUCUUAAUAUAUGGCUUUAAGGACACGUAGCCAUGUGAAUUUACAAUGUGUUGGACGACAUGCCCAUUUGUUGUUAGUGUUUUUCGAAGCUACAUAAUUUUAUCAACCCAUAUGACAAGGGUUUAUUUUACGUAUUUUUAGUGUGUUUUAUUAGUUAAUUUUGGUUUGAUUAUUUAGUAUUAUAACUAAAAUAACUAAGGUUUUGGUAAAAAACUACAUUUUAUGUUAAAAUGGCUAAACAUUGCAUUUUAUGGAUUUUUAUGGUAAAAACUUCAUAUUUUGUAGGUUUAAUGAUUCAAUCAUCAAAUGAAGUGCAUUGAGAAGAUAUUUGGAUGAUUGAAGAUGGAUUAAAGUGAGGAAAAUAAAAUAUGAAGUGUAAAAGGAAGAAAUGCAAUUUGAGGACAAAAAUCAAGAAAAGUCAGCUUUGACAACUCAGACAUAUUUUCGUAUUUUGACUAUAUCAGGAGCUACAAUGAUCGGAUCAAGGUGAUCUUGGUACCAUUUUGAAGUUAAGAGAUAUAUCUACAUUUGGUAUGAAGACAUCAAAGUCCAGUUCAGCCGUUUUCAUAGUCCAAAAGUUGAAAUACCGAAAUUCAACUCAGCUGUCCAAAGUGGAAAACAGAGUUCCGACCAGUGUUUAGUAUUUUGAUCAUAUCUCAGUCUACAAAGCUCCGAUUUGGAUGAUUCUUGAAGCAUUGGAAAGCUAACUCAAAGAUAUACAACUUUGAUGUUUUGCACAAAAGCCAGUUCGGCCUGCAUCAUGGAGAAAAUCGCAGUUGAAGUAAGGACAAAGUGAAAACGCGAGUGCACAAAACGCGAGUUGUAGACGCGUUUUGUAAAGGCGCGUUUUCUGGCCGAAAUUCUGCAAUUUGCUCAGUCAAUUCUCUUGUGUUCAUACCACUUUCCAGCUAUAAGUUGCAAGAGAAUUCGGUGCACAUGCUUCAGAAGACAAAAGGGCAGACAAGGUGGCUUAUUUUCAAGUCAAAAACAUUUGUUAUUGACUAUCCUAACAAAGUUGAGAUUUGGGAAUCAAAACAUUUGUUAUUUUACUUGUAAAUUUUCUCCAUUUGCUGCCAUUAAGGUUUCCUUUGUUCUUUCACAAUAUUUAGUAGAAAUUAUUCCUUCUUUAAUACAACUUGAAUCAGCUCCACUAUCUAUUAAAGCUACAUAUAUUUCUUUGAAAUCUUCUACUGUAAUAGUUACUAAAGCAUACCAUUUUUGAAAUAUCAUUUUUUCUAUGGUAUUUAAAUAUUGAAUUUCAUCUGUUGGUCUUUCUGAUAUACUUAUUUCUUCUGUUUUAGAAUUGGAAGUUGAUGGUUGAUUUUCUAGUAAUGUUAUUUUUGCUUCUAUUUCUAAAUCUUUUGUUUUUAAUUCUAUGAUUUCUCUUUGUAAUUGUUUUACUUGUAUUUUAAGAUCAUUAAUUUCUGUUUGAAGAUCUUUAGUGGUUUCUUUUUUCAUUAUAUUUAUGUUUAGAUAUUUAUCUAUUAAUUUAGAAAUACUAAAAGGUUCUAUUAUUUUUGGCAUUUUGUCUUCUUGUAUAAUUAGACUUUUUAAUCUUUCUAAAUACUCUUUUUUAGCUACUGGAUCAUCAAUUUUUUCUAUUAUAUCUAAUAAAAAUUCUUUAUCUUCUUUUUUGGUUAUAACAUUUAUAUAUUUUGAAGUGUUAGAACAAUUACAAUUUUCUUCACUUUCUGUACUAGAUAUAUCAUUAUAAUAAUCAUCUUCAGAAUUUUGAUCUUUUUCAUUUAUUAAUUUAUUUUUAAUUUCUUCUUCUUUUGCACAAAUCUCUGUAAUUUUUUCUUUUAAUUUACAUUUGUUUGCUUUAUGUCCUAUUUUUUCACAUUUAUAACAAACAAUUUUUCUUUUAAUAAAUUUUCUCUUCUUUUCUGGUUUAUCUUCUUUAGAUCUUUUAUACUUUAUUUUCUUAUUAUAUUUUUUAACUUUUUUGUUAUAUGCAGAUGGUGAUUUAAUUCUUUAGUAGCAAAUUCUAAAGCUCUAUUAAUUGGUUUUAUUGUUCCUUGAUAUAUAUCAUGUCCUAAAAAUCUUAUUUUUGUUUGGAAUAAUUUCAUUUUUGGUGCUGAAACAACUAAUCCAUUUUUCUUAACUACUUUUAAAAAUAUAUUUAAAUGUUUGAAAUGCUGUUCUAUUGAUUCAGAAAAUAUUAAUACAUCAUCAAUAUAAACUAUGCUAAAUGAACUAUAAGGAUUGAAAAUAUCAUUCAUUAUAUUUUGAAAUUCUGAUGGUGCAUUUUUUAAUCCGAAUGGCAUUACGUUCCAUUCAUAAUGACCAAAAGGUGUUGUGAAUGCUGUUUUAUAUCUAUCUUUUGGUGUUAUUAAUAUUUGCCAAUAUCCUGAUUUUAGUUGUUUCAGCACCAAAAAUGAAAUUAUUUCAAACAAAAAUAAGAUUUUUAGGACAUGAUAUAUAUCAAGGAACAAUAAAACCAAUUAAUAGAGCUGUAGAAUUUGCUACUAAAUUUCCAGAUGAAAUAAAAGAUAAAAAUCAAUUACAAAGGUUUUUAGGAUGUUUAAAUUAUAUAGCAGAUUUCUUUCCUAAAUUAAGACAAGAAUGCUCUAUAUUAUUUAAUAGAUUAAAAAAGAACCAUUUCCACCAGUGAUUGAACCAGAUUGGGAAUUCUCUACUGCAACUUUUUUGAAUGUGAAGAACCAUGAAUGAUUGAAUGGUCUAUACAAAAAAAGCAAAAGUCUAAUUAUACAAGAAGACAAAAUGCCAAAAAUAAUAGAACCUUUUAGUAUUUCUAAAUUAAUAGAUAAAUAUCUAAACAUAAAUAUAAUGAAAAAGAAACCACUAAAGAUCUUCAAACAGAAAUUAAUGAUCUUAAAAUACAAGUAAAACAAUUACAAAGAGAAUCAUAAAAUUAAAAACAAAAGAUUUAGAAAUAGAAGCAAAAAUAACAUUACUAGAAAAUCAACCCUCAACUUCCAAUUCUAAAAACAGAAGAAAUAAGUAUAUCAGAAAGACCAACAGAUGAAAUUCAAUAUUUAAAUACCAUAGAAAAAAUGAUAUUUCAAAAAUGGUAUGCUCUAGUAACUAUUACAGUAGAAGAUUCAAAGAAACAUAUGUAGCUUUAAUAGAUAGUGGAGCUGAUUCAAGUUGUAUUAAAGAAGGAAUAAUUCCUACUAAAUAUUGUGAAAGAACAAAGGAACCUUAAUGGCAGCAAAUGGAGAAAAUUUACAAUUAAAAUAUAAAUUUACAAAAGGAUCAAUAUGUAACAAUGAAUAUUGUAUUAGACAUAAUUUCAUAAUUGUAAAAAAUAUAAAUCAUGAUAUAAUAUUAGGAACACCUUUUUUAAUUCAAAUUUACCCAUUUUCAGUUAGUCAUGAAGGAAUUUCAAUAAAUAUAAUGGGAAAAACUGUUAUCUUUAGAUUUCUAACUCCAGUAAAACAAAGAGAAUUACAGACAUUACAAACAUCCUCUAUUUACAAAACAAUAAAUAGUAUUACUAAAGUACAACAACAAAUAAAUUAUAUAAAAGAAAAAAUCUUAUUUAAAAAUUGAAGAACAAUUAAAAGAAAGUAAAAUGCAAAAAGAAUUUCAGAAUUAGAAGAAUUAUUACAAAAAGAAAUUUGUGCAGAUAUUCCUAAUGCUUUUUGGAUAGAAAACAACAUAUGAUUGAAUUACCUUACGAAACAGGUUUUAAUGAGAAAAACAUUCCUACUAAAGCAAGACCAAUACAAAUAAUUCUAAUCUAUUAGAAUUUUGUAAAAAGGAAAUAAAAACAUUAAUAGACAAAAAAUUAAUAACACCUUCAAAAUCACCUUGGAGUUGUGCUGCAUUCUAUGUAAUGAAUCAAGCUGAAAAAGAAAGAGGAGUUCCAAGAUUAGUUAUAAAUUAUAAACCAUUAAAUAAAGUAUUACAAUGGAUUAGUGAAUAAUACAAUAAAUUUAUAAAUUUAGAAUUAAUAGAGGAUACAAUAAAUUAAAGUAACCAUUUUUAUAAAUUUAAUAGAGCUCAAAUGCAAAUAAUACAAUAAAUUUAGAAGACAUUAAAAAAGUUUAUCAACAAAAUAAUUAUACAAAUCAAAUCCUUCAUACAAUUUCUCAACAUAUGGAAGUAUUAAACACAAAAAUAGAUACUAUAAAGAAACCAGAAUUAAAAUUCCCUAAUAAUAUUUCAGCACCUCAUUUUCAACCUAGAAGUUUGACAAGAGAAAAAGAACAAGAUUUAGAUUCAAAAUCAGAAGACAAAGCAUCGGCGAAUUAGUGAGAAAAAGAGAACAAAACACUCUCAUGUAAAAAUCCUUAGACAAAUCUCUCAAUCCCUCUUUCCAACUACUCUUGUAUUCAAUUACUUUUGUUUCCUUCCUUCUCCAAAUAUAAUAAAGAUCAAGGAUUCAACCAUUCAUCAAGCUUCUGUUAUCAAAGGCCACUCUAAAUUUUCAGUAAGUCCAAUUUUUAUACUAAAUUUUCUAUGAACAUUUCAAUAGAAAGUAGCCUGGGUAGAAGUGGUAUCAGAGCCACUUAUCACAUUAUCUUUACAGUGUUAUUAAGGAAAGUAGAUUACACAGUGGGAACCAAAAAUAGAAGAAAAUAAAGCCUCAUAUGAACCGAAUCUUUCCCCUUGCUUUUUUUUCUUGGAAUUUAAAGGUAUAAUGCAAGAAAUAACUCCUGGUCAUGCAAAAUUGCCAACAAAAAUGCGUCUUUGGUUUUUAAUUCCUUAAUAACAUACUAUCCAGCAUACUAUUUAGCAUAAUAACAUACUAUCUCAGAUGCAUCCACUUAAAUAUCCUGGCCGAGAUGGUAUGAGGCCAAUUUUCUAUCAAAAAUAUAGGUCUGUAGCAGGUAAUGACGUUACCUCACUACAACAAAAAUGGCCUUUAGCGGCAUUUAAAGGUGUCAGUAUAGAAAAUCUAACCUGACACUUUAUCUAUCCUGACACCCAUGGCGAGUGUUGUCCCUUCCAAUGUGGGGAUAGCCUCAAAUCUUUAGCAGCAUUCAAAUGUGUCAGGCAAACCAUGCUGCUAUAUCUUUACCUCUGCCAACAAAUCCUUUUUUUGUGAUAAUCGAAAAUGUAUGUAUAGUGUUAGGACAUCAGUAGGGAAUCGGUAGGAUAUCAAAUUUAUGAAGGCAUCUUGAGUUGUCUUAAUAUAUGGUUUUAAGGACACGUAGCCAUGUGAAUUUACAAUGUGUUGGACGACAUGCCCAUUUGUUGUUAGUGUUUUUCGAAGCUAAGCUAUGCUGACACUUUUAAUUGCCAGGAGAAUUUUCCCUGGUUUUUUUUUAUAUGGAAGCAACCUGCAAUUAGUCCUCCUUGCUGUACAUUCCAUCAAUCAGAAUCCCAAGGGACUUGUAAAAUUAUCCCAAAGAGCAGAAUGCAUAUGGCAAUGUAAAGAAGAAGUCGAUACUCAAAUAUAAUUCAUUGAAUUAAAAGUCGAUAACAAGUACAAACAUAGCAAAUACUAAAACGCAAACAAGUGCUAAAAGCAAGUACUAAAAUAUCAAACCAGUACCGAAAGAUUCUCAUUUACAAUAACUUAAAAGCUCUAUCGGAAGCACAAAAUAAAAGACUCCCAUCCCUAAUAAGUUGAAAGAAGUAGAAGUAGCUUCCAAACUUUCCAUUUUGUUGAGAGUCCUCAGGCAUAACCACGAAGUCCCCAUCAUUCUUCAGCUGGUUCCACCUGUGCACAAAGACCAAGGGGAUCAUUAGAUCAUCAUAACUAAAACUAAAAUUCCAGAAAAUCCGCAAUGUAUUUAAGUGCAUAUCUCACCAAAUGACAAGGCCAAGCAACUGGUGCACCAAGUGCAUCUUGAAUCGUUUGUUGUAAACCAUAUGGUCUAAUCAAUUGCUCACGUGGAGUCAUUGCAACUUGUAUCUGUAUUUCACACCAGUUUGGCCCAAGAGCUUGUCCCCCGACCUCAUCCAAUGGAUUCAGACUCCGUAAAUAUCCCUUUGCCACGAUUUUUGUUGGGUCAAACAAACUUUUUAGUGAAACCAUAUUCCCUACCUAGUAAACAUCCAACAAGUACAAGAAUCAAACUCAUGCCAAAUUCCAGAUUACAAAUGCAAAAGUUUAGAAGUUGUAAAUACUUACUCAAAUAGGUCGCGUGGCUCGCGAUGGAGCAUGGCUUGACACAUUGUUAGAUGAUGAUGAAGGAUGUCUCGGGCUGUCAAUUGGAGAGCCCCUUCCAUGUUGAACUAAAAUCAUUUUCUUCAAGCUGGCUAUUUCAUCAUCUUGUCGCUGAAGCCUUUCCUCCAAACGGACUAAUGUUGACUGUUGUUGAACACUUAUACGGUAGCAUGUGUUACGACUAGGAAUGUCUUCCCAUAAGUCCGUUGGAUUCACACCGUCACUAAGCAAGCGAACAUGACCAUAUUUGUCUUGCCCAACCACCUGGGCAAAUAUAUCAUCACGACCAACUGGAUCUUGCGAAUCCGAUGGAAGCUGAUUUUUCAGCUCAGUCAUUUUUUCCUACAUAAUAAAGGAAAACACUUGUUAUUGCAAAAGACUGUCUGAAAACAUCCAUGGUAGAAUUGAUAGGCUUGUGUUCUCGGAUCCUUACCAAAUUCUCAGCAACUAUGGUACUUGAUGGAGUUUGUUGACCUUGGUCGAUCAAUCCUUGGUUUUGAUGAUUAACAAACCAAAAUGUAGAUUUGGGCUAAUGUUUUUAUGUGAGCAAUUUGUUAGAACAGAUUCUUGUGGCACAAAAGAAGAAGCAAAAACAGGGCACUCAUGUGAGACGUCCGAAAGGAAGCUAUCGGACGUCCGAAAGGAUGAAGAACAUCAGGAAGGAUAUUCUGUCGGACGCUCGUGAGAAAGCAUCGGACGUCCGGAUGGAUCGGACACACUCUUCGGACGCACAUCGAUCGUGUCGGACGUCCUAAAAAUUUCACGAAGAUUUGAUAACUCUCUGGACGACGUUCGGACGCAGGGUUCGGACGUCCGACAGGUGGUUUGGACGCAGGGUUCGGACGUCCGACAGGUGGUUCGAACGUCCGACAGGCCAACGGCUAGUUUUGACAGCAUUUAAUAUUUGACCGUUGGAGAGCCUUUUGGAGCCAUUUCUCACAUUCUAUAAACACCCCAAAGCACAAGAAGACACGGGACUUUUGCCAACACAAUAUACAAGCUUACAAGUGAGAUUUUUGAGUAGAAAGAUUCUUUGUUGGUUGUAUAAGGGGUUGGGGAAGUUGGGUUGUGAGGUUGCUCAAGUGAAGGUUAUUCUCUAGGAGGAGUAAAACCUUGGUGAAGGUGAACCUAUCACUUGAAGUGGUAAAACCUUGGUGAAGGUUGCCUCAUUUGUAUAAAAUAGUUCUUAAUUGGGUGAGUGAUCUUUCAAGUGUAGGUUGUUGAGGGUUAACUAGAAUUGUUGUAAAACUCCUUGGCUCAACCAAAGUGUGUUUGGCGUGAGGAAGGAGUGAGCCUUCACUUGUACAUCUUGGUUAGCAUCGCCAUCAAUUGAAGAGGCUAUUGGUUUGAUAUUUGGUUUGCAUUUCUUAUCCUUUCUCUUUAAUUAAGUUUUCUUUAUUGUGCUUAAAUUUGAUAUAUCUUUGUGCAUCAUUGUGAAUUUGUUUGUACUCAUUAGGUUGCACCGAGCACUUACAAUUGGUAUCAGAGCUUGGUCUCCUUGAGACUAAGCUCAAUCGGCUUGGAGUAAAGAUCAUGGCAACCAUAAAAGUUUCCUUUUUAGAAGGGCAAUCUAUUGAUAGACCACCUAUGUUUAAUGGUUCUCAUUUUAGCAUGUGGAAACAAAGAAUGAUGAUUUUCUUACAAUCCAUUUAUAUUGAAUUAUGGUAUGUGGUAGAAGAUGGUCCUUAUGAAGCUAGAAUAGUUGACUCUACCAUCAAUUUGAGUAGAUUAAAGACUAGACAAGAAUUGAAUGAAAAAGACAAGAGAUACCUUUCUUUGAAUGCCAAGGCCAUGUGUAUAUUGUACAAUGCAUUAGAUGUAAAUGAAUCUAGUAGGAUUAAAGGUUGUAAAUCAGCUAAAGAUAUUUGGGAUAAAUUGUGUAUUUCAUGAAGGUAACCAAGAUAUUAAAGAACAAAAGAAAUCUUUGCUUGUUUCUCAAUAUGAAUUUUUCAAAAUGCAUCCUCUUGAAAAUGUUGAUAAGAUGUGUAGUAGAUUUUGUGACAUUAUUCAAGAUCUUAAAUUGCUUGGAAGAGAAUAUUCUUUGGGUGAGAAAAAUAGAAAGAUUUUGAAUGCCUUGCCAAAAGAAUGGGAAAACAAAAUAAAUGCUAUAGAAGAGGCAAAGGAUUUAAAUUCUAUGUCCAUUGAAUCUCUUGUGAAUUCCCUAACUUCUUAUGAAUUAAAGCUGCAAUUCAAAGUGCAAGAGAAAGAAAAUGCAAGAAUGUAUAAGAGAGGCAUAGCUUUUAAAGCAUCUCAAGUGGGGGAUAACCCAUCUUUCAUGGGUAAUGAAAACAUGGAAGUGGACAAUGAUAUAACUCCUCACAUCAAAAGUUUCAAGAAGAUCUUCAACAAGAGAAGUUCAAGAGGAGAUUGCAAAAUUACAUGGGAUGAAUACAAUUCAAAAAGAGAAAAAGAAGAGUUGGCACAAAUGGCACUAAUGGCCUUUGGAGAAGAUGAGGUAAAUUCUUAUCACUCUUCUUGUGAUGAAGAUAAUGAAGAUGAUGAUGUGAAAAUUCUUAUGAUUAAAAUGCAUAAAAGUUUGAGAAAAUCUUAUGCUAAAAAUAAAGAUUUGAAAACAAAAAUAAAUGAUUUGUUGGAAGAAAACUCCAAACUUUUUCAGGAAAACAAAUGUUUGAGAAUGGAAAAUGAUGAUUUAAAAAAUCAAAAAAAUGUUUUUGAUUGCAAAAAUAAUUUGAAAAGGAAGUUGGAAGAGAAAACAAAGUUUUAUGGAAAAAUGUUGGAUGAACAAAAUUUGUUAAAGAAAAGAAUUAAUGACUUGAACGAGUUUCUCCAAAAUGAAAAACAAAAGUUUUCUCAAACAAAAGAAAGCAAAUCUUUUCAAGGCACAAAUACGUUUGCUAUGAUAAGAAGUAAGAAAAUUAGUUGCAUUAAAUCCACUUAUGUGCAAAAUACUUCUAUCAUGUGUCACUUUUGUUGUCAAUUUGGACAUAUGCAAAAUGAUUGCUAUGUAAAGAAAAAUAUGAGAAAAGGUAUGAAAUCCAUGUGGAUUGCUAGAUCAUGUUGUACUAACUCCCAAGAACCCUAUAAAAACUUACAAUUGGUAUCAUGAAAGUUUUGUCAUUCUAUAUGGUCUUGAUUUGGAAAAUAAAGGGGGAGUUUACUUUUUGAUUGAUGUCAAAAGAGGGAGUAGGAUUUAUUGAAAUUUCUUUGUAUGUUGGCAUUUUCUAAGGGAGAGUUUUAUUUGAACUUAUUUGAUCAAAGAAAUCUUCAUUUUGUUUGUCAUCAUCAAAAAGGGGGAGAUUUUUGACCUUGGUCGAUCAAUCCUUGGUUUUGAUGAUUAACAAACCAAAAUGUAGAUUUGGGCUAAUGUUUUUAUGUGAGCAAUUUGUUAGAACAGAUUCUUGUGGCACAAAAGAAGAAGCAAAAACAGGGCACUCAUGUGGGACGUCCGAAAGGAAGCUAUCGGACGUCCGAAAGGAUGAAGAACAUCAGGAAGGAUAUUCUGUCGGACGCUCGUGAGGAAGCAUCGGACGUCCGGAUGGAUCGGACACACUCUUCGGACGCACAUCGAUCGUGUCGGACGUCCUAAAAAUUCCACGAAGAUUUGAUAACUCUCUGGACGACGUUCGGACGCAGGGUUCGGACGUCCGACAGGUGGUUUGGACGCAGGGUUCGGACGUCCGACAGGUGGUUCGAACGUCCGACAGGCCAACGGCUAGUUUUGACAGCAUUUAAUAUUUGACCGUUGGAGAGUCUUUUGGAGCUAUUUCUCACCUUCUAUAAACACCCAAAGCACAAGAAGACACGGGACUUUUGCCAACACAAUAUACAAGCUUACAAGUGAGAUUUUUGAGUAGAAAGAUUCUUUGUUGGUUGUAUAAGGGGUUGGGGAAGUUGGGUUGUGAGGUUGCUCAAGUGAAGGUUAUUCUCUAGGAGGAGUAAAACCUUGGUGAAGGUGAACCUAUCACUUGAAGUGGUAAAACCUUGGUGAAGGUUGCCUCAUUUGUAUAAAAUAGUUCUUAAUUGGGUGAGUGAUCUUUCAAGUGUAGGUUGUUGAGGGUUAACUAGAAUUGUUGUAAAACUCCUUGGCUCAACCAAAGUGUGUUUGGGGUGAGGAAGGAGUGAGCCUUCACUUGUACAUCUUGGUUAGCAUCGCCAUCAAUUGAAGAGGCUAUUGGUUUGAUAGUUGGUUUGCAUUUCUUAUCCUUUCUCUUUAAUUAAGUUUUCUUUAUUGUGCUUAAAUUUGAUAUAUCUUUGUGCAUCAUUGUGAAUUUAUUUGUACUCAUUGGGUUGCACCGGGCACUUACAGAGUUCCAUCGGCAUGGGUAUAAAACUUAUUGAACAUUUCUACUCUAGUAGGAGGUCUUCCCAACUGUUUGGCCUAUAAGAAAUUGAAUCGUUUUAAUUAUAGUUUUAGCAUUUAGCAUAUAAUUAAAAAACAAGCUAACAUAAUGAAACAUGUACGAGCAAAAAAAAUUAGCAACUAAAAAGUGGAUGAGGUAUCACCAAGUGGUUCCGAAGAUGAGCAAAUGACUUUUUUCCGGUUGUGUGGUUCAUCUUCUUCUCCCCUCUAGCUUUCUUGUUCCUCUCACUUAGUUUCUAAAUUUCAAAAUCAAAAGCAAGAUUACAGCAUUGAAUGAACACAACUUUAUGAAGAAUGUUGUAGCUGAUUUGUACCUUUGCUUCUUCACUUUUCCAAUAAGCCCAAAGUUUGAUCCAUUGCUCUUCCCGUACCCUUAUGUCCUUUUGAAACCGAGCUUCAGCAUUUGGCACGGCAGAAUCAAAAUAGUUAGCCUUUAAAUCUGCCUUCCAGCUUCUCCAUUUUUUGCCAAUAGAUCUUAAGGUCCAAGCUUCCAGUCCCAUAGGCAAAGCAAACCUUUCCUGAAACGUAGUUAGCAACAAGAAAAUCAACACAACUUCACAGUAAUUUUUGUACAAAGCAUACAUAAUACAAAAGCUGCCAUUACCUUUAUCACUUCUAACAUGUCCAUUUUAAGUUUCCUUGGCAUCUUAAGCCAUGUUUCAACAUCUAUUGGACAAUACAUACCAUUCCUAGCCAAACUGCCCAAGAAUUCAGAGAAAGAGUUUUUCUCACUUAUUGGGAUCCCAUUGUCAUCGAGUUUAAUCUCAAUCCGUGGAAGUUCCUUAGGCCGACCCCAAAUUUCUUUCAUAAAUAUAGGGCCUCGGGUUUUAUGAUUUACUUCACUUGAAUCAUUUGUAGUUUCUUUUCCUGUUUAAAAUAAGAAAAAGGUGCAAGUUAUGAACAUAACAAAAUGCACUUCUGGAAUUGGUUCAAAACAGUUAGUAAUACCUGCAUUGUCCGAGUUGCAUGACAUGAAGGUGGUGUCACUGGAAUGUGGACCUCGAGAAUCCUGAUUUGGACUUUCUUCGGUUGCUUCAUGCCUUGUUCCAAGUGGAGAUUGUUGAAUUGGAGAGUUCUGGCACUGCUCAUGCGACUUGGAACCUCCAUCAGCUUGUUGAGUAACUUGGUCACCUGAUUCAUGCAUUAUUCCCAAUGUAGAAUUCUGAAUUGCAGAUUGAGGUGCCCGAGCAGCUUCUCCUUGCACUUGUUCAAUUACAUUUUCAUGGCUUGUUCCAAGUGGAGGCUGCUGCCUUGUUUCAUAACAUGAGGGAGGUUGCUCAAUUGGUUCAUCUCUCAAUCCAUUUGCAGCGCGCUUACAUUUUCGACCUCUACGGGCCAUACCUGCAUAAUAUUUGAGUGAAGAAAGGGACAAAUGUAAAUGUUUAAAAUUUAUUGAAGCACACUCUCUACCUAUAGUUUCUUUAACUUACAAAUGCUAUUAUAAAGAAGUACUACUUGAACAAUAAACUGGCAUGACAAGUAACAAAUGGCAUUCUGCAAGAAUAAACCAGGGGAAGACUAUGGAGCUGUCAACAGAACAGAGAAACAAAUGGAGAAUAUAUGAUUCAAUGCAGCAACUAAUUGGAAAUGAAAUGAAAGCUACAUGCUUAAGUGACUGCAAGAAUAUACAUGGGAAAUGCUUUGAUCUACAUCCUUUCAGCAUGAAAGAUAUGCAGAAUUUACUACCGCUAGACACGAAACUUUUUCCAUAUUGUUCUGAGAAUGAUGCCUAUGAUCAAAAGUUGGUAUGCUUAUGCUCAAUGAGGGUGUAAGUAGAAGAGUCCACGUAAUUUUAACUUCAGUAAUGGAGCAAACUAAUAAAUGAUUGUCUUGAAUUAACGAAAUAUACUUGGCCAUGUGAUAACCAAAAAUUGCAGAGGAUAAUGUAUUCUACCAACAAAUACAAGUCUUGGUUUUGUAUGUUUAGGGUGGCAAUCGGGUCGGUUAUGAAGCUCUACUGAAUACUUUUAUUUCCAGAUUCUGACAUGGUUCUGCAUUUAUCAAGAACUUGUCUCAUCUAAACAAGAGCUCAAGCUUUACGUAGCAUUGACGAUUCCAAACCAAAUUACUUCUCUUUUUGCCAGAGCCACAUCCACAGUUAUGGGUUGACACUUAACAGUAAAUGCACAAACACUUUUCCAAUACAAUUGUAGCAGUACAAACAAUACAGUUGUAGAACAGGAAGGAGACGAAGAGCAUCACGGUGAAAGACUGAAAACGAGAACCCAUCACCAAAAAUAGAUGGUUGAAAUUGUACAUUCAGUUCACAGUAGCAGUCUCCAUUCGACCAGGCUCACCUAGAAAUGUGCUUCUCAGAAAUGUGCUUUUCACACCGCCACCACCCCAAAAGCUUUUCACACCACCACCACCCCCCAAAGCAAACAUUCUACCUAGAAAUGUGCUUCUCAGAAACGGAGAAGGUGCUUGUCAGAGAUGGGAAUCGAAUAGCCUAAAAACUAAAUCUACCAAGCAAUGCAAGAACAUGUCUACCAUGCAAUGCAGAAUUAGACACAAAAUACUGAAAUUACCUCAAACUAUGGCUUGAAUCCCUAAUUUCUCGGUUUCCCAAGCUUUGAAGCCCUAAUUCUGAUUUCUUCCCACCAAGCCAACACAACAGCCGAAUUAGGGAUUUGCCUGGUGCGAGCUCAACCAAGUUACCCAAAAGGGUGCGAGUUCAUGGACGGCAAUUGACUCAAAUUGGUUGUGCGAGCUUGAAAGAGAGAGAGAGGACAAAGGCAGAGGACAACGAGAGAGGGAGAAGAUGUCUGAAAUAAAGGCAGUACUAAUGACGCCAAAGUAAAUUAGUCAAGCCUCUUGAAUUUUUCAAUUUGCCGCGCUACUAAUGACAAUUUUUGUGUGUUUGGGCAAAAUUUUGUUAAAGCUAGAUAACAACUAAAAAUUUGGUUAAAGCUAUAUACAAUAUAAUAUAACAACUAAAAAUAUAAAGGCUAAAAAUCUUGUUAAAGCUAUAUAACAACUAAAAAUAUAACAAAUAAAAAUUUUGCAAGAGCUAUAUACAAUAUAAUAUAACAAUCAAAAAUUUUGUUACAGCUAUAUAACAACUAAAAAUAUAACAAAUAAAAAUUUUGUUAAAGCUAUAUACAAUGUAAUAUAAUAACUAAAAAUAUAAAAAUAAUUAAAAAUUUUGAGAAGCUAACAAAAAACAUUCUUUUAAUCAAAAUGUUUUUUACUCAAUUUAUUUUAUGCUGCGAGCAAUUAUGUACGGCUUGUAGUCUAACAAGCCAUUGGAAGGAUCGAAUUAGUUUAUGAAACAAGAAAAUUAACUUGUGAAUGCAUGAACUUUCCAUUGAUAAACAUUGGGAUUAGAAUUGAUUGAACAUAAACAAUGAAUAUAUAUAUAUAUAUAUAUAUAUAUUCAAUGUUUUCAAUUCCAAAGCAAUUGCCAUUGAACUUUGUGUUAAUUAGAAACUUACUAUCACUUACAAGAUCUUACUAUUGAACUUUUCAAUGAUUAACCUUAGGCUUACACUUACAACGCAUUAAUUGAACAUAAACAUAUAUAUAUAUAUAUAUAUAUAUAUAUAUAUAUAUAUAUAUAUAUAGGGUAAAAAAAAAAAAGGCCCCCUGUGUAGUUAACCUAAUACACAGAAAAGCUCCCCAUGGUUUCAAAAUAUACAACACGAUCCCUCAUGCUUUGAACUAAAUUGUAAAGGUGACGGAAUCCGUUAAACUUAACGGAAAUGGACGAAAUGACCAAAAUGCACUGAUAUAAUUAAGCAAAAGACAGCUCAAAAAAAUCAUUUGUUUCAUUCUCUAAGUAGAGAGAAUUGAGGGUUAAGGGGUAGAAUAUGCAUAUUUGAUAAAAAAUAGGCAUAAAAAUUUUUUUUAGGUUCCAAUAAGUCAUUUCCGUUAAGUUUAACGGAUUCCGUCACCUUUAUAAUUUAGUUCAAAACAUGAGGUGUCGUAUUGUAUAUUUUGAAACCAUAGGGGAUUUUUCUGUGUAUUAGGCUUACCACAGGGGGUUUUUUGUUUUUUACCCAUAUAUAUAUAUAUAUAUAUAUUCAUUGUUAAAAAUUCCAAAGCAAUUGCCACUGAACUUUGUGUUAAUUAGAAACUUACUAUCACUUACAAGAUCUUACUAUUGAACUUUUCAAUGAUUAACCUCAGGCUUACACUUACAACGCAUUAAUUGAACAUAAACAUAUAUAUAUAUAUAUAUAUAUUCAAUGUUUUCAAUUCCAAAGCAAUUGCCAUUGAACUUUGUGUUAAUUAGAAGCUUACUAUCACUUACAAGAUCUUAAUAUUGAACUUUUCAAUGAUUAACCUUAGGCUUACACUUACAACGCAUUGAUUGAAGGAUAAUCUAAAAUUGCGACUAAACCGAUUAAAUUCGAUCAAAGAUCAGUUGGACUAGAAAGCUCUAUCGGAAUUAACUUUUUGUAUUGUUAUUGGUUUAAAAAAUAAUUUUUUCAUGGUAUUAAAAAAUUAUUUAAGAAAUUUAUAGAUUAAAGUUUCAAAAUAUUUCUAUUAAAAAAUUAGACCUCGGUUAUUGGGAAAAAGAAUUGGCCAUAAAAUAAUGAUUCACAAAUGUAAUAUUACAGCUUACAAUUAAUGGAAUUGCUUAUAAAAUAAUGACAAGUAUUUAUCCAGCCCAUUGGGCUCUUAAAAUAAGUAAUGGGUUCCUUGGAAAGUUGGAUAGUUUUAUGUUUGGUCUGAAAUGAUUUGCACAUUCCGUACGUUGCCAAUUGUUCUCCCCAAAUCAUAGCCUCGGUUGCCAAUUGUUCUCAUGCUAUUAAAAGAAAAAUCAUUCCAAUACCAUUUUUAUGAAUAAGACUGACGAUUACUAACCAAGACUAGAAAUCCAAAAACUGGACCAUGGGAGUAUCAAUGAAGAAAGGCCUUAAAGAGGCAAAUUAAUACACAAGUUUUAACUAAUAGCACCAACUCUUUUAUCACAUCUGUCAGAAGGCUUAACAUGACAUCGAGAGCACUAAACUCAAAAAAAAAAAAAUGCAAAACCCAUCGACAAAAGGAAAUAAAGCCUAGGCCUCGCAAUUGAAACAGAGAAGAAUAAGGCCAGUAAGCUUUAAAGCUAUAAAAGAUUCUAAAUCAGAUUAUAUUGGGACAAAUCAACUUCAAUCCCAAGUCCAUUCUCACGAACCCAACUAAUUUCCUCAUUUUCAUUCUCAACAACAGGAUUGCCAACAUCACUUUGCAAAUAUGUCUCAACAUCCAUGGUUGUGCCCAUGUUAUAUCCAGCUCUUGCAGUGGUAGAGAUAACCACUUGCCAAUCCUUAUCAGUUGGAUCUUCCACAUAAAAAACCUGUGAUGCUUGUGAAGCAAGUAUAAAUGGCUCAACAUGAGGCCUCACGUUUGCAAAAUUGACUAAAGUAAACCCAUCAGCAUCUUGUUUCAUUCUCGAACCAUUUGAUAUCCAAUCACAUUCGAAUAACACCACCCGCGACCUCCGUAAAUUAAUUCAAUCAUAUUUUUCAAGAUGCCGAAGUAAACUAGUUCACUCAAAACUGGAUUUUGAUCCCUUAUACUUGCAAAACUGGAUGUUGUUGCAUUGACUGUAACACCACUAUUCUGCGUUUUUCUUUUCUUCUCAACUUCUUUGGUGUGAAACCGAAAUCCAUUAACAACAUACCUGCCAUGUUGGAUUCCAACAACAUCUGGACCUUUAGCAAGGAACCUCAACUCUCUCAACACCGAAACAUUUUGAGGAAGUUCUAACUUGUCAAUCUGUAAAAAAAAAAAAAAAAAAAAGAUGAAACUAUAUUUGAAGUCCUACAAUUCAAAUUGUACUUAAUAUUCAGAAUUUUACUUACAUGUUCAGCAAACCAACAUGCAAAAUUUUCACUGUGCAAGCGCUCUUUUAGAUGCUGUGGAACUUGAGGAUGUCCUUCUUCUAUCAAUCUACGAUGCUGCCUAGAAGUACAUGAGUCAAAAUUGUAAUCAUACAUUGAAUUCUACAAUAAAAUUUUAAUGCAUCAAGUUGUAGUUGAACUUACUCUAUGUAAGGUGUGACAGCAUCACAGUUAAAUAAAAUAUACUGAUGUGCUUUACUCAAGAUAUGAGCAUCAAAGACUGUUGGCUUGCCCCUCCCCAAAGGAUGUCCUGAUUCAGAGAAUAUAUCUAAACCAUCUUCAAUUUCCUUAUGUACUUCUUCAUUUCUGCUUGGACGAUUGAAUUUUGUCUCAACAUAGUCCGCAAGAUACAAUGAGCAAAAGUUAAUGCAUUCUUCUGCCAAGUAGCCUUGAGCAAUCGAACCUUCAGGCCUACUUUUAUUUCGAACAUAAGAUUUUAAUGUUCCUAAGUACCUAAAUUAUCAUCAUUCCAAACUCUCUAAUUAGUUCCACAAAUCAAAGAAAGCAAAAAAGGAAUAAACAUUUAAGGCAUAAUGAGAAUUACAAGCAGUACCUCUCUACAGGAUACAUCCAACGAUAAUACACCGGCCCACCUAAUUUCACUUCAAUUGCCAAAUGAACAACUAAAUGCACCAUGACAUCGAAGAAGGUUGGUGGGAAGCAUUUCUCAAGAUCGCAGAGUAUGACGGCAAUUUCACUUUCCAAACGAACCACAUCUUGAGGACAAAUAACUUUAGAACAAAGCUGCCUGAAGUAUCUACUCAAUCGAAUCAAAGGAUAGCGCACUGAUUUUGGUAAAGUCUUUCUCAAAGCUAUAGGCAUCAAUUGCUGCAUUAGGAUAUGAUUAUCAUGACUUUUAAGCCCUGAAAUUCUUGGUGGUUUUACUCGAACGCAUCUUGAGACGUUAGCUGCAUAACCAUCUGGAACUUUCACCUUUUUUAGCACAUUGCAAAACAUAGUUUUCUGUUUUUUAUCCAUUGCAAAGGAAGAUGGAGGUAAGUACACCUUUCCAGGUUCUGUCUCAAUGGGAUGCAGCUCUUUUCUUAGUCCCAUUUCUCUCAAAUCACGGCGGGAAUUAUAAUGGUCCUUUGUUUUAUCCUCGGUGUCCAGCAAUGUCCCCCAAAUGUUUUCACAAACAUUUUUCUCAAUGUGCAUGAAGUCAAGAUUGUGUCUUAAGACAUUAUCUUUCCAAUAUGGCAAGUCAAAGAAAAUACUCCUCUUUUUCCAAUUGAAAGGCAGCUUCGGAUUACCUUUCACAAGUUUUCCAAAUUUAAUUUGCAAGUCUCCCAAUUCACUCACAAUCAUAUCCCCGGUUUGCAAAGGUGGUCGCUUUCCAUGUUCUUCGGUGCCAUCAAAGAAUUGGGCUUGCUUUCUAAAUUUAUGCUUACUAUCUAAGAAUCUCCGAUGACCAUGUAGCAAUAUUUGAAACUAUGAGUCAACCGUCGUGCAUGAGUGAACUUGUGACAAACAGGACAAGCAUAUUCACCUUUAGUGCUCCACCCAGAUAACAUUGCAUAUCCAGGGAAAUCACUAAUGGUCCACAACAGAGCCGCAUGCAGUUGAAAAUUUUCUUUUUGGGAUGCAUCAUAAGUUUGAAUGCCAAAAUCCCACAAUUCGGUCAGUUCUUUAACUAGAGGCUGUAGAUAAACAUCAAUAUUAUUCCUAGGAGAGGAUGGUCCGGGUAUUAACAAAGACAACAUGAAGUACGGUUGCUUCAUACACAUCCACAGAGGUAAGUUAUAUGGUAUUAAAACUACAGGCCAAGUACUGUGUGUAGAACUCAUGUUGUUGAAUGGAUUAAACCCGUCAGAUGCCAACCCCAAUCUAACAUUUCGACAAUCCUUAGCAAAUUCUGGAUGUAGAUGGUCAAAAGUUUGCCAAGCUGGAGAAUCAGCUGGAUGUCUCAUACAACCAUCUUUUGUACGUUUUCCUCAUGCCAUCUCAUUUGAGAUGCAAUUUUAGAAGACAUAAAUAGUCUUUGUAAUCUAGGUUUUAAGGGAAAAUGCCACAACACUUUUUGAGGAAUUUUCCUUUUUUCCCCAGUUGGAUCAUUUUCUGAAGCAACCCACCUAAGCUCGUUACAUGUUUCGCAUGAAGUUCUUUUUUCAGCACUACCCCUAUAAAGAGAACAAUCAUUAGGACAUGCAUCGAUCUUUUCAUAACCCAGCCCCAAUGUAUUCAUCAAUUUCUCAGCCUCAUAGUAAGAAGACGGCAAAUUAGUCAUGGCCUCCGGAAAUGCUUCUCUCAACAGCUCAACAAGCAUAUUAAAAAUCUUGUUACUCAUCUUACCCAGGCAUUUUAGGUGAAGCAAACGAAUAAUGAAAGACAAUUUCGAGAAAUUUUUGCAACCAUUGUACAAAUCCUGUUGAGAAUCAUCAAUCAAUUUGUAAAAUUUUUCAGCCUCUGAAACAGGAAUGUCCCCUUCUCUAUUCAAUUCAUUUGUUCCAUGUGGUAUCCCAAAUACAUCAUGGACCAAGUCUUGCAUGUCAUUAGUCCCAUUUGAAACCCAAUUGAUGUAUUUUCAGAAUUAGAUGUGGCUUCAUUGUAGUUUGAAAGUUCUCCAUGUGCUAUCCAAUUAUUAUAACCCUUGAUAAAUCCUACCACUUUCAAAUGAUCAUAUGCUUCCAUUUUUGUCACACAAACACCCAUGCCGCAAUCUUUGCAAGGACACAAAAUCUUUCCGUCACAACUUGAUCUAGAAAAUGCGAAGUUUAGAAACAUUUGAAGUCCUGUCUCGUACUUUUCACUUGUUCUUGGAAAAUCCAUCCAUCUUUUAUCCAUACUUUUAAUAUAAAUAAAUGUCCUCCAACGAGCUUCCAAUAGCCUACUUUUUAAACUCAGGUCGUGGCUUACAAGUCCCUAAUUUCAAGUUCAAGAAUUUCUCACAAAAAGGAAUUUAUCAAGCAGCCAGCAAAUAAAGGAAAUCAACAAAAUGCAAAAUUUCUCAACAAUCUAUAAAAACAGAAUUUGCAAGUAAGCGGAUAGAAAUUUUAUUUACCUAAUAACAGAAAAAAACCCUUCGUACCAACUCCUGCGCUCACGUCUUCGCAAAAUUCCUAAGUUCAAUCUGAAAUGUCAAUGGUUAAACAAACACAUGAGCAUGAAAACUAAAGGUGAAAUUCAAGAAUUUUACUAAAUUUUCAUCAAAGUAUACAUACAUCUUUGGUGUGUAGUGAUUAAUUUUAUAAGUCAUCUCUUUAGAAAGGCAUGCAAUUGACGGCAUAGGUAAUUGGAAAAAGAAUGACAGAAAAGUCCCCUAGCUUCUAAUCAUGCCUAUGAAGAUCCUUAUGAACAUGUCAAAAUACUUUGACCCAACUACAUCAAUGUCUCUGUCUUAUUAAUCUAAAAGUCCCCUUUUUUGGGCUCAAAAUUUGCACUAUAAUAGACUGAUCAAGUGCAGAAGACACUUAGUACAAGCGUUAUACUAUAUAUUUCAAGCAACUCACGUACUGAUUAGACAUACAAUUUAAAACAGAAAAAUGAUGUAAAGAUGCAAGUACUACAUAGAAUUUAACAUAGAAAAAAGCAAUAGUGAUAUAAGUGAUACCAUUGGGUGAAAUAUGCACUUAGCCGGAGGACCACCUUUGUGGCAAAAGCCAAAAGGCAGCAAAGGUUACCAUUGUUAUGCAAAUUUUGUGCCUCACAUUGGCGGUCCAUUAUCUGCAUCUUAAUUGUCUUUGGGCUUAUAUAGUCACGGUUUCCCAAUUCUGUCACCAGAAUAAUUUCCUGCUAGGCAUAUAUAGACCAUGGUCCUUGUUUCAUUUAUUUAUAUCGAACUUGUUGCUGAGUGUUCAUGAUUACGAUAAGCAAUGCAAUUUGGUUGAAGCUCUCUAUUCACAGUUUUGCUUAACCGUCCCCAUCCCCAAACAGAACUAGCUGCCUAAACAAACUUCAAUUACAGCUAGGUUUCAUAGAAAAAAAUGAAAAACAGGGGGAAUUGACUUUUUAUCGAACAGGUUUUGGGCAACAUACUAAUCACCCGUGGACACUUUAUUAGCUAGCCUAUGUACAAUUAUGGCAUGACGAUAGAACAAAUGUAACAUGGACAUAAAGAUCGAUCUCCUCAAAAAAUACGCAAUCCAAUUGAACAAAUUUCCUCAAGUUUUCAUCUCCAUUGCAGCUAAAGAAAAAGCAUCCAACACCGAGUUGCUAUUAAUGCUACAAUUAGAUAGAUAUCAUAUUUAAAUCUUUCAACAAUCUUAAAUGAGGACAAUAUAACUCAACUAGCGACAGCUCAGGCCAAGAAUCUUUACUUCUCAGAAAAAAAUUUCCAAGUUGCAGGUAAUUUCUUGACAACGAAAUCAAACAUAAGAGCUUCAUUGUGUUUACCACUUCGAUUUUGGAACAACAUUUGCGCGCCUGAAGUAUCUUCCAGCUUUCCCAAUGUACAGCUCCGAUCUUCUAAUUUUACUCCCUGCCUGCCCUUCCAGAUGUCUUAGCCGAAGGAUUUAAAGUUGAGGUUAGAAAAGAUGAAGAUGGUUGUUUGCGGAGACAGCUUGACCAACAUUCUGGAUUGGCUGAGAUAGAUUGUAUGCGGAGAGGUGAGAGAGAUGAGAAGAAGAAAAUUUUCACCAAGUCCUUUUGCCGGCAAAAUGAAACUUCAGAGUACUUUACCAAGUGUCUGGAGCCAAAUUAAAACGAUGUCAUUUUCUGUCUUUUUUUUUCUCACAUUUUCCCAAGUGUCAUGAUAGGUAGUCUAAAGACACAUUAUUAUUUUAUAUCAUGAUAAAAUAAAAAAAUUAUAGUACAGAUUAUUGAGUUGGUUAAUAAGUGUCAUGAUACGUUUGGUAUAACGACACAAACCAACAAGUGUCCUUAUAAACAUGUCAGAAAAGGCCAUUUUUGUUGUAGUGCCUGUUGCGUUUUGAAUUUCUUAAAUAAAGGUCUUCUCUUACCCCCAAGCUAAAUUUCACACACGUUGCUCUUAUUCCUAAAUAUUUAGAGCCCAAGCAAGCAAAUAUCUCAAUUCCGUCCACUAAGUUUAUGUAAUGUAGUGUACAAAUUAGCGUCUAAAGCCAUCUCUAAUCGAGUCCGUGUUCUUUUACCGAAUAUUAUUUCUGAUCUCAAUCGGCUUUUAUUCCUGGCCAAUUAAUCACCAGUAAUGUCCUUGUUGCUUAUGAAGUCCAUCAUCUUAAAUGUAAAAAUGCAGGCAAGGAGGAACUCAGGUCGAUUAAAAUGGAUACGAGCAAAGCGUAUGAUCGAGUUGAGUGAUAUUUCUCUUAAAAAUAUUACUAGCUUUAGGUUUCAAUUCUAAAUUUAUUUUCUUAAUUUUCAAAAGUAUUUCAACAGUUUCUUAUUCUUUUUUGCUCAUCGGUUUGGGAUUUGGCCACUUAAAACCUAGUUGGGGUAUUAGACAAGGAGACCCACUUUCCGCAUAUCUAUUUAUAUUGUGUGCAGAAGCUUUUUACAUUUUAUCUCAGAAGCUAGUCUUUGUGGAAAGUUGGGAGGCAUUGCUGUUGCGCCUGGUGCUUCAUCCAUUUCUCAUUUGUUUUUUGCCAGAUGAUACUCUUUUAUUUGGAAAGCUACAGGGGAGGAGGCUUCAAAUUUUAUGCAGGUUAUCAAUCUUUAUGAAGGUGCAUCAGGCCAGCCGAUUAAUGUGGAGAAGUCAGUGGUGGUAUUUAGCAAGAAUACUCCAGAAGCUGAUUAAUUGGCAAUUGAAUGUUCUCUUCGAAUGCCGCCUGUGGAAUCACAUGAAAAGCACCUCUGGGGUUGCCUACUAUCGUUGAGAGAUCUAAAGGUGAGGUCUUUAAUUCUAUCAAACAAAGGGUUUUUAAACGGAUUAAUGGAGCAGCAGUUAUCUCGAGCAGGAGAAGAAAUUUUAUUGAAUGUCCCUUGUAAAGUUAAGCAUUAUCUCUGGAGAAUUUGCUGUGAUUUCUUGCCUACUAAAGUAAAUCUGCUCCGGAGAAGAGCUUCAGUGGAGCUCAACUGUCUGUCUUGUGGUUUUGAUAUUGAGGAUCUUAUUCAUGCAAUUUCUUUCUGGGCGUUAAGCUGCCUUAAAGGGCAAGUACGUAAGUGGCAGCAAUCAAUUCCCAAAGAGUGGGCUCUGGAGUUGUUAGUUACGUUGAAAAAUCGUGAAGCAGAGUUGUUUGAGAUGUUAUGUUGGGCUAUUUGGCUUGGGAGGAACCAAAAGCUGCAUGAAGAUAAACGAGUGGACCCUUUUGAGUUUAGUUAGCUUUGCUUCGGUGCGCUCCAAUAAUUCCAAGAAGCUAAUGUUACUCAGAAAUGUCCAGGCGAUGGCAAGUUAAAGUUUAAUUUUGACGGUGUGGUGUUUAAGGAAACUCAAUCUAUUGGUUUAGAUGACGGUGCGGUGUUGAUUUAUCUAGUUUAGACCCUCCAAUUUUUGACAUUACGAGGGACUUAACUAGUUUAGAGAUGUCUAGUAUUUCAGGAAUGAGUAGGAAUCAUAAUAAAAUCACUCAUAUAUUAGCUAAGAUCGCAGAAUUCAUAUGUGAUCAUGUCUUUUGGUGGAGAGAUCUCCAGAGUUUGUUGUGCCAUUUCUAAUGGCGGAUUUGUUAGAAAGUUAAUGAAAGUUCAAUACAGGUUAUGUUGAGUAAGACGUUGGAUUGAAAAUUCAAGAUUUUGAACUGAAAUUUCAAGAUUUUGAGAUGAAAAUAAAAGAUCACGCUAAACUUAAUGGAUUCAAAUCUUAAUAUGUGCAAAUGCGUUUGAUAACCAAAAUUGGACAUCUGAAUUAAUUAAGUGCUACUGAAUUUUCUAAACGAAAUUUGUUCUAAAAAAUAAGUGAUAAACUAUGCAUUUAUUACUGAAUGUGAUAUACACUUAAAUAUACUUGAUUUAAUACUUAACAAUCUAAUAAAUUAAUGGACUCAGAUUUUAGAUUUCAAUUUUAUCAAAGUAACCUAAAAAUAUAGACUAUAGAUAAAAUAACUGCAGAUAAUGAUUUAUGUUGAGUAAGCUUUCAAAGCUACGUUUCCCAAAACAAACUUUAGAUAAUCAUUCUCUAAUUUUUGCUUUCACUCUAGAAGAUGCGUACAAUAAUGGGUGUAUACAAAAAUGGAAGUUAAAUUGAUAACACUAAGCUCGCCAAUUCUCAUAAAAAAAAUGAUGACAUUGCCUGCAUUAAUUCUAGUAACGGACUGAAGACAAUAAUUAAUAGGUGACUAUAUGGUGCCUAAGGCACACAAUAAAAUGUGGACUUGGUACCAUUAUUUAUUUUUGUGAAAGGAUAAACCUAUUUUGUAAGGUGUCGCAAUUCAUCAUCAUGAAAUGAGUGGUAAUUUUAAAGCAUUAAUAGUGAAUUCACCUUCAUUUUUAACGUUCAUAUCGCAAAGCCUAUUAAAAAAUUUCCACCAGCACAAAUUCCACUUUUAAUAGGUUCGAAAAUUCACUCACAAAUUUAUCCACAAAUCCCAUUAACAAAAAAAAAAAAAAAAAAUGCAGAAAGUUAUCAACGGAACUUCUAUAGUGCGUUGAUGCGACACGUGUUGGUUGGAGAUUACUAGAUGGGAGUGGGGUUAAUCAAAGGUGGUAUUUUAGUAUUAAGCCCAAAAACCACCGGUAACAAUGGUAUUGACCCAAUUUCAGAGGAAUUGACCCACAUAAACUGUGAAAGAUUAUUUUCUCUGUCAUUUAAGGCAAUUUCUGAACAAGAUUUAGGCGUAUAAUAAAGAAAUUAUCAACCCCAACCCCCAAUAUUAUGCUAAUAUGCAAUUGGAAAAAAUUAAAUGAAUAUUUACUUGAAGUUAAGAAGUGGAUACCAAUCGGUAGAAAGUGUUUAUAACAUACUCCGAAAUGCCAAAGGACUUCCCAAAAAGUGGGAAGCAGGACAACAUCUGAAAUAUAGUCCAAGUUUGAAGUGCUUUAUGUCAAACAUAUUUCAAUAUAGAAAAAAAAAAAUUACUGGUUAGCAUAUGUUUGUGCGCAGUAUUUGUUGAUUGGGAGACGGUUCUAAGGAGGCGGUUUUGCAACAAAUAAGUAAACGGGAUGUCGAUUACUUGGAGUUGUAUCUUAUGCUGGAAAAAUAAUUAGACAUGUCAGUUAAGUAAUAUUUCAAUUUAAAUAAAGUUAGUUAGGAACUAGAACUCGUAACAUGGUUGGAUAUGGUUAGUGAAUAGGAUAUGAAUGUUGGGGGAUAGAAUACAACUAGAAUUACUAAGACAAAUUAAGCGUGACACUUUGAAUUCAAAUUUUACUAACAUUGCAUAAUAACACCUUUGACUGAUAAUUUUUUUUGAUACGGAAACUGGAAAAAUUUUAUUAAGAAGAGGAUAGAUCCGUAUUAAUUGCGAAAGAAAGAAAAAAUGGUGGAGAAAAUCUCCAACUAUAAAUACCUGAAAUAGAACUAGCAUUACUAUCUAAGAAAUGAGCAGGCACAAUUAGAUUCCUAGGAAUCCAAUCAGCCUCCCAAGUAAUGAAAUUCUGUAAACUAACAAAGAUAUCAUCUAACAGCACUCCAUAAGCUGAAUCAUCGGAUUCCAUAUUUUUAAGCAUGUUGAUGAUCUUCAAAGAGUCACCCUCUAAAACAAUCUUAGAACCUUCAACUGAAGUAACGAGGAAAUUGCAGAUAUUGCAGCAUAAGUUUCAGUUACUUCAGGAGAAAAGAUACCUAAGAUUUUGUGAAAAAUACUAGCAACAAAUUUGCCCCAUUCAUUCCUCACAACAAUUCCAACUCUAAAGUUGUCGUCUUCAUAGAAUAUUGCACCAUCGAAGUUUGCACUGCACCAUCGAAGUUUGCCUUUAGAAAUCUUGCAGAGGGCUUUAUCCAAUGAAGUUGAGCAGUGGAAGAGCAUAUUGGAAUGUUUGGAAAUGUGUUUAUUUCAUGGUAUUUCUAUAAGAAAUUGAUAGAGAGGGAGAGACCAAACUGAAGGAUCACGAUAGAACCAUCAAAUAAUGCAUCAUUUCGGUUAAACCGUAGAUUCCAAAGAAUUAUGGCUACCAAUUCCAUGUCCUGCUUUUUCAAAAGAUGAAGGCCAGACAACCGAGACGAAACUUGAUCGGUAGAGUCUAAUCUUAUCUUUAGUGUAAGAAAGCUAAGGGCCCAAGGUUGAAUUGCUACUGGACAGCACAAGAAAAGAUGAUUAACAUCAUCAAUAGGGGCCUUACAUAAAGAACAAGUAGGAUCAAAAUAGACUCCGCGACUAUUCAACUUGGAAGUUAUAGGUAGAAUGUCUUUGCAAAUUCACCACAAGAAUAUUUUAACUUUACUUGGUAUGUUGAGUUUCCACAAGCAGGGCCAAAUAUCAUCCAUAGAACCAUUACUACAUGAAGCUACAUCUUGUCAAUUUGUAGAUUAUAUUUUGAUAAGAUGAUAGGCAAUUUUCACUGUGAAGGAGCCAUUUUUAGAAUAGUGCCAAAUGAGCUUAUCUUGAUUUCGUCUAUCACCCAAUGGAAUACUCAUAAUCAACUCAAUCACAUCUAAGGAUAGCAACGGGGGCAGUGCCCGGGGGGCUAUGGGGCAGAGGUGGGGGGGGCGGGGGAAUUUUUCCCCCAUUUAGAAACGGGGCAGGGGCCCACCCAUUUGGAAAAAAAGAGAGAUAUAUAUAUGUACAUAAUUAUAUAUAUAAUAUAUUAUCAAUUAUACAUGUCUAUUAAUAAAAAUUAUUAAUUAUUUAUACUAAAUUUAUUAAUACAUUUAUAUUAAAUUCCUAACUACACUUAAUACAAUAACACUUUUUUUCUAAAAAAAACACAAUAAUAAUUUAGUGAUUGUAUUUGUAUCAAAAGUAAAAACAAUUAUUUUAGUUAUAUUUGUUUUAUCAUAUUAGAUCGUAUUCAAAUAACUUUUGUUUAAUUAUUUUUAUGAGUUUCAAUUGUGAAGUUAUAAUGAAUAAUAAUUUGGUGAUGUGAUUGAUAUUUUAGUACUUGAUUACUUGCUCAAAUUUAAUUAUAAUAAAAUUAUAUAAUAAUUUUUUUAACCGCGGGGGAAGCGGGGCGGGCGGAGGACGGGACGGGACGGGGGAAUUAAUAGGCAACGGGGGGGGGAGGGGCCACCCUAAUCACAUCCUGCCAAAAAAGCUCUUGAAGCAAAUCAUAUUUCCAUUUCCUGCUAUUUUCAUCAAUUAAACAAUCUAUAGUGGAGAUUUCUAGUAGCACAUCAAAACGAGAUAUAAUUUUGAAAUUAGAAAGACGUGGAAUCCACCUCUUUCCAAAUUUUGAUAUGAUUCCCGUGUCCAUCUCACCAUCUACUACCAAAAACACCUUUGAUUGAUAAUUAAAUAGUUAAAAAAAUAUAUCUACUUAAUUUGUUUACUCAAUAGUUAUGUGAACUAAAACAUAAAAAAGAAGGUCAAUUAUUAUAUUAGUGUUAUAUUUGUAAUAUUAGUUCCCUAUAUAGUAGGUUGCCGAGUUGGGCAUAUUUAUAUUCUACCAAGUAAAUGCCCUAUCUUUUCGAAACGUGGCAAAAAAAAUUGUGUUUGUUUUUUUGGUAGAUUUCAUUCUUUUUCUUUUUUGGUAACAAUUAAUUUACUAUUCAUUUUCACUUCAUUAUUUAUAGUAAAUUUCAAUCAAUUAUCAAUUACUUACCUUAUAUGCAUUUCUAUUAAUUAUACCUUUAUUUUUUUAAUCAACUUAUAGCUUUCCUUUUUAAUUAGGCACUCGUUAAUAUAUGUCUUAGGUGUUAAAUUUUUAGAAAUAUAAGAUGAAUUAGGGAGCAUAUAAAUGUAAGGGAAUUAAUUAGAAAAAUAUAUAAAUAAAAGAAAAAGUAGUAAUGUUGCGUAUAUAUAUGGCAGGUUAGGUGGAAUGCAGGUGUGUUAACGAUUACCCAUAGGGCACCCAUUAGAAAUACUCAUCAAAAUUUGGAUUAAUUUUUUUCCUUUCAUUGCAAUCAUUACUACCAUUUUUCCUAUCAUUUAUUACUAUACCUUCAUGUUUCUAAAUACCAAUAAAUGUAUUACUCUCUUACUUUUUAUUUGAUUGUGCUAAUUAUAGCUUUCCUUUUACUUAAUCAAUUAGUCAAUCGAUCAAUCAACCCAUGAUUUUAAUUCUCUUUUCAAUCGCACGAUCUUUCUUUUAUCCAUCAUUAGGGAGAUUUACAAUUUAGUCACAUAUUUGUUAUGUGUACAAUAAUUAUGCAAUCAUAAGCACAAACUAAUGCAAUUCUAAUAAUUUUGCAUAUAUGCAUUCAUAUUGUAUUGCAACACCUUUAAUAAUUCAUUAUAUGGUUACAAAAGCCAAAAAAAAUCUAGUAUUACCUAGACCUUAGAUAGUCCCCAAUGUAUACACUGAUACUGUAUAAAAUGAUUUUAAACCCGUUAAUAUAUAUACUGAUUGCAUAUGAAGAUUCAUCCCUAAUUUAGACCUCUUAGAUAGUUUGCAUGCAUUAUAUUCCCUUUUUUAAUUUCUUAUUUAGUUUACCUUAUUACCAUUUAUGAUUUUUUUUUAAUUUAAGCAACAUCUUCCAAUAUUUUAUCACCAUUUUAAGUUAGUUCAUUUUUAGGAGAUAGUAGUAUAAGUGUGGUAGUUUGUCCAAAUAACUUUGAAUAUGCAUAUACAACCCAAAAAUAAAAUGAUAGUUGUUUAUAUUCUUAUCACUCAACGAUGAUAGUGUUAUGUAAUUUAAAUGAUUGAGAUCUAUUGCCAUCCAAAUAUAAAUUUAAUAUGAGGGUAUGAUAACUAAAAAUGACUAUAGAAUCUCCCUAAAUACUAAAUAAUGCGAAUAGAGAUAUUCCCUCAAAAACUUGUAAAGUACUUAAUGUGUAUACGGGUAAAUUCUUGCAAUAGUGAAAGGAAAAUAUCUUACUAGCCUUGAAAUUUUGGCCCGUGUAUUGACUUUUGUUAGCUAAAUUAAACUAUCUUGGAGUGAAGACAUAAAAUCUGCGGCAAAUUUGAGAGAGUUGUGAACAUAGCUUAUCUAGCGUACACAUUUUUUCCGAGUUUGAAUUCUCUCACUUACACGACAAAAAGAAAAAACUAUCGUACAUUUAACUUCCAACUAACAAUGAUGUAUAGGUAAUAAAUUAUAUGCAUGGGAUAUUCCAUAAAUAAAUGAAAUAUAUUUACACGACAAAGAGUAAAUUCUUAAAUUAAGAAGAAAUAAUAUUAUAGUAGCUGUCAAUUUGUUUAUAUGACUUUUUGGUUUGUCUUUACUCAUGACAACCAAUUAUGUUAUUUUGAUGUAAAAAUAUCCAAAAACGGUUGAAUACAAUGUGGGACAUUAUUAUUAUUACUCGGAUACCUCAAUAUUUAUAAAAUUGAUUAAAUUGGAAUCCAUUUGGAUUUAACAGUAUUUUGAAAAAACUAUUUUUGUUGUUCAAGUCUAUAGUAAUAAACUUUAAAAAUAACCUCAAAAAUAAUUUAAAAAUACAACAUAUCUCAAAUACAUUAAAAAAUAAUUAAAAAAUUUCCCUAAUUCUUCUUCCCCACACUACCCACUACAACCACCACCACUACCCAUCACUGUCCACUACCACCACCAUCACCCCACACCCAUGACCCGUCUUCCUCUCUCCUCUCUCUCUUUCUCCUCUCUCUCUCCUCCCUCCUUCCUCCUUUUCUUAUUCUCCUUCUCCUUUCUCCUUCCUCCUCUGCCUUGUCUUUCCUCCCUUCUCCCUUCCUUUCCCCACCCCCUAAUCCCCCCUUCCCUCUACUGACUGUGGCCUUCUUGGUCUUGACCAGAAAGGUUGCAGCCAGAAGCCGCGACUAGUGGCUUCUGGUUGCAACCAAGGUCACAGAUGGAGUCGCGGUUACCAUCCACGAUUGGGAGAGGUUUGAGGGUCAAACGAGAGGGAGGGGAGAGAAGGAGAAGAAAGAGGAGGGAGAAGGAAGAGGAAGGGAGAAAGAGAGGGAAAACAGAGGGAGAGACAAGAGAGGAGAGGGGGUAACGGCGUGAGUGGUGGUGGUGGCUGGCGUAAAAUUUUUUAAAAAUACCCCAAAAAAGUUGUAAAUUAUAAAAAUAUCCCAAAAAUGUAUUUUAAAAAGCCCUAAAAAUACCUUUAAAAAACCCCCCAAAAACAUCUAUAGUACAAGUUAUUUAUAUAUAUAGUUACCGUAAAGUUUUUAAAAGAUACCCUAAAAACAGUUAGUCCAAAUGGAGUCUUGAGUUUUGAGGUUAAGGUUCAAUGAUUGACCACAAUUUAGGUCAAAGUAAAACUUGGCCGAAAGUUUAGUGGGUAAAAUAUAAUUUUAAAAAUUAAUCAUCUUCCCUGAUCCUCACAGUUGCAAUGGUGAACUGUCAGCCCCUUAGGACGUGUUCCAGACGGAAACGCGCAACCGUGGUAGAUUUCGGUCACUCAUGGUCAACUUGGAAGGCUGAAGGUGAACUGGUUGGGAAAAACUUGGACACAUGUUUGAUGAUGUAUUCCAUGCCUAUGUAUGGGUUUGGAAAAGUUUCAGGGCUAGGAAAUGUCUCUAAAUUAGGGGAAAUGAGGGGUGGCUUUACUAGCGGUCCGAAAUUUUUAGCUAGGACUACUAUAGAGAGAGAUAACUAUAACUAAGCCAAGUCAAUGCCAAGGGCUGGGGGCUAAGGCUUUAUGGGUUAUUUGGAUGGUUCCAAGCAUUUGGGCUGUGUGCCUAAGUUGCUAAGUGUUGGGCCAAGUUGGGCACGGAACUAAGCAAAUGGCAAGAAGCUGGGUGUGCGAAACUGUGUGACCAUUGCCUGUGCGCUCCAAAGACGAACGUUGGGACUGUCUGGCAGUUGCUAGUCGUUUGCUGGAGUUGCGGACGAUUAUCAGUCAACUCAGACACGUUCUUAUCGGUUUCCUGACUUCAUGUACAUUCGGGUCGGACCAACGGUUGGGUCUUGUCAACUAUAACAAUGCAUAUAAAUAAAUGGCUAGGUAGGGACUAAAGGCAGAUAGUGAGAAACACCCUUAGAUGUUCUGCAGCUAAAUGUUUGUAGAAUUGUCCUUGUAAUCUCUAUAGUGAAAUACAAGGUUGGCCGUUUGUUGUAACUUGUGCGUGUGUUCCUUUGUUUUUGCCUAAGUAUUCUAUGUUGAAUACUUGUAUGCAAGUGUCAGUGUAAGGGCUGACUGGAAGCGCGGCUUAUCAAUGCCAUUACAUGCUUGUUAGGCUAGUGAGCGUAAACACCUCGUAAUAGUUUGGUAUCAAAGCACGGCUUUGAUCUAUUAGACUGUGCUUCUGUUAUGUGUUUUGUUGGUUAAUGAUGGUUGGACACAGGAAUUCUGUUGCAAUGCUUGGAAUGGUUGCAAUGUUAGGAACUUGCAUUCGAGGACUUGAUGCAGUGUCUAGGAGAUGGCCUAGAAGGCUUCAAUGUCAUAGAAGUUCUAUUGCAGACUAGAGAGAUGAUCAACACCCUGACUGCACAGAUGGACCAGGCAGACAGUUUCUUCUGUUGGGGAUGUUGAGAUGCUAAGGAAUGAAAUGAUUGCUCCCAUGCAAAGAUCGUGGCUUUACAAUCGAAGAUCAAUGUGUUAAAAAAGGCAGUCGGCUCUUGUAACACACAGACCUUUCAAAAAUCUUCGAAGAGGAAAGUGAAAGUCCUAGAUCCGAAACCAUACCAAGGUAGUAGGAGUUCGAAGUAUUUGGAAAACUUUUUGUGGGAUUGUCGAGUAGUACUUCAAGGCUAUUGACAUUCCUGAAGUAGAGAAGGUGUCAAUUGCAUCAAUGUGUCUUAGUGGUGAUGUAAAGUUAUGGUGGAGAACAGUGCAAUCAGACCUACCAAACCCAAGAUCGGUACUUGAGAAGUACUGAAGGAGGAAUUGAAGAAGCAAUUCCUUUCCACGAAUGUUUAAUGAAAAGUUAGAGGUGUAUUGUGAAACUUAAAGGAGAAUAAGAAAGUACAGAGUACGUUACAGAGUUCCAAGCCUUGAUGUUAGAUGUAAGGGAAAUGUCUGAGGAAGACAGACUCUACAUCUUCAUCCAUGGACUUCAACCGUGGGUACAGAUGGAGUUGCGGUGAUAAAAUGUUCAGACCGUGUCUCAAGCACUUGCUACUGUCGAGAAGUUGAUAGACUUCAAGUCCAUAGGAUCCAAAAGUGAAAAAAAAAGAAGGGCAAGGAUAAGGCUAAGGGCUCGAAAGGUGGUCAAUUCUCAAAAAGAAUAAAAAGAAGCAGACAGUAACAACGACCGAAACUAGCGGUGCUUCCUCUUCUAAGAAGAAGCAAACAUCCAACCCUAAAAAGGAUGGCUGCUAUACCUGUGGAAGACCACACUUAACCUGCAAUUGCCUCAAUAAGAAGGACCAGAACGUUAGUGCCUUAGUGGCAGAAGACAAUAGUGACCAGUUGGAGGUCCAGGAUGCACGGGUCAACCCCAUGUAAUUCUUGAACGCCAUCACCGAUACUAAUGUCUGUACUCUUUACAAUGGUUUGAUGUAUGUGCAGGUUACAUUGAAUGGUAACCAUAUAUUGACGAUGGUUGAAACGGGAGCAUCAUAUAGUUCUAUGAUGGAAAAAGUAAUGAGUCGGUUCCGGUUACAGUUGAAAGACUUGGGUUUCAAAAUUGAAGGCUGUAAACUCUGAAACCAAACCAGUGCUAGGCAUGGCGACCGUAGAUUAGAGUUGGAGCCAUGGAAGGGUUGGUGCAAUUUCAUGGCAAGUCAAAUGGAUGAUUUUGACUUGAUUCUAGACAAAGAUUUCAUAGUUGCAAAUAGGAUCUAUCCAAUUCCGCACUUGGAUGGCGUCAUGGUGAAUGAUGGCUAGAGUCCAGGCUUUGUUCUUGUAGUAAAGUUGCAGAAACAAAAGAACAAUCAACAAAAGAACAUGGUAUCAACGAUAGAGAUUGAGUCAUAUCUUCUGAGGCGGUGAAGUUGUGUAUAUUGCUGCAUUGGUGGAAACCAAACCUAACAUGUACCAGAAGUACCUAACGCCAUGGCCCACGUUCUAGAGAAGUUUACAAAUAUCAUGCCUACAAAGUUUUCGAGAUAGCUUCCUCCAUCCUGUGCCGUGGAACACAAGAUCGAGUAGGUUCCAAGAGCCCAACCACCUGCCCAAACUCCUUAUCGCAUGUCCCCGAUAAAGUUGGCUGAGAAAGAUAUAGUACGCAUGAGAAAGAAAUGACAGUUGUUGUACAUUGUCUCAAGAUAUGGAAGCACUAUCUAUUAGAAACCAAGUUUGUGGUGGUGACUAAUAACAUGGACAAUACUUACUUCAAGACACAGAGAGAGUUGACCCCGAAGCAAGCUCGUUGACAAGAGUUUCUGGCUGAAUUUGACUUUGACUGGAUUCAUAAGUUAGGAAGGGAGAAUGCAGUGGUCGACAUACUUAGUAGAAAGUAUGUCGAAGAAUACAUUGUUGUGCUUAGCACUGUUGAGACGGACUUCAGGGACAAGAUCAAGUGGGAGUCCCCGAGUGACCCAAUUUAUCAAAACUUGGUGUUCGUGAAGUCAAAGUUCGUCGUUAUUGGCUGGAGGAUGACUUACUAUUUUGCCAAUAGUGGUCAAGCAUAUGUUCCAGCAGGAGGGGACUUAGGCGACAGUUACUACGAGAAACUCACAAUGCUUCUUGGAUUGGUCAUUCUGAAGUUGAACGAAUGCGGGCAUUAUUGUCGCGUAGCUUCUAUUGGCCAAAGAUGGAAGAGGAUAUUUUAAGAGGUUGUGUGGGUUUUGGUUAAUGGUGGAUAGCCCCGUAUCCCAUAUGGCUUCCCCGUAUCCCGUUGGCUUCCUGUGUUUUAUCCCGAAUUUCACCUGCACGGAUUGCUUAUGCAUCGCUUAGUGGACUUUUGGUUUCAAAUAGCAUGUCUUUUACCCGUUAAAUAACCUUUUUUUUACCCAUUGUUCUGGAUUAUUGCAUAAGUGUCAAAUUUCGCCUGAAAUGCUCACAUAUUCUUCUAUGAGAUUACGUGUAUCACUACUGCGUUACCUUCCUUCGACACCUGAAGCUGGAGUUUGACGUUUCAUUUCGUUCAGACCAUGGAAUAGUUGCUGCGAUUAAACUUAUGUCUCUAAGAAAAUAAAGAAGGAAACAUCACUUUUUGUCUCUGUGCUCUUUGAUUUCUGCAUUUUCUAAUCCAUGUUAUAGAACUGACUGUUGAUGAUACCAAACAUUUUGUUAAAAGAAAACCAAAGUAUUCAAUUCCCAUACAUUUAACUCUUCCUGGUUAAAAUGUAACUUCCUCUAUUGAUGUCCAUAAAUUUCCUCGAAAAAGCUUGCGAACUGCAAAAGUUUCCACCAGUCGUCUUAAAAUGGCACUCUAAACCGUCUGCUAUGAUACUUUUGAUAAGCACAGUUAUACUGCCAGGAAGGGCAAGUAGGUAUGCAUCAUGGACCAUGAAAAUGCCAAUUUCCAGAAAUCAAUUACAGCUUUGACGAGUUGCAAACUUCUUGGACUAUGAAAAUGCCAGUUUCUAGCAAUGAAAUGAUAGCUUUCACGAUCUGCAACUUCUUAUUGAUUAAUGAAUACUGAAAAGUACGUAUCAGCCCAAUCUUGCCUCUCUUCAUAGUACCUGGAAAAGAUUUAACAGUCAACCAUAAGUGACAGAACUUUAACAGCGCUAGCCAUAUAACAAACAGUGGACAAAACUUUAACAAAGCUAGUCAUUUUCUUUUCUUUAGCAUGUGAUAUUUCUUCAUGUUUUGCACUUUUGUUUAAGCUUGACAGUGAAAACAUUUUUCAACCUAGAAAAUUCUGCAAGGCAAAACUUUCUUCAUUUUAGUUUCUUCAUUUCAGCAAAAUUAACUUUUUGUUUGGACUUCCAUUUUAAGAGUUUUUCACUGUUAUUUCAUUAAUCUGAAUGUAAGCUUGAGAAUUGAGAUAGGAACAAGUUAAAGAAAUGUUAAAACUGGCUUGAAGUGGGCAUUAUUUCUUGGAAUCUGUUUUAUUACUUUUGUACCUUAUUUCUUAGAAAUGUCAUUCUAAAUAUCUAUUUUGGCUAAUCAGAAUCUGUAUUGGUUAUUAAAUGUGUUUUGAUUAAGGAAUGUACAGCUCUCCAUUCAACUCAUUUCAAGGUUCAUCAUCAAGUCCUGUGAUGGAGCAAAAUAAUGAAGACGUGAACAAUUGAACUACAACGAAAAAAGAGCUGAUGAGAUGAGUGAAAAAGAGAUAGAAAUGAUAAAAAAUGAGGGCAAUGAAGAACGACAGCAAGAGAUGGAGAUGAAGGAGCUGGUCCUUUUGAGAAAAAACAAAGGAAGAAGAAAUCUAGCAUAUGGGAUGAAAUGACAACAAUAGUGCUAGAUAAUGGGACGGUCAAAGUGAAAUGUAACAAUUGCAAGGAACUUUUUGUCAAGAGUGCAACCGAAGCCAUAUCUCAGCACAAGAGACACUUGAAUUCUUGCCUACAAAGAAAGAUAGCCAUUGGAAAGCAAAGCAAACAAAAGCAACAAGUGUUGUCAUUCAUCGAAGGCCAAAGUAAUGGUAUCACUUCCAUCACAAAUUUCUUGUAUGAUCAUGCCAAGGUAAGAGAGCUUGCAUCACACAUGAGUACCCCUUUUCUAUAAUAGAUCAUGUAGUUUUCAACAAAUUCAUGAAAGCGGCUUCUCCAUUUUAUAAUUGUUAAGAAAAAUUGCAUUAGUACUUAUAAAAUUGAAAAAAGGAACCUGAAAUCAUUGUUGAAAGGUGCUGGUAGGAUUAGUAUUACCACAGAUUUGUGGACAUCUGGUCAAAAAAAUUCAAUAUAUGGUUGUGACUGGUCAUUUUGUUGAUUUUGAUUGGGUGCUACAAAAACGUGUUGAAUUUUUAUAAUGUUCCUCCUCCUCAUACUGGAGUUAUUAUAGCUGAUACUCUAAGUAAGUGCUUUAUUGAUUGGGGGAUUGAGAAUAAGGUUUCUAACAUAACUGUUGAUAAUGCUUCAUACAAUGAUGUGUGCAUUAGGAGACUUAGAGAGGAUUUUUCUCUAAAAAAGAGAUUAAGUAUUGGAGGAAAAAUUUUCAUGUUAGAUGUUGUGCACAUAUACUUAAUCUCUUAGUGCAAGAUGGUCUUGGUCAACUUGGUGGUGUGAUUGAUGUUGUUAGAGAAGGGAUAAAGUACUUGAACAAUUCUGAAUCUAGGCUUCUUGAAUUUGCCAAAAUUAAAAAACAGCUUCAAUUGCCCUCUAGAAAGCUAAUUUUGGACUGUCCAACAAGAUGGAAUAGCACCUAUUUGAUGUUAGCUUCAGGUUUAGAGUUCAAGGAUGUUUUUUCGAGAUAUGCAGACAUUGACCCUGGAUUUCACUAUGUUUUUACUGAUUUUGAGUGGAUGAAAGUGAAAGAAGUGUGCAAAUUUCUAGGAAUAUUUUAUGAAAUCACUGAUAUGAUUUCCGGGUCCGAGUAUCCAACGGCUAACAUUUUCUUGUGGAGCUCUAUAGGAUUAAAGAGCUUUUAAAUGAAAAAGCUCUUGACCCUUUUUAGCAUCUUUGGGUUAUGGCUGGAAGUAUGUCUGCUAAAUUUGAUAAGUAUUGGGGGGAAAGUAAUGUACUGCUAUCUUUGGGUGCAAUUUUGGAUCCGAGAUACAAAAUAUUUCUUAUUAAUCAUACUUUUCCGGUGAUUUAUGGUGAGGAUGCAGCUCCUAGAUUCGUGGCUGAAAUUAGAGACACUCUUUAUGAGCUUUACAAUGAAUAUGUUGAUUGUCACAUAGUUUCCCAUUCUGAACAAUAACAGAGGCAGGUUGUAAAAGGGAGACAAAAUGAAGGUUCUAGUUCUUCUAGUAAGAAACAGAAAAUGACUGGACCUGCCGUUUUAACUAGUAAAGAAAAGUUGCACAUGCAUGUGAGUGAAAUUAACAGGGCUCCACCACAAAAAUCAGAUUUAGAUGUUUAUUUAGAGGAAAGUAGGUAUUGUGACGCCCCCACUUCUCCUUAAGGUGAACCAAAGAGUAUCCACGGGACGCCUGCCCAACUCUUACCAGGACUGGGUACAAUUUCCGUUCAACCUUAUUACAAUACUAGCUAUCACGACAAGAUGAAGUAAAAAAGAUAAAGUCGCUUCUAUAAAUAAUAUUCAAACUUACACCACGAGUUCCAAAAUACAUCAAAUUUCCAAAAUAUACAACUGCCAAAAGUCUAGUCGAUUACAUUUGGAACCCUAAUACAAAAGUACAACAAAAGGAUUUCUCCGAGUUUCACUCCAUAUCUAUGCCUGUUAAGGAAAAUAAAUCUACGGGGUGAUCAAUUGCUCGUGAGGCCAAAAAACACACAUACAAGCACGUUGUCCAAUUAACAAGAAAACGAUAAUAUUCGAGUAAUUAACAAUUCAAGCGGAAUGUAAACAGAAACAAUUCAAGGAUAUGGGAGCUCUCAGGAGCUAUUGUCCACUGGCACGAUCAAGAACCUCCACGAGUUGACACUCCGUCAAUCGGGUAGGUCAUAAUCCGUAGAAGCUUCACUUACGCGUUCCUCGUCCACCAUACAUACCGCACCGGGCCCGAACAUCAUUUAUAAGGUGAUACUCCACGAGUAUGUCAAGCGAGAUCUUUCAAAUAGAUCAAACUUAUCAUGUUAUUCUCAUGACUCAUCGAGAUUCCCGACCAAACCCAUGCCGGCUCGAGUUCCAAGGUCGACCUAUGAGUUUGGGCCCCCAUGUAACAUUUGUGAGUGGAAGAGAUUCACUCCAACGAUGUAUGCAGCCAUAGCAUACUAUUUCAUGUCAUUCAAGCAUUCGAUACAUUCAAUCAUUCAUUUCAUCUCAUUCAAGUCAUUCAUGAUCCAUUCAUUUCAUUUCAAUUAAUUCAAUCAUGAGUCAUUCAUUUCAAAUGAGAACGAGUGCGGUAAAAUACACACUCGACUCCAUUUUCAAAAUCUCCAAUCAUUAAUAACAGUUAAGCAUGUAUCAAGUUCCCAUACACUUGACACUCACCAAGUAAUUCAAGAAGUAAAGCACAAGCGGUUGUUUAGGCGUCUCCUGUGAGAUCCUCUUGAAGGUCCUCUUGAGUGCCUGAGUAAUAAUAAUGAACUAUUACACACUAUCGUUUAAAACCCCUACUUAUCGAGAAAGAUUGCACUCGUGUACAAUUUAAGAAGAUAUUAUGAGAAUGAGCCUUAAUUACUCGUAAAUCGAGACUCAAAAGUGGGGUUUUAAUAAUACAAGGAAAUUCGAUUUUCAUCUUUGAAAUCAAAUGUAAAACGAUCAAGCAAUAUCGAGGAAAAAUGGUGAGUACUAAAAACUCAAUUUUCUUUAAGUUCGGAAAUUUCAGAUUUGAUAAGCAAUUUUUGAAAAACCGUAUCUCAUUCUCUGUAGGUCCAAAAUUAGAAAAAUUGGUACCGUUGGAAACUACUUCCAAAGUACUAAAAGUUCUUAGAAGACAUUUUUCCAUGAUUCCAAAUAGAUGACAUUCAAAAUUCGGUUCAAAGUUGCUGUUUUGGGCUACCAAGACAAUUUCGGGGUUGGUUUUUGGCCAACUUUGGAAAUUCGGCAAAAUUCACAAAAUGUGAACUAGCCUCUGCAAUUUGGAAAUAAAUUAUAGUUACAAACAAAGUUUAAAACACAACAAACAGAACAAGAAUUGGAGUUUUGAGUGCCAAGAUAUAGCAGCUCAAAUUUGCUGAAAUUUUCUCACUGAAUAAGGAUUUUCCAGAUUUGAAACAUGAAAUUUGGGAUUUCAGUUGAGCAUCGAAAUGGACUUGGAAUGGCACCAAAUUUGGUAGUAUUACCCUACCAUAGAAGGGCUAUUCCUCUGUCAAAUUUCAUGCAAAAAUUCAUAUGGAAGGUCAGUUAACAAAGCCGCUAAAGUUCCAAGAAUUUCCAAGGCAAAUCUGCCUUGUACUUCCGUUUUACUUUUUCAAGCAUUUGGCCAAUGAAAUCUUCUCAAACAUGGUUCAUUUAUGAAGACAAGAUCUAAGAAACAUCCAAAAUGUGUUUGGUAGGUGAUUAAUACCAAGAGUUCCAAAAUAACGACUCCCAAUUCGAGUUAAGGCAUUCAACUAGCCAAGAUUAGGGUUUCCUUUCACUGACACAGGUCUGGAAUUUGGCCACAACUCACUCAAUUCAACUUGGAAUUAGACAUGAUCAGUGGCGUUGGAAACUAAAUUCAUAGGGCUAUAAUUUCUCAGAAAAAAUCAUUUUGAAAUUCUGUCCAUAACUAGUUCAUAUUCUAGCAACAAGUUGCAGCACACAACAGGUUUUCUAACACAGACGAGAAACAGGGCAGGUGACUUUGAAAGGCUGGUACGGUUCACUCAAGUGGAAUCAGGGGAUGCAUUUUAUACUGUUAGAAAACUGGAAGUAUCUAGUUUCUAAUUCCUCAAAUGGCACUCGAUUUUGAUGUCGGAGCAAAGAGUUAUUGUCGUUUGAAAUUCGCUGCCAGAGCAACUCUGGACAUGUUUUCCAACCAUGAAGAAAUUUCGAAAUCCAAACAUUUACCCAACCAAAUCAAGUGAUUUUUGGUGGAAACUUUUCACACAACCUAUAAAACAUAUAUACACCGAAAUCAAGUCAAUUAGAUCACAAAAAAUUGCACCAAGAGGUGCGGCAAUGACAGGGCAGAUCUGGCCCUUCUUCCAUUUCAACUUCCUUUGAGUUUCUUUCCACUCUUUCAACUUAAAUCCACUAGAUUAACACUUAAUCAACAUAAAUAACACUCAAAAUCAUCAAAUCAGAUGAUCAAGUCCAUUGUGGGAUUUCAUAGAGUCUACUCACAUGAUUUUCAACAAUCCAAAGCUACCCACAUGAAGCUACAAGCUUCUAAGUGAAAUCUAACUUACAAAAGCUAAGAUUUAAAGGGUGGAUGAUCAUUACCUCUUAGAUGUUGCUAGAGCAGAAAUUUCGGUCCUUAGAGCUCCAAGAAAACCGUGAGAAUGAAGCUCUUCUCCUAGCUGAAGAUGAUCUCCAAGUUAUUUGCAAGGUGUGGUAUGAAUUUGAGAGGAUUUGGUGCAAGAUUGAGAGACGAAAUGGUGAAGAAACUUGGUCUUCUUCUCCUUGGUGUUGCACGGCUGCUUGAGGGAGAGAAAGAGAGAGUUGUGGCUGAUGGAAAGCUUCUCUUGGAAGCUUAAGAGUUUGUGGCCAAAAUUACUCCAAAAGUCAACUAAGAAUAGUGCAUGUACACGCGCGUUUCGUGCUCGUUUCCUUUUGGAUUUGUUUCACUUGUGCACUAAACCUCUAAUGCACUUCCAUUCAUACUAUUAUUAUUCACUUUUAAUAGUCUAAAAAUAAAGGUCUAAAGUCCCUCAAUUAAUCGCGCGCGCGAAAACGCGUACUUCCGAUUUGUGCGCGAUAGAGUAAAAUUUCUAAGAAAUUCUUACAAUGAUAUUAUAACUGACUAGUACUUGAGUACUUAAACAUAAAAAUACCUAUUUUGAAACUAAUGUAUGAGUCUUCAAUCUCCAAACUCACUGUAUUCUCAAAUCGAUUAUUGUCUCCAAACGCGCAUUCACUAUUCUCACUAAACGAGUUUCUAAAAAUUAAAUUUUUGCAACAAGUCAUUUUAAAUAUAUAUAUAAGUCAUAAUUCCAUGUAAUUGAGUCUAAAAAGGUUGGAAUAAAAUAUUCGGAGCAAACAGACAAUUAAAUAUUUAAAUAAGCUAGUAAUAGAAAUUUAAAAUAAGUAAAUUUGCGGGUCCUUACAGGUAUGCUUGUGAUGCAAAUGCAAAUUUGGAUGUUUUGGGUUGGUAGAAAUAGGAAAGAUUGAGAUUUCCUAUCUUGUCGAGGAUGGCUGCCGAUAUACUCUCCGUUCCUGUUACAACUGUGGCUUCAGAAUCUACCUUCAGCGCCGGAGGUAGAGUAAUUGAUGAUCGACGAGCUUCUAUGUCAAUUGAGACGGUGCAAAUAUUGCUUUGCGGCAACGAUUGGAUCCGCAGUCUUCAUGGCCUAAAGAAUAAGUCUCGCGUUAAGUAAUUGAUUAGAUGUUUUUGUUGUUGUUACAGUUUCUUUAUAUCUGAUUUUAAAGAAUUUUAUAACUUUCAUACUUUUGUUUUGUAGGAAUCACUUGAUGCGACCGAAUCAAUCACAUUUGAGGAAGUUAAACUUCCCGAAUCAUUCACAACCUGAUUUGGUGGCUGUUGAUGUUGCUUGGUGCAAACUGAUUCAUUCACAUGUUGAUUUCGUUGAAGACCUAAAGAAUAAGUCUCGCGUUAAGUAAUUGAUUAGAUGUUUUUGUUGUUGUUACAGUUUCUUUAUUUUAAAGAAUUUUAUAACUUUCAUACUUUUGUUUUGUAGGAAUCACUUGAUGCGACCGAAUCAAUCACAUUUGAGGAAGUUAAACUUUCCGAAUCAUUCACAACCUGAUUUGGUGGCUGUUGAUGUUGCUUGGUGCAAACUGAUUCAUUCACAUGUUGAUUUUGUUCAAAAGCUGCAUCGUUCACAACUUGUUUUCACCCAAGAAAGUUAUUUUUAACUCUUGGUCUAGAGUGUGGACAUUUUAGAAACUGCUUAAAACGUAUUGAUGGCUGAUCUUUAAUUGUUUGGACUCUUUUAUGUAAUUUUUCAUUUUGUAAUCUGAUCUGGUCUGCUGCCGAGUUUGGACAUUUUAUUCCUCCAUUUGAUAGUUUGAGCUGCAAUUUUAACUUCUUUUUUGCUACUCGUGCUUAUGAUGCUUCUGUUUUGCGUUGUCGAAUUGAGUGGAUGAUAUAUUAGGGAAUGUGUUGUUCUUUUUUUGUCAAACUAAAUAUGAGUGUAGAAGAAGCUGAUAUGCUAUCUUACGUAAACGACUUAUGAAGCUCGAAUUACUAAUCGAGCGAGCUCGAACUUGCUCGAUUAGAUGUUCGAGUCGAGCUCGAUUGUCGUGUGCUCGAGCUCGACUCGGCUAGUUUAACAGCCAAGGUAACAUGCAUCAAAGCAGGCUUAUUCUCUUAGUACUUUUUUUUUUUUUCUUUUUAUAAAACACAGGUGCAUUAACGCACGACAGAAGCACCCUAUCAAUCUAAGAUCCCAGCUUGCUUGUAGCUUUCGAUAGAGUCAACAAGAGUUUCUUCCACUGGCCUAUACCUCCAGCCCAGCCUCUCCAAUUUUUCUGAGCUAAUAUUCCAUCGGCUUUGAUCCUUCACCUCUAUAAGUCUGCGAAGAAAUGAGUUAUAUCAAGAAAAUAUGCAGACAACAUAAAUGGUUCUUGUAGAGACUCGUAGAUGCCACACUUUUGGAAAUGGAAAUCAUGACGGACAUGAACAAACAAGAAAAUCAGGACAAACGGGGUGUCUGAAAAAUGAGACAAUUAAUUUCAAAGAUGGUAAUCCACCUCUUAGGGUACUUGUAGUUGGCAUAGUUUUUCCUCAGAGUUUCCACCAUAUCUUUUGUCGUGGUGACGUGAGGUGAACAUAUGUACCGGCCUUCAGCUUCAGGUCUCCCGUAAACCAAAAGCAGUGCCUCGGCCACAUCACGCACAUCUACUGUGUUGUAGAAUUUGUUUUCGGUUUCUUCACAUCCGUCUGUGCAGCCAAGGAGUGAAACAAAAGAGCAGUUUAAUCUCAAAAAAGGAGAUGUUAUCUGUGCUAAUCUCUGAGUUCUUUACUGCAUAUAUGAAACCUACAAUCCCUUUGACAAAUAGUACAGCAAUAAAUUCAUGGGACUUUUGAAUUGCAAAGGACCUACAGGUCACAAUGUUAACCUUUUAUAUCUUCAACAAUGCUCCAAAGCAAAUCAAGCAAACAGUUGAAAGAUGCAACCUCUUCAGAUGUUAUGCCUAUUGUCUGUCUCAUCUUCCAUUAGGUCAAACUCACACAAUUUUCACAUCAAUAAAAUUUGAAUCGCUUGUGCAUGUGUCUGGAAAGAUUACAUUAGCACAAUUUAGUAUUUUUGGCAGCACUGCUCGUUUAAAUUUCCCUGCCAUCAAGCAGAAAAUUUAAUUCCAUUCCAACAGUAAAAGCCAAACACCACAAUCUUAGUUUUUUUUAGAUAACUUUGCAAGUUUUUAGAGCAUUGCCAAAAUCAUAAAACUAUCAGAAUGGCAGAUAGCUUACAGGUUUAGAAUCUGAAAACCUCAGCUGGCUUGAAGAUUAAAUAAAAAUGCCAAAAGACGGCAAAGCAGUUAUCUCCAUGAAUGUAGUUUCAUUCCUAGAAGGUCAACCGCAACCAGAUAGACGGAUUUUGUGAAAUUUUAUUGGCAUCAAUUCAUUGUGUAUCAUGUAAAUAACACUGGAAGCCAGAAGCAUAAAAAUGAUGGGUUACUUGGAAAAUUAGCUGAUCAACCACAUGAAGAAAUUCAAUUGUUUGACCUUUCAAGUACAAAAAAAGGAAAAAAUUGCUAAGCUUUAGAGGUCAUCUGAGUUCUAGAGUGACAUCCAUGCUCACUUAGGCACAAACCAAUAUCAAGGAGAAAACUGUAUCAUUUACGACCACUUCCAUGCAGAAGGUGAAAGAAAGAAAAAUAAAAUAUAACAUAACGGAAUAAGUUCUCCAAUUGACUACAAAGCACUAAUAAAUCACCUUUCAACAGCUUUAUAAGAGCCAGACUGCUAGCAUUCACAUCAUGCUGAAGCAUGGGGCCGAGAACAAAGGAUGGGCAUACAGUUAAAACAUCAAGGCCAGUUUCUUUUGCAUAUUGUAAUGCCUCACUUUCAGCAACCGUCUUGGAGUAACAAUACCAGUUCUGGAGCAAUAUUAGUACUAGAUGGUCAGCCAGAAACAGAUAGUAGUUGCAAAAAUCUGAUUUCUCAGCAAUCUUAGAAACAGUACGAAUAAGACAGUGAAUUUUCUGCACAAUUACAACACCAAGGUGCAACUGCAAAAAGUCAAAUUAUGUUGAUGCAUACAUUUGUUGCCUUGCAGUAUUCGCCGUCUGACCAACACUUCUCAUCUAUGAUUUCACCUUCAGGCAGAUUAGGACUCAUUACAACAGCUGCAGUAGAGGAAACAACUACAACGCGCUUGACAUUUGCUUCAGAACAAGCCUUCAGUACAUUAAGGGUACCCUUUACAGCUGGCUCAACAAGUUCAACCUGCAACAAAUCAUCAUGUUGGCAGAGGUACUAGCACUCAACUCUUCAUGCUGAACUGCUUGUUUUUGCGUAAAAUAUAUCCAGAUAGACAGCUAAGUAGUGUCAGUUAACCUGACAUCUUUAGAGUGAAUGAGUACAUAGUUAAAAGACUCAUGACUGCUUAUGCCUGUGAUUUAACUUGGUUACCAGCAUAGGUUAUUAUUAUAUGCAUUUAUUCACUCAUUUCAACAUUUGAAAAAUCCUUCCACGAAAUGAUAGAAAGACAAAGAGCCCCAGUGACUUCAUAAGUUUGUACAAACGCUUUAACAAGGUUCUAUUUUAAACGAUACCCAACUUUAGCUCAUGUUUGGCAAAACGCAAUAAAAUAUUAUCUGUUAUGACAAAAGCUGUCUCAUAAACAAAAGAUAUGUUAAAAAUGUUAUUCUGGGGAAACCAAAAGGAAGAAAUAUCAUAGCAAUUGAAACGAUUGAAAAUGGUCUUGCCUCAGGAUUGGGAACAGAGCCUGAAGGAACAGGACUAGCUACAUGAAAUACGCCAUCACAACCCCUGAUGGCUGCAGAAAUGGAGUUGUAAUCCAGCAAAUCAGCCUUAAAGAGUUUCAAAUUCUCAGCUGCUUUGUCAAGUUUCUUCAGAUGAACAUAUUUCUCAUCGUCUACAAAACAUACACAGCAAUGCCCACAUCAUCAAGUAACGAAGCACACAAUUCACAGCAGGUGCUUUUAUAUAUUUCUUCAAUUAAACAUAUUUCUCACCCUUCACAAAACAUUUACAGCAAUUCCCACUACAUCAAAUAGGAAACAGCCAAUUGACAGCAGGCAAAAAAUCAAUUGCGGUAUUAAAGGGAAUGAAACAAUCAUACAAUACCCAAAACAAAAACAAAACAAAAAAACGAGUAGUAAAUCAGGAAGGAAGGGUUAUGAGGAUGAAAUACGUACUGGGAUUUCUGAGGGUGGCAUGAACACUAUAAUGGCGGGAAAGGAGUAGCUUGACUACCCAAGAUGCCAGGUAUCCCCCUGCUCCUGUAACACACACUGUCCUGUCCUUCUUAGCCUCCCACGCUGCCAUGUCUGAUUGCUUACCAGUAGCAGUAGCGGGAUUAGUAUUUUAGCACCAAAUUCACUAUAGACUGAUCAAGAAGGUGGGUGAAGUUCUAUUCUUUUCUUUUUUAUGAAUAUUAAUUCUUUUUUGGUUGGACAAGGCAGAGAUUUCGUCGAUUCUUAAAGAGGAGGACUGAAGAAGAGGGCGGUUGGAAGAGGAGGAGGAGGCGGAGGUGGUGGUGUUGGAAUUUUGAAUAGACGAGUCCUGUAUGUAUGAGCUAGCUGAUUCCAGCAGCCUCUGUCAAUACUAGGAGUAAUCAGCAGCUGGCAGGCUUGGGGGCUUAUAUAUAGCAGCAGACCAAUGGUCCUGUUGCGAUUUGCACGGCUCAUGGAAGACGUAUGGUUUCAACGCAGGGUUGGGCUGGGUUGGGUGGGGAAACGGUACUAAUGAUAAAUGUAUGUAUAAUGAAAUUUGAGAUAUUUCUAGCAAUCUGUUAGUAAAAUUUAUUUUUAUAAAAAAAAAGGAGUAAAGGAGCAUAAUAUUAUUAAGUUAUAGUAAAACUUGAUGCACAUAUCAAUAAAACAAGAUAUUCUGUGCAUUUGAAUACAAUAGUAUAAUAUGAUUUUACCAUUGUCGGAUGUUUAACAAAUUUAUUUAUUAAUGGAUAUUAAAGUGUUACAUUUUAUCUCAUAUUUUCCCAAUUUAUGACUCAGAUUUUAAAUUGAUUAACUCAUUAGAGAAUAAAAAACUCAUCCCGUUGCUAAAUUGGACAAGUGACAAAAACUCAUGUCCAUAAUGGGAUUUUGCUUCUGACUCAAAUCCUAUAAUGCGAACCAAACCCCAAAUCACUCCAUUAUAACGGAAACACAAACUAAACUAUUUAAUAUUCAAAUCAAGUUCCGCUCAAUAACAGUUUGUUCGAAUUUGAUUCGCAAACUAAUCUAAUCAAGUUAGAAUAACAUUUUAUUCAAAUCAAGUUCCGCUCAAUAACAGUUUGUUCGAAUUUGAUUCGCAAACUAAUCUAAUCAAGUUAGAAUAACAUUUUAUGUUUGAAAAAAAUUUUAACUGCAGCUCAAGCUUAGCUCAAUAAUCAUAAAAUUGGAUUUUAUAGAUAAAAAUUACUCGAACUCGACUCAAUAAAAAUUCUUUUGAACGUGACUUAGUAAAUAAAAAAGCCAAUCUUGAAUACUAUUUCAAAAUUCUUUAAAAUAAAUAACAAGAUAUUUGGUUUGAUUAGACACAUUCACACCCCUGUUUUUCAUAUGCUCGAUAACAUAUAUUUUUGCCAUUGAAUUUUGGGACAUGUUUAUCAUUUUUUAAAAUCUUUUUUUUUUAUUUCUGGCUUUUAUAGGAAAAAAAAAACUAAAGGAUGUGUUCGGAUAGGAGACCGAUAAACUUUUCUCUCCCCCUCGCGCCUAAUUGCAGGUUAAAAGCAGUGUUUUGAAAACCGGACCGGACGGCCGGUUCGACCGGUUGGACCGCCAACCGGCCAUGAUUCCGGUCCGAUUCUAUGCUAUAGUUGACCAGGUUAGAAAACCGGUUAAACCGUGAAAACCGCCGGACCGGAUUGAACCGGCGGUUCUCGGUUUUCGAGAUUUCCCUUUUUUUUCUUUUUUUUUCUUUUUUUUACGUUUUGCAAAAUGCAGUUAUCAAGAUUCGAACUCAAGACUUUUGUAAUAGAAGACCAAUGUAGUAACCAUAGUAACCAUUGCACCAUCACAUCUUAUUAGUUUUUUUUGAUAACUUGUUUAUAUAAAACAAAAACUCAUAUUUCUUUUUGUCAUUUUUUUUAUAAAAUCUAAUCCUCUCAUAGCUCUUUCUUUUUAAUCUUCAACACACACACACACACACUCUCUCCUCUUUUUUUUGUCACUCUCUUUUUAAUCAAACCACUUUAUUUUUAAUUUAUUGAUGUUUUCUUCCAUCUUUUAAUUUUAUUUUUGUCCAUUAAAUUGAAAAAGGUUAAAAAAGAAUUAUUUUUCUUUAACCCAAAUUAUUUAAUGCCACAACCACUCACUUUUAUCUCAUUUUUUAUUUCUUAUCAAGUUUGCAUUUCUAUUUUCGAUUCUCUUGACUUCUUUCGAGCUCCAAAAUUCCUUUUUUAAAUUGCAAUUUCUAAUCCCAAAACGUAAAUUAAAAUUUAAGUUCACAAAAUCUAAAUUCUCAUAGACAUGAAUUUUGUAUAAUUUUAAAAUAUUAUGAUAUUUUUGGGUUAGAUCUAAGAUUUUUUUGGUAGAUAUAAUUGAAAUUGAAAUGAAAUUUAUUUGUUUUAACUUAUAAUUUAAAAUUUUUAUUUUUAAAAAAUCAAGUUAUUCAAAAAUAGUAAACUUUUCAUCAUAUAAUGUAUUAAAUUAGUCCAUUACAUGUCUUAUUUUGUGCAUAAAUAUUUACAUAAAUUAUUUUUUAAAAACUUCAUUGAACCGAGGUUGAACCGGUCCGACCGGUUAAAUCUCGACCCUUUCACGUCACCGGUUCAAUUAACGGUCCGAUUUUUAAAACAUUGGUUAAAAGGAAUAUCCAGUUCUUAGAUAACUUUUCUAGGCACAACUCUAGUUGUCAGAAAACUGGUCUACUUUGACUGUGGGUUUUCCUUUAGUCAGGCCAUUUUGUCAUUAGUGAUGAUUGCUUCUUCUAAACCUUAGCUAACUGCACACGCCAUGCGCAUGAAACUUCUUCUAAACCUUAGCUAACUGCACACGCCAUGCGCAUGAAAAUCCAAACUUCAAAUAAAAUAAUUUGAACUCGUCAACUUGCAAAAUAAGAUAAUUUGGGUUUCGUCUGAUAUGAGUAGUAAGGGAAAAUUUAAUUACUAUAUUUAUGAUUCUUGACUAAUGUGAUUGCUCAUCUAUCACCACGCAUCAGUUUAAUACCUUAUCUUCAUUUAAAUGUGACGAUUGUAGAAUUGAUGGCUGAAACUGAAAGGAAACUGAAAAAGAAAUGUCAUGUGAGUGCAUAUGCAUGGUUAAAACAAUACUCCCACAAAUUAUAACCAAUUCGAUCCCUUGUUUUUAAGGUUUUGAUCGUUUUGGUUCCUUGGUAUCAUGACAAGCCAAUUUUGCCUCUUAAAUUUAAAAAUAUGGUUAAGGAGAUCCUUUUGAUGGAAAUUUGAGUUGCUAAUGAAGUGAAGAGACCAUUUAGUGCCUUUCGUGUCACAUCCGUCUCAACACUAUAUUAAAGUUUCAAAAAAUCUCAAAUAAGUCAUAAAACUCAUAAAACAAACCCCAAAACUCUUUAUCGUGAAGAAAAUAAAUUUUUAUAACUUUAAAAUAAAUCAAACACAAUACCUUAAACAUAAUUAUGGAAUUUGUGCCAUUUUCGAGUUGAAAUAUCAUGAAAAGGAGUACCAAAAGGUGAAAGAAAAAUGCAUAAACUUAUGUUUGACAUAGUAUUAAAAACUUUUAUUUCAUUAUAUUGAAGAGUUUUGGGUGAGUUUAGGCUUUUAGGAUUUUAUUUGAAUGCUUGGUGUUUUCUGCGAGAUGGCACGAAGUACCCUCUAAGGUCUCUUAACUCCAUUAACAACUCUAAAUUAGCCUUGACCAAAUUCUUCAAAUUUAAGAAAAAUUGGUUCGCCAUAAUACAAAGGGACUAUUUUGUUAAUACAUUGGAGAUAAGAAACCAGAUUAAUUAAUUUUUGUUGUUUGCGUAACUCAAGGGAUUUCUCCGUUAGCUUCCCACAAUUUUGCUACAUUAGUCUCUUUUGAUGGAGAUAGAGCACCAACUCACAGUUGUAUUAGAACUUCACUUACGCUAUAAUCGUUAGGAUUUUCUUAUAUUCAUCCGACUACUCAAUAAGUAUCCUAUUUUAUAAUAACUAUCCUACACCUCUUCAAAGCCUGAUAAGAUGAAGAAAAUCUCUUUACUAGCAUCUUAAUGCCUUAUAUCCAGUAUUGAGGGAAAAAAUUUAAUCACAUUACAGUCUGAGAAUUUGAAUCCAGCAAUUUCACGGUCUGAUGUAGUCACCCCAAGUAGGUUCUCCAGUAAAACAGGGUAGUGAGGCAAAAUGUACAUCAAAUAGGUCAAUUGUCGAGCCCCUCGGGGUUCGGUUCCGUGGUUGUAGCCCCAGUUGGGGGAGAGCCACGUCCAGGGAUCGAGUCCCCGUUCUACCGUGGCUGGUGAUGCUUGAGGUGGGCCGCUCCCAGCCCGCAGUGGAAUUAGUUGGGCCGUACGGUAACCAGUACAUGGGUCCAGAUACCCACUGUGAUGAAAAAAAAAAAAUAGGCCAAUUGUCGAUCUUUGAUUAUGUCUACACUUUCAAAAGAUAGGCUUAAUCAUAUUAGUGGAAAUAACUCAUAGUUCAUCAUAUAUUAAUUUGCUAUUCAAUUUAGUUUGAAUACAUGAUCAAUGUUAUUGUAUGCCAAAAAAGAUUGAGGAUACUUUUGACCUAGUUCUUUGCACUAACUUGAAAUCUUCCAAUUGUUCUUUCUUUGAUGCACUUGCAAAAUCUCCUGCAAAAGUAAAAUAACUCAGUUGGUGAAUUUUGGCUAACUGAGAGGCCCCAUCUUCUUUUUACUUCUUUAGCACAAGCGAAGAAUGAAUUUAUGCAUAAUAACCGUGUGAUUCUAAUGAGAUAUGAUUUUUUUGGUUUUGCAUGCUGGUUAAACAAUUGUUCAAGCUCUUAUCUUGGUUUUUGAUACUUCACCGGUAUGUGGAUGUUGCUGCUAAAGAAAUUUACAUUUGUCAUUAGAAGAAUUUUCUAUUUUAUGACUGGCAAGUGAUUUGGUAUCUUAGCAGUUCAUCGAUUUUGGUGCUUUGUUUACAAUUUAAUUGGCUUCAAUGGUCCAUACAUAUAGGAACUUGGAAUUUACCCUUUUAUUUCCUUUUGCAUGAGCAAAGAUUAGUAAUUUUUAAUCAUAAUUUUCGAUUCCUCUAUUCUGGCCAUAGUGAAGAAAUCUACCUUUUUGUACUUGUGUAUAUGCACACCAAACAUCAUUGGGCUGUCUACUUUUGACAUUAUUCUUGAAUUACUCAGUUUAGAAUGUGUAUUAGCUGCUGGAAGUAAAUGCAUCAUCGUUGGCAAUUACUAAACAGAAAAUAUGCAUGCCAUUACUAUUUUCACUGAAAUUAGCAUCUAACUUAUAAUGAUCUAAUUAAAGGUUAACCACAUUGGUUUUGACUAGAACUAAGAGAUCACUAGCCCUCUUAUUUUUGGAUUUGCAUUAAUCCAGUAUCAUCAAACUUCUUCAAAUGGGCUCUUUAGCUACUAACCCCUUCAAAAAUAAUUUAGGCUUACGGUUCUGUUGAUGUCGCAAUUGCAGGAGGUUCAGAAGAUAACGAAAGGCUCAUCUAAGAUUUCUUAAGGUGUUUGGCUUAUAUUGCUAGAUUUACUUAAUCUAUUUUCAUUCUUCUCCGAUGUCAUUAUUGUUAAAGUUCAAUUCAUAAGUUGGUUGUGUUAGAAAAUUGGCUUAAUUUCUUUUUAGAUAGGUUUUUGUUUUGUGCAAAAGUAACUAGUUUCCUAAUUGGUUUUAGUUACUCGGAAUAGUAGCCAAGAAAUUUCUUAUUUUGUUUAGAAUUAGAAGUUAUUUCUUAUUUUCUACAAGUCUAGGAAUUAGAAUUAAUUUCCUGUUGUUAUUUGGAUUUUUUGACCAAAUAAUAUUUUUAUAAAUAGGUGGGUUGGCAUACUAUAAAAGAGACACAUAAGGGCACACAAGGACGACAUGUAACCUUAUACAUGGGUGGUGAGAGAGAGUUCUUAGGAGAUGAGAAAUGGUAUACAAAGGUUGGACUUGAGUUCGAGUUGUAUUCUUGUAUAAGGUUUUUCUCUCAUAAUAAAUAACAAGUUUCUCUCCGUGGACGUAGGUUCAAUGGAGUCAAACUACGUUAAAUAUUGUGUGUUGUUUAUCUUUUAUACUUGUGGCUUGUUUCUCAUUAAAUUAUUGUGUACUUGAUAUCUUAAUAGUUAUUUAUUCUGCAUUUAGUUCCUAACAAAUGGUAUCAGAACUUGAUUGCGAGAUUGGGCUGCUCACAAGCACUUGGAUCCCAACAAACUGAAUAGUUGGAUCAAGAGUUUGGUUGUUCAAGGAUGGAUCCUAGUUAGCUAUUGAGAUCAAGUAGGUUGGUGACUGUUACCAAUUGAACAAUUUAAUGGGCGGUAUCCUUUUUUCAAGAGUUUGGCAAAAAAGCAUUGACGGUGAAUGAUGAAAAGUCGAAAAGCAUGGAGAUACUUGACGGUGAAUCUAGGCAGAUGAUUCAAGAGUCAAGGAAAAGGUGGAAUCCAAUAUCGAUUUUGGACGUGAAUCGGUGGAGACUUUCUCACAACUUCAACGGUUGAUACUUCAUCUCGGUGAUUUUUAGAUUUCGCUUAUGUUUUUUGAGUGGUACGGCACCUGACCCAAAAAAAUAAAGAGAUUUAAUUUCUAUGCGCUAGAAGACUCUGACAGUUACGAGUCUUUUGUUUCAGGUGAAUUUUUGGAAACCACACGUGGCGAGAUAGUCUUGAGGAAGGGAAGAAGUAUGAUGAUUUUAUCACUUGGUUGCCUCAAUGAUUAAGGUUAGAGCUCAUAGAAGGAGAUUUUGGGUUGCAAGUGGUGGUGAGAAGAAAUCCUGUAAAGAAAAAUGGUGAAUUGAGGCAUCUUCUCACGAAUCAACUGGAGGUUGUACUAGGUGUAAAUACACAUAUUCAUUUGGCAAUUAAAUUAAUUUGGUAUCAGAACUGUAUUGAUUCGGGUGUGUAGUUCGGUACCAUAUUAUUUGGUAGUUGAAAGUAAAUAAUUGUUAAAAGAAAUUUUCGCCAAGAUAGAGAUUUGUUAGGAAAUUGAUUUAAUUUCUUUUCAGACAGGUUUUUGUUUUGUGUAGGGAUUUAGUUACUUGAAAUAGUAGCCAAGGAAUUUCCUAUUUUGUUUAGGAUUAAAAAUUAUUUCCUAUUCUAUACAAGUCUAGAAAUUAGAAUUGGUUUCCUAUUAUUAUUUAAUUUUUUGGCCAAAUAAUAUUCUUUAUAAAUAGGUGGGUUGGCAUACUACAAAGAGACACACAAAAGCACACAAGAGACGACAUGUAGCCUUAUAUAUGGGUGGUGAGAGAGGAUUUUUAGGAGAUGAGAGAUGGUAUACAAAGGUUGAAUUGGGGUUCAAGUUGUGUUCUUGUAUAGAAUUUUUCUCUUAUAAUAAAGAACGAGUUUCUCUCUGUGGAUGUAGGUUCAAUGGUGGAGCCGAACCACAUUAGAAAAUAGUGUGUCAUUUAUUUUUCAUGUUUGUGGCUUGUUUCUCAUUAAAUUGUAGCGUACUUGAUAUCUCAAUAGUUGUUUAUUCCAUGUUUGGAUCCUAACAGAUUGCUAAACCAAGAUUGAUGUAAUUGCGUCCUAUAAGAGAGUUUGCAAUUCAAUUGAUUAAGGGAAGAACAGAGAAAAUCCCUGAAAAUGGGAAUUAAAGGAAACAAAGGAAACCCUAAAACUAGUUUCCAAGAACAAUUCUGUCGAAGACAGAAAACAAAGAAAAUAGUAUCAAAGGCUAUAUCGUUAUUUAGGAAACAAGAAGCACUUGAAGGUGAAUGUUGCAGAAAGUAGAAGAUCCCACUACAAUUUACUAAUUCAAGGAGCUGUAAUUAAGAAAGAAAGAAGACAACUCAGAGAAUUAGGGAUUGUUAUUAAUUGAUGAAUGAGUAGGAAGAAUGUAGAUGAAGAUGAUAAUCAAUUACAAGUAAUGGAAAUCGGAAAUCCUAGAACUGCCUUCAACUUACCACCCUCCUCUCUUUUAUUCGGCUACUACACUUGUCCAAGUCAGCUAAUUCAUUACAACCAACUGACAUACAAGAAUUAUAAGGAUUUAUUCAUUAAGUCCCUAUCAUACUCGCUUUAUUACAAAAAAAAAAAAACCCUAUCAAUAAAACUAAGGUAACAAAUACUUCCCCCUCAGAGAAUCCUUGUCCUCAAGGAUUAAAUUCAGGAAAUUGUUGUUUAAGGUCAAACCAGAAUUCCCAGAUAGCAUCUUCAAGAAAAGAAUUGCUUCACUAUGCCAAAACUUUUGUAGCAAGAGAGUUACCACAUUUCACCAAUUUCUGAUCAAGUAUGGCUAUAGGCUCCAUUAAUAAUUAUCCCUGUGUAUUGAUUGUGUAUUGAUUGCAAAAGGAAUGUGUGAGGUAACUAGUGAGUGCCCACUUUCUUCUUUAGAAGAGAUACAUAAAAAAUAGAGUGUAUUUUUGCCAUAUUAGGCAGCUAAAGCUGAUAUGCAACAGGGUGUACUCUUUUGAUCACUUGGAAAGGUCCAAAAAACUUAGAAGCUAACUUCUGACAAGAGUGUACCUUCAAAGAGUGUUGCCUCUACAGUUGUAGUUUCACAUAUACCCAAUCUCUUGCCGAGUACUGUCUAUCAGACCUGUGUUGGUCAGCUUGUUGCUCCAUCCUAUUUUGUGCCUUAUGAAGGUUGUACUUUAAGUGAUGCAAAACUAUCUCCCUUGCUGCCAAGAUUCUAUCCACCACUUCCACUACUGAAUUCCCAAGUAGACAAGGCAUAUGCAGAGAUGGUGCAUGACCAUACACCACCUCAAAUUGGAUAACCUUAGUGGCAGCAUGAAAUUUGGUAUUGGACCAAUAUUCAGCCAAGGGUAACUAGAUAGACCACUGCUUUGGAAAAUCUCCACACAUGCACCUCAAAUAUUACUCCAAACACCUGUUUACCACCUCAGUUUGACCAUCUGACUGAGGGUGGUAGGUAGAAGAGGUAUUAAUCUGCACUUUUAGUAACUUAAAAAGUUCUUGCCAAAAAGUGCUAAUGAAGACCACAUCCUUGUCACUAACAAUGCUCUGAGACAAGCCGUGAAGUCUACAGAUCUGAUCCAGGAAUAUGUGCAAAUAUAAAUGCUGAAUAAGCAUGUGACAAUGCCAAGAAGUGUGCAUACUUACCUAACUUGUCAACCACCACCAAGAUGGCUUGUUUACCAUGUGCAUUAGGUAAACCUUCCAUAAAGUCCAUGGAAAUUCACUCCAAACCUUUUGAGGCACACGUAAAAGUCGUAAUAAACCCAAAUAAGCAGUAUUGUCAUAUUUGUUGCACUGACAGACAUCACAUGCAGCCACAUAGUUGACUAUGUCUUGAUACAUUCUUCUCUAAUAAACCACUGACUUCAACUUCUUUUAGGCAGCAUAAACUCCUGAAUGCCUCCAACAGCACUAGAAUGCCACAAGUGAAUUAUAUUAUUCUUGAAUUGGCAGUCAUUUUCUACCACUAGUCUCCCCAUUCUCCUUAACUGCUAGUUGCUCCAUGUGUAAUAAGGUGAGACCUUAGAAAGAUCAAAUUGUAAUUGAGUGAUGAAGUUCUAUAGCCUUAUAUCUAUUUGCCAUCCCUUUUUAAUCACUAUCAAAGAUCACUGUUAACAAUGAUGAUGGCAAGAGCUUCUCUUGGUUCUGCUAGUUUUCUAAAGAGAGUAUCUCUCACCAUAUUAUAUGCUUCUUUCCUGUAGUGAAGCUCAUAAUAAAAUCUUACUAGCUUAGUCAUCCAUUUCUGCUGCAUAAGAGUAGGGCUGUCAAUGGUCUGGGUCUAGACCCGGACCCGGACCGGAUCCGUCAAAUUUAUCCGGGUAUGGGUAGGGAUUUAAUUCCGUUACCCGGACCCGGAUCCGGAUAUAAAUGGAUUACUAAUUUAAAAUAUAUAUAUUUAUUAAUAUAAUUUGAUUAGGAUGAUGUAUUUGAGUGAUCAAUAUAAUUGGACCCGGAUCCUAAUCAAUAUAAUUUGAUUAGGAUGAUGUAUUUGAGUAAGGUUAAUUUGAUUUCUUUUCUUAUUUGAUUUUUUUUGUAUUAGUUAGAAAUUAGUUUAUAAAUAUAUGUUUUUUCUCAUUUUUGUUAGAAAUUAUAAAUUUUGUUAGUUUUUUUUCGGGUAGACCCGGAUCCGGAUCCGAGACCCGUCGGAUCUGGAUCCGGAACAUAGAGUAAAGACCCAUCGGGUAAACGGGUCGGGUCCGGAUCCGAUAUAGUGUGCCGGGUCCGGGUCUGGAAUAAUGAAUUCCGGCCCGGACCCGGCCCGUUGACAAGCCUACAUAAGAGUGUUCAAUCUUUGUUCCAUCAUAUAUUCAAUGCUCUAAUGGUCAUUUUUAAUGAUAACGUACCUUCCAGGUAGAUAAGGUCUCCACUUCUAUACAGCAGCAACUAUGGCCAAUAUUUGCACUUUUCCAAUAUACUAUCAUAUGCUAUUCCCCCACACACCUAAAUCUUAUAUUGUCCCCAAUGUAAAAUAAAGAAUAAAAGAAAAGUAAUGGGGAUAACGAAACUUCCUUGAUAACUGAGGGGGCCGUCGACAGCUACAGGUGAGGGGCGAAUGACUGUGGAGCUCGACGUAUGUUGAUGGUUGGUGGCGGUGGAGUUCGGAUGGAGAAGGAUGGAAGAAAGAAAGAAAGAAGAAAGAAAAAGAAGAGAGAAAGAAAGAAAGAAAAAGAAAAGGAAAAAGAAAGGAAAAGGAAGAGAAAAGAAAAGGGAAAUACGAAUGGGAAUUGCUCCAAUCCGAGCUGGUUUUUUGUACUACUACUUUGCUUCUUGUACGAAGCUUGAAGAUGCAGCAAGCGCGGAAAUUUUUUUUUUUUUACAUCUGAUUUUGAUUUUUUUCUUUUUCUUUUUCCUUUUCUGUAUUUCCUUUUCUUUUCUUUCUAAUUUUUCUGCAAAAACAAUCAAAUAGAAAUCAAAUGAGAUGGAAUGAUUUUUUUUUAAAAAGGUAAAAAUAUAAAUAGAGAUAAAUAAAUAAUAAUAGUUAUUAACAAAUCAUAAAAUGAUUUAUGAAAUUUUUUUGGUGUCUACAUAUAUACACAUACUAAUAAUUUUUAUAUUUAUAUAUUUUUCCUAUUUAAUCUUACCUAUAAUUCUUUCUUAUUUUAUUUACUUUUUCUAAUUAAUUUUAUAUUUUUAAAAAUAUAACAUCUAAAAAUAUAUAUUAACGAAGAGGACAUCCGUUAGACAGGUCCUAUUUUAUGUAGCAUAUAUGUCUCUACAUGAAAAAAACUUUUUUAAUAGGUAUCCCGUUUUUUGACAUGAAAAAUACCUUUUGACUACAUUCUGACUAGCGCCAAAAGCUAUCCACUUUUGACAUGCUGCCCAUGCAGGCCUAAUUUUUUUUAGUACUGAAUUUGUUUUGGAUACGUUAGUAUUUCUUGAAUUUUAGAAAAUGCUUCUCUUUAAUAAAUGUAAGUUCAUUUUAAUCUUGAUUCGCAAGCUUUUUCUUGAAAAUGGUUUGCCAUUUCUUAUUAGUUGUUACAGUAAAUUUAGCAUGCAUAUAUGCUUUUUGUCAAAAUUCAAUCAUUUCAAAAUCUAGAAGGGAACUUCUAAAAUACCUGCAUCCUCCUUUUUCUUUUUUCUUUUUUAUUUUUCCCCCUCUUGGCUUUGUAUUCAGAAUCAGAUUGUGUUCAAUUAGUUGGAAUUUGGCUUUGGAGUUAAAAGGGAUUUCCAUUUUUUCCUAGGUAUUCCACAGCUUGCAUACCAAAAGCACAGAGGCGGAAGAAAACCUAUGAUUAAAUCAUACAACAGGCUUGUAAGAAAAUGCCCACUUUGAAAAAAUGAAAAGUUGAAUUUCCUAUUUUCAAAUUUACAUGCAAAAAAUGAAAAAUGACAUGCAAGAAAUAGUCUACUAUUUCGCCAUGUUUCAUAGUUUAUGAGAAAUAUAUUACAAAUAAAUCCACAUAAAUGGUGGGAAUAAUAACUCAAAUAUGGUGGGACAAAUAAACAUACAGGGUGACCCCUGCCAGCUGAGAUAACUAGCUGGUUUAUUUAAUUUAAUAGUUUGAAUACAAUAGUAAAUCAAUGCCAUAGCUCAGAUACUGACUAAAUUUUUCUCCCUGAAGAAUUCAACAGCAUCUUUUAGGCUGACCUCCAAAGGAGUGAAUUGAACUCCCAACCUUUUUGCCUUCUCAUUGGAGGCUCUGUAGUUUGGGCUGAUAAGGUUGGUAUUGUUUGACAUUCUGCUGUAUGCGGGACAAUACACAAUUAUGGCAAACAUAAAUAAAGCUUAGGUAAUGAAAAUGCAAAUGUAAAUUCAAAUGCUUGAAAAUCUACUGGACAAUUGCCUCAUAUCUACUGUAAAUUGUGCCUUUUUUACGAAGUUUCAAAAGACCUUUUAAAAGAUAACUUUAGUUGUGAUAUGAAUGAAAUUUAUUUUUCUCUAAAAAAAAGCCUAAAACGGAAUUUCUAUUUUGGAGACAAAGCCAAUUUGGUGAUAUAUCCUAGUCCAAAGAAGACCAUCUUCUAGAAAUCAACCUGAGAAAGAGCUCAUUUUUUAUGGAACAUGAGACCAAAAGAAAAAAAAAAAGAAGGCAGAAAAUUUAGGAUUUAGUGUCCUUUAAAAGAGAGUAUAAAAAUAUGUGAUACAUUUUGGACGUAUACAAGGCCAUCAGCAAAAGCCUGCAAAGACCUAAACAAGGAAAACAAGACUUACUUAUCAGGAAAUUGGUGAGUUGGGUAAUGCUCAUGCAAAAUCUUGAUGAUCUGAGAGGCAUUUGCACAUCUUUCAACCAGACAAUAUCUUCCACUUGCAGAAGGGGUUUCAAGGGCAAGAACAUGUGCAUUGGCAACAUCUCUAACAUCAACCCAGCUACAUGUUGCCUUAGGAAAUGGUUCAACCCCUGCAUUUGGCACCUAAGAUCUUUAAACACAUUUUUUUGCAGGCUCUUCAGCAAACAUAAGUGAAACCAAUUUGGUUUGUUUGGAUUGGCAUGAUUUCAGAUAAAAUAAUUUGCUUCACAAAUUCCAAUCACCUUUUUAUCUCACAUACAGCACAUCACAAAAAGUGUUACAGUAAUUAUCUCAAAUAAAUCAUCUAAAUAAACUUCUAUCCAAACAAAAUGUUGUUUGCCAUGAAAAGAGUCAAAUUUAGAGGCCAUGGCCUGCCUUCCAGAAGAAAUGUGUGGUAUGUACUACUUUGUUCUGUUUUAGUAUCAGCAAAGCCACAGAGGGGAGGGAGAUGUGAGGAAUGAACUAGUUGAGACAAUUCAGAUAAUUGGUGAAUAAUAAUAAAGAUUAAUCCCGACAAUCUUCUAGUUAAUCUGUCCCUGGAAUUUCUCAGAUUUAGAGUUAGGUUUCUCUUUCAAAGGAUAGUUUAUUUAUUUUCUUCCAAAAAGGAUCAAUUACUAGACAAAAGAAUAAACUACAGGCAUGAUAAUACUAGUUGUCUCGUACUUAAGAGUGUUAAAUGGUGAGAGCUGAAGAAACUUGUCCCUUCACUCUCAUCCAGAUAGAAAAACAGAAUUUAUUCCUGUUGUUUUGUUCCAGAGAGUGAAACAGUAAUCAAUUCCUGAAAUUUGUUUCUUGCCAUUGUUGUACAAAGUGGCUAUUUGGGUCGAAGGAGUCAUGGCGAAUUGAAAGAAUAAUAAACAAGCUUUAGCAAGUAAAGUUUGUACAACAUAAACAGUGACUACUCCUAACAAAUUUUUCCUCACAAUUACCACCCAAAAAUUUCUUUUCCUUCCUGUUAAUCACAUAGAACCUCAAUGUUGUUGAAAGGAAGAUGCACACAACGUGAAUUUCAGAUGAAAGAUUGUACUGCAAACCUUUAAAACAUCAUAAGCUGGUCAGAGUUUAUAGCUUGAUAUAUCAGUUCACAUUCUGACCUAUGUCUGUCAAUCAUGUGAUAAGCCAGCAGUGCCUUGAAAUGUUAUUAGUCAUAAGUUUUUUGUUCUACUGUAACAAAGAAAGUUGUGGUGCAUAAUAAAGCUAUAAGUAACAUAGAUGGAAGAGUCAGUUAGACAAUGAUUACUAAGGUGAUUCAAUAAAUUUUGAAACAAACCCUUUAAUAGGUUGAGGAACAAAACAGCGCUCGAAUUAACAGAUGGCUGCAAGAGAGGACCAAUGACCAAUCCUGGAUGAAUUGUAAUCACGUCAAUGCCAUGCUCCUUUGCAAAUUUCCAUGCAGCAUUCUCGGCCAUGGUUUUUGAAAGUUCAUACCAAGACUAUCAACACCGAAAAAUCAGUAAAUGUUGGUAAGAUGGUAGCAGAAAGUAAUUAGAUUUGUAAACUUUAAGAAGUAACAUUAUAAAUUUCUACAAAUUUGACAAAACCAGCAACUUACAUCAGUUGAAACUAUUAUUGCUGUAGCUACAAAGCACAGAGUGAAAGCAUCCACAUUUCCCAGGACAAGCUAUGCUAUAAGUGAAUAAGUAGAUUUCUCAAGGAUCCUAGGAAUGGUGUAAACUUUCUAUAUUCAAGGAAUGAUGCAAAGCACCAGUGUCGACAUAUCCUGAUCAUCUGAUCUCUUAAUCCACAAGCUAACAGCAAAACUACAAGGGACCUUGACACUUUAACACAAAUAGCCAUAUUCAUAAUAUUAUAGCAGAAGUUCCUUUCCAACUGACCGACCAAAUAUUGCUCAUCUAGGUGUGUAUUCUCAGACAAUAGUAUAGAAUUUGAUCAUGCAAGAGAUGCAUAAUUAAGUAGGAAAACUUUCAUAUUGCUCUUUCCCCGACUAUUCCACACUACAUUAUUAAUUUUUCAUUAAAGUUAAGUUGUUACUUAGAUAGAAGGAAAGAAAUGGACUGACCAUUCUGGUUACAAAAAUAUCCUUUUUUUUGCCUAUUAAAGUACCACCAAGUCAUGAAGAUCCUAACUUAAUUAUCUCCACAGCUGGGCUAACUCCUCAUAUGUGUUCCAACAACAAGUUAAAACUAAAGAAUUCCAGCAUUCCAUAUUAGAUUUUACUGGAAGAAGACAGAUAAUAUAUGUACCUUUUGCUCCUCACAGUAUGAUGGAUCGGAAAACCAACUUUCAUCAACUACCACAUCCUCCUUUAAUUCUCUGUUUUUUGAAACUGCAACCAUAGAGGAUGUUAUAACUACUCUUUUGACAGAAGAAGAAUUUGCACAUGACCGCAGCACAUUCAGUGUUCCGCUUACUGCAGGUUCCAGUAGUUCUGCCUAUGAAAUCAAACCAAGUAAAAAAGGAAGUCAUUACCAGUCAUAGGUAAGACUAUGCUUUUAACCUGCAAAAAACUUAUCAUUCUGGUAUUAUGUUUGAGAAUUUCACCACAAAUGCUGUAAACCUACAGCUUUAGUUACUUAGCUAAAGGAUGCAUAUUGUUGUCUUAUCUCCUCUUGCUGCUAAAAUAAGUUCUCAGGUCCUUUAUUGUUGUUUUUUCCCAAAUUUUUUCAGCUUUCACUGGGUGACAGGAACUUAAGACCAAUAGAGGAACAACUGAAAUAAGUCUCAGAUGUGGUCACCAAUUAAACCGUUUGCUACCAAAUAUCAACCGAUGAAAUUCUGUUCUGGCUUGAACAGGACAGACAGAAAAUAUAAAAGGUGUAGCUCCCAUGAAUCCUGCGAACAGAUUUUAGCGUGAACACAUAAUGCAUGUUGCAAUUUCUUUUAGUGUCUGUGAGUCAACCUUGUUCAUUGAAAUGACUAAAAUCAAAGUUCUACAAAGUUACUUAAAAAAAAUCCAUAAACACAAUUUGAGAAACAGACAAGGAUAGGUGUACUGCAUAAAAUUAAGGCACAAUCAUUAAUAGAAGUUAAUCAACUUACAAAUGAAGAUACAUAUAAUUUGCAGAUGCUUGAACAUAUAUUGUAGUUUCUAUAAGCUUCUUAUUCAUUCUGGUAUGGGCACGCAAAAGCCAUUGGCUCUACACUGGCUGAAUAAUUAGUUGGUCAAAGCAGGGAUUCAUUUGCUCCAGGACAAGCUUAUAGCUUGCUCUAUAACCUUACCCUGACUGACUUACCCAGGAAAAUAGUUAGUCGGACCCAAUCUACUGCCCAAUUGUGGACCAUUUGCUAUGUUUAUGGCUCUUAAUGUUUUUAUUUCACAACAUUACACCCUUUGAAUUGUUUCGCUGAAGUACCAAUUUCCAGAUCAUUUCAUAGAAACAUCAUGUAUACUGAUUAAAAAGAGACUAAAGCACAUAACACACGACAGUCUUUUUGUGAAUGACCUGCUGGAACAGAUUAGUUUUGUAUGUACCAAAUGUAAAGAAAUAUUCUUCAGGUGUUUGACCUGAUUGCUACAUUAAUCUCCUCCCUUUGGUUAAUAAAAGAAAAAGUAGAGCCAUAGAAUUGGAAACAUUUGAAUCUAACUCUCUUUUUUUUUUUGCCUUUACAGUUAUAACCUUGUCAUAAAUCACAUAUAGAGGAGUAGACUAUCACCCAAAAAAGCCAGUAAAAAUGCAACAGAGGAAGAUACUAAAAGAAGUCGUACAAUUAUAAAUCAGAAAAUAUGCUACGAUUCUCAAACUUCACUUGAUAAAUAGCAGAUUUUGCAGACAGUAGAGAAUUUUCAAUCUUGUAAAGCAAAUGUACCUCUGGAUUGCUAAAUGAAAGUUUGAUUGGAGAUGCAGUAUGGAAAACCCCUUCACAUCCCUCGACUAUUGCAUCAAACGAUCCCUCUUCCAGUAAGUUUGCCGAGUACAACUGAAGCCUUUCCUUAGCUCCAUCAAGUGAUGUCAAAUGUUGUGUCCUUUCCGGAUCAUCUGUGUCAUGAUUGUAUCAGUAGAAUGUUCAGACAGCUAUAAUCAAAACCUUGCCGCCUUGGUAAAGUGUACUAUGUUUUCACUAUGGUGAAACUCAAGAAGAAAUGGACAUAGAGUAAUAAUAAACGAAUCUCAAAGCAAUGAUAAAUUUGACUAGCUAAAGGCAAGCGGGGAAAAACGAAAAGAAAUUGACGGGCAACAUAAUAUGACCACAAUAAUAUCAUAGCCCUAUGAUUUCUGGUUUUGAGAUGCGUACAUUUGUAACUUUCUUGAUAACAAUUAAUUCUUGAGAUAAUUAUCAGAGGGACAAUUGUAUGCCAUCUACCACUAUUUUUAUAACAAACUCAGUCCUUCAGAAGAAGGAUAUAGAUUCGAUAGGCUAAAGAUUUUUUAUUAUAACUUGAUCGUUGUAUCUGGAGCAUGAAACAAUUAAGUUGGUCCACAUCAAAAAUAUAUAUAUAUUUUUUGCAUGUGAUUUUCUUUUGAGCAAACAGAACAUGGGGAGCAUUUAGCUGUUGCAAGAAUAUCAUCUGGAGCUACAAGACAAUUUCACACUGCAGAGUUGAAUAAAAAUAUUGGGCAAAUUACAUAUAAUCCUCCUGUGGCUUUGUCUGUUGCCACAUGACCCUUCUAACAUUUUAAAAUAUCCAAUUCACCCACUAUGAUUUUAUGUAAAGCGGAAACUUGAUGGAGAAUAGCCUAUAUAAUGUCGUUAAUUGAAAUACCAUUAGUACUUUUACUUAAAUGCUAAAUCAAUCGACGAUUUAAUUACCUUAUAUAAAAGUAUAAGGGGAUUAUAUGGAUAAAUAUAAAAAUCACAGGAGGGAUAAAGUGGACAAUUAUAUAUAAGAGAAUUACAUUGAAAUUAAGACUUUAUCACACACGCUUUUAGAGCGCGUUUGGUAUAAAUGCCGUAACUAAUUGUGCAUUCCAUCAUUUUCCGCUUUACAUAUAACUAUGGGGGGUAUGUGGCUAUUUUGAAAUCUUAGGGGACCAUCUAGCAUUAUAUAAAAUCACCCUAAAAUAUAGUUAUAAGUAAUUUACCCUAAAAUGUUAGAUUCCAGGAGCAAUUAAACAACAAUCAGAACAGGGCAUCAAAAACUGCACAAGCCACUAAGAUAGUUGAUCAAGAACAAAAACUGGACUUACAGGCAUCUCGAACUGAACCUUUAACAGUAUAACCGCGCUCGAGCAGCAGCUUCACCAGCCAUGAAGCUAUGUAACCCGAAGCUCCGGUCACACACACCAUUUUCCCUUCUCCUGCUCCACUCAUUUUGUUAAUAUUUUUGUGUGUGAACCUGUCACCUGUUUGCCUUACUUCUGGACUUAAUGGAGGGAGGCAUAUAUGGUGUAUAUAUAGCUAUGGUGAAGAAGACGAAAGAUUGGAUAUGAGAUUACUGGGAGACUGGGGAGAUCCAUAUGUAUUCUUGCAAUUUGCAUGCAUCAUCGCUGACAUACGUAUGGUAUAAUCGCGUCACAUCCCAUUUUAUCAAGGUCAAUUGAUCAGUGUAAAAUAGAAAUGAACAAUAAAUACAAUGGUAAAUUACCUUCUACACCCUAUGGUUUGAUGUUUUAUCACAUAACUCCCUAUAAUUUAAAAACCUAUAUAUGACCCUUUCGUAGUUUGGGUUAUUGUGUCACUUUAGCUUGUUCUGUUAAAACUAACGGUCAAUAGUAAAAAGUCAAAUUCAAACUACUAAAUUGACAAAUUCACCAUUUCACUACUUUUUUUUUCUUGUUUUCCUUUUCUUUCUUUCCUUUUUUUUUCUUGGAAAGAGAAGAGAUGACUUUGAAAACUUGUAUUUUGGCUUACAAAACCUUAAUUGUUUCCAAAUACAAAAGAGACAGAAGGGAAAUAAAAAUAAAUCAACAAGAAACAAAAAAUAUGGAAGGUAAAGAUAUAACAAAUAAAUAAGAAACAAAAAAACACCAAAUCUUUUUUACUAUGAAUAUCAUUAUAGGUUUUUAAACCAAAUCUUUAAUAGUAUUUUCUAGUUCUUAUUUAUCUAUUUUUUAUUCCAAUUUCUUCUUUUUGAUGUUUGGAGGAAAAAAAAAAACAAGUAAUGAAGGGAUAAAUUUGUCAAUUUAUUAGUUUGACUUUUUAAUAUUAACUGUUAGUUUUGACGAAAAAACUAAUAAUGACACAUUAACUCAAAUCAUGAGGGGGUUAUAUAUAGUUUUUAAACUAUGGGGGUUAUGUGAGAAAAUACCAAACUAUAGAGGUUAAAAUGCAAUUUAGCCUAAAUCCAAAAUUUGGCGGUUGCAUAUGAAAAAAUAACAAGGUUCUUGACUUUGCUCAAUACAAUUCCAAGUCUAGAGACACAAUUUUUAAAUUCACUACCAGGAUAAACCAUUCUCCUUUUUUUUUUCCAUUUUUUCGGGUUAAAAAGUACAAACUACUUGAACUAGAAACUAGUCCUGACAAAGUUUGUGGGUUUUUUGCAAGAGUUUUAGUUAAAUAUUGGUUACUUCGCCUAAUUUGCACCUAUUUUAUCAUGUAAAUGCAUGCACACUUUUAAAAAAUAAUGCAUGCACUUAUAUUAUUGCCUUUCUUACAUUUAAAUACUUUUUUCAAUUUAAUUUUACUUUUCUGGCAAAACUAAAUCUGAAGCCCAUUUCAAGAAAUAUCCACCGAAUACCAGGUCAACAAACCCCCUUCGUAAUAAAGAACGAAAAGAACCGCAGCGUUCUUAACACGCAGCGGUCUUUUUGCAUCUAAGAAAGCUUUUGAUUGGCUAGAAAUCCUUCUCUGAUUGAGAAAUGGGAAUUGACUUGAUGAUGGCAACUCCAUUUAGAAAACUGGUCCACACCCUUGAAUGUGGUUUAAAUUUAAUAACACCAUUUCAUCAUUUCUGACGACUGCUUCUUCUAUAUCCUAGCUCACUGCACACGCCAGUCGUGUGAAACUUGGCAAAAGAGUUGCACCCUCCGUCCUAAAAUUGUCUGUCGCAUUUCGAGAUCCAACUUUUUAAAAAUAGCAUGAUGAUGAUAUUUGUAGAUUUGUUUUAAAAAUUGUCAUCAAAAAUUCAAAUUUUAAAUUGAAUUUAGUAUGAAAUAUAGAUAAAGAUUGGAAUAACAUUGAAAAAAAGAGAUGAAAAGUUAUUUUGAUUUUGAUAAGAUGAUAAAUAUUUUAGAACGUUUCAAAAUAAAAAAAAUAUAUGACAUUUUCAAUGAAACAAAAGGAUGGAGAGAAUAUAUAUAAGAUACUGAAAACUAGCAUCCAUCAGAAGCAGUCAAAUCAAAGCCAACAUAUUACUUGUAGUUUGGUUAUAACAAUAUCUCAGCUUGCUGGUAGCCCAAAAAUUUAGCAAAAUAAAUUAGGAAACCAAGUGCGAUAGAGCAUAUUUCACCCAAAUAUAUUAAAAGUGAAAAAGAUUUAUUUUUAUUUAGUCAAUGUGAUUUUUUGUGUCCGCAUGCCCAUAAAGCUCAAGGACCAAAAAGCCAAACAUACGAAGUGAAAAUGUGAAGAGCAAUAAUUUGAAUAUAAAAAAAAAAACGGGUAGAUGGAUAGAAAACCAUGUCGAAGGUCUCUUCUCUCUCUUUUUUUUUUUUUUGGUUUGACCAUGCAUGGUGCAUAUGAUAUGAAGGAUAAUUGUAAAGCACCAUAUACUGCCCAAGGAAAGUAGAUUACACAGUGGGAACCAAAAAUAGAAGAAAAUAAAGCCUCAUAUGAACCGAAUCUUUCCCCUUGCUUUUUUUCUGGGAAUUUAAAGGUAUAAUGCAAGAAAUAACUCCUGGUCAUGCAAAAUUGCCAACAAAAAUGCGUCUUUGGUUUUAAAUUCCUUAAUAACAUACUAUCCAGCAUACUAUUUAGCAUAAUAACAUACUAUCUCAGAUGCAUCCACUCAAAUAUCCUGGCCGAGAUGGUAUGAGGCCAAUUUUCUAUCAAAAAUAUAGGUCUGUAGCAGGUAAUGACGUUACCUCACUACAACAAAAAUGGCCUUUAGCGGCAUUUAAAGGUGUCAGUAUAGAAAAUCUAACCUGACACUUUAUCUAUCCUGACACCCAUGGCGAGUGUUGUCCCUUCCAAUGUGGGGAUAGCCUCAAAUCUUUAGCAGCAUUCAAAUGUGUCAGGCAAACCAUGCUGCUAUAUCUUUACCUCUGCCAACAAAUCUUUUUUUUGUGAUAAUCGAAAGUGUCUGUAUAGCGUUAGGACAUCAGUAGGGAAUCAGUAGGAUAUCAAAUUUAUGAAGACAUCUUGAGUUGUCUUAAUAUAUGGCUUUAAGGACACGUAGCCAUGUGAAUUUACAAUGUGUUGGACGACAUGCCCAUUUGUUGUUAGUGUUUUUCGAAGCUACAUAAUUUUAUCAACCCAUAUGACAAGGGUUUAUUUUACGUAUUUUUAGUGUGUUUUAUUAGUUAAUUUUGGUUUGAUUAUUUAGUAUUAUAACUAAAAUAACUAAGGUUUUGGUAAAAAACUACAUUUUAUGUUAAAAUGGCUAAACAUUGCAUUUUAUGGAUUUUUAUGGUAAAAACUUCAUAUUUUGUAGGUUUAAUGAUUCAAUCAUCAAAUGAAGUGCAUUGAGAAGAUAUUUGGAUGAUUGAAGAUGGAUUAAAGUGAGGAAAAUAAAAUAUGAAGUGUAAAAGGAAGAAAUGCAAUUUGAGGACAAAAAUCAAGAAAAGUCAGCUUUGACAACUCAGACAUAUUUUCGUAUUUUGACUAUAUCAGGAGCUACAAUGAUCGGAUCAAGGUGAUCUUGGUACCAUUUUGAAGUUAAGAGAUAUAUCUACAUUUGGUAUGAAGACAUCAAAGUCCAGUUCAGCCGUUUUCAUAGUCCAAAAGUUGAAAUACCGAAAUUCAACUCAGCUGUCCAAAGUGGAAAACAGAGUUCCGACCAGUGUUUAGUAUUUUGAUCAUAUCUCAGUCUACAAAGCUCCGAUUUGGAUGAUUCUUGAAGCAUUGGAAAGCUAACUCAAAGAUAUACAACUUUGAUGUUUUGCACAAAAGCCAGUUCGGCCUGCAUCAUGGAGAAAAUCGCAGUUGAAGUAAGGACAAAGUGAAAACGCGAGUGCACAAAACGCGAGUUGUAGACGCGUUUUGUAAAGGCGCGUUUUCUGGCCGAAAUUCUGCAAUUUGCUCAGUCAAUUCUCUUGUGUUCAUACCACUUUCCAGCUAUAAGUUGCAAGAGAAUUCGGUGCACAUGCUUCAGAAGACAAAAGGGCAGACAAGGUGGCUUAUUUUCAAGUCAAAAACAUUUGUUAUUGACUAUCCUAACAAAGUUGAGAUUUGGGAAUCAAAACAUUUGUUAUUUUACUUGUAAAUUUUCUCCAUUUGCUGCCAUUAAGGUUUCCUUUGUUCUUUCACAAUAUUUAGUAGAAAUUAUUCCUUCUUUAAUACAACUUGAAUCAGCUCCACUAUCUAUUAAAGCUACAUAUAUUUCUUUGAAAUCUUCUACUGUAAUAGUUACUAAAGCAUACCAUUUUUGAAAUAUCAUUUUUUCUAUGGUAUUUAAAUAUUGAAUUUCAUCUGUUGGUCUUUCUGAUAUACUUAUUUCUUCUGUUUUAGAAUUGGAAGUUGAUGGUUGAUUUUCUAGUAAUGUUAUUUUUGCUUCUAUUUCUAAAUCUUUUGUUUUUAAUUCUAUGAUUUCUCUUUGUAAUUGUUUUACUUGUAUUUUAAGAUCAUUAAUUUCUGUUUGAAGAUCUUUAGUGGUUUCUUUUUUCAUUAUAUUUAUGUUUAGAUAUUUAUCUAUUAAUUUAGAAAUACUAAAAGGUUCUAUUAUUUUUGGCAUUUUGUCUUCUUGUAUAAUUAGACUUUUUAAUCUUUCUAAAUACUCUUUUUUAGCUACUGGAUCAUCAAUUUUUUCUAUUAUAUCUAAUAAAAAUUCUUUAUCUUCUUUUUUGGUUAUAACAUUUAUAUAUUUUGAAGUGUUAGAACAAUUACAAUUUUCUUCACUUUCUGUACUAGAUAUAUCAUUAUAAUAAUCAUCUUCAGAAUUUUGAUCUUUUUCAUUUAUUAAUAAAUUAAUUAAUUUAUUUUUAAUUUCUUCUUCUUUUGCACAAAUCUCUGUAAUUUUUUCUUUUAAUUUACAUUUGUUUGCUUUAUGUCCUAUUUUUUCACAUUUAUAACAAACAAUUUUUCUUUUAAUAAAUUUUCUCUUCUUUUCUGGUUUAUCUUCUUUAGAUCUUUUAUACUUUAUUUUCUUAUUAUAUUUUUUAACUUUUUUGUUAUAUGCAGAUGGUGAUUUAAUUCUUUAGUAGCAAAUUCUAAAGCUCUAUUAAUUGGUUUUAUUGUUCCUUGAUAUAUAUCAUGUCCUAAAAAUCUUAUUUUUGUUUGGAAUAAUUUCAUUUUUGGUGCUGAAACAACUAAUCCAUUUUUCUUAACUACUUUUAAAAAUAUAUUUAAAUGUUUGAAAUGCUGUUCUAUUGAUUCAGAAAAUAUUAAUACAUCAUCAAUAUAAACUAUGCUAAAUGAACUAUAAGGAUUGAAAAUAUCAUUCAUUAUAUUUUGAAAUUCUGAUGGUGCAUUUUUUAAUCCGAAUGGCAUUACGUUCCAUUCAUAAUGACCAAAAGGUGUUGUGAAUGCUGUUUUAUAUCUAUCUUUUGGUGUUAUUAAUAUUUGCCAAUAUCCUGAUUUUAGUUGUUUCAGCACCAAAAAUGAAAUUAUUUCAAACAAAAAUAAGAUUUUUAGGACAUGAUAUAUAUCAAGGAACAAUAAAACCAAUUAAUAGAGCUGUAGAAUUUGCUACUAAAUUUCCAGAUGAAAUAAAAGAUAAAAAUCAAUUACAAAGGUUUUUAGGAUGUUUAAAUUAUAUAGCAGAUUUCUUUCCUAAAUUAAGACAAGAAUGCUCUAUAUUAUUUAAUAGAUUAAAAAAGAACCAUUUCCACCAGUGAUUGAACCAGAUUGGGAAUUCUCUACUGCAACUUUUUUGAAUGUGAAGAACCAUGAAUGAUUGAAUGGUCUAUACAAAAAAAGCAAAAGUCUAAUUAUACAAGAAGACAAAAUGCCAAAAAUAAUAGAACCUUUUAGUAUUUCUAAAUUAAUAGAUAAAUAUCUAAACAUAAAUAUAAUGAAAAAAGAAACCACUAAAGAUCUUCAAACAGAAAUUAAUGAUCUUAAAAUACAAGUAAAACAAUUACAAAGAGAAAUCAUAAAAUUAAAAACAAAAGAUUUAGAAAUAGAAGCAAAAAUAACAUUACUAGAAAAUCAACCCUCAACUUCCAAUUCUAAAACAGAAGAAAUAAGUAUAUCAGAAAGACCAACAGAUGAAAUUCAAUAUUUAAAUACCAUAGAAAAAAUGAUAUUUCAAAAAUGGUAUGCUCUAGUAACUAUUACAGUAGAAGAUUUCAAAGAAACAUAUGUAGCUUUAAUAGAUAGUGGAGCUGAUUCAAGUUGUAUUAAAGAAGGAAUAAUUCCUACUAAAUAUUGUGAAAGAACAAAGGAAACCUUAAUGGCAGCAAAUGGAGAAAAUUUACAAUUAAAAUAUAAAUUUACAAAAGGAUCAAUAUGUAACAAUGAAUAUUGUAUUAGACAUAAUUUCAUAAUUGUAAAAAAUAUAAAUCAUGAUAUAAUAUUAGGAACACCUUUUUUAAUUCAAAUUUACCCAUUUUCAGUUAGUCAUGAAGGAAUUUCAAUAAAUAUAAUGGGAAAAACUGUUAUCUUUAGAUUUCUAACUCCAGUAAAACAAAGAGAAUUACAGACAUUACAAACAUCCUCUAUUUACAAAACAAUAAAUAGUAUUACUAAAGUACAACAACAAAUAAAUUAUAUAAAAGAAGAAAAAUCUUAUUUAAAAAUUGAAGAACAAUUAAAAGAAAGUAAAAUGCAAAAAAGAAUUUCAGAAUUAGAAGAAUUAUUACAAAAAGAAAUUUGUGCAGAUAUUCCUAAUGCUUUUUGGGAUAGAAAACAACAUAUGAUUGAAUUACCUUACGAAACAGGUUUUAAUGAGAAAAACAUUCCUACUAAAGCAAGACCAAUACAAAUAAUUCUAAUCUAUUAGAAUUUUGUAAAAAGGAAAUAAAAACAUUAAUAGACAAAAAAUUAAUAACACCUUCAAAAUCACCUUGGAGUUGUGCUGCAUUCUAUGUAAUGAAUCAAGCUGAAAAAGAAAGAGGAGUUCCAAGAUUAGUUAUAAAUUAUAAACCAUUAAAUAAAGUAUUACAAUGGAUUAGUGAAUAAUACAAUAAAUUUAUAAAUUUAGAAUUAAUAGAGGAUACAAUAAAUUAAAGUAACCAUUUUUAUAAAUUUAAUAGAGCUCAAAUGCAAAUAAUACAAUAAAUUUAGAAGACAUUAAAAAAGUUUAUCAACAAAAUAAUUAUACAAAUCAAAUCCUUCAUACAAUUUCUCAACAUAUGGAAGUAUUAAACACAAAAAUAGAUACUAUAAAGAAACCAGAAUUAAAAUUCCCUAAUAAUAUUUCAGCACCUCAUUUUCAACCUAGAAGUUUGACAAGAGAAAAAGAACAAGAUUUAGAUUCAAAAUCAGAAGACAAAGCAUCGGCGAAUUAGUGAGAAAAAGAGAACAAAACACUCUCAUGUAAAAAUCCUUAGACAAAUCUCUCAAUCCCUCUUUCCAACUACUCUUGUAUUCAAUUACUUUUGUUUCCUUCCUUCUCCAAAUAUAAUAAAGAUCAAGGAUUCAACCAUUCAUCAAGCUUCUGUUAUCAAAGGCCACUCUAAAUUUUCAGUAAGUCCAAUUUUUAUACUAAAUUUUCUAUGAACAUUUCAAUAGAAAGUAGCCUGGGUAGAAGUGGUAUCAGAGCCACUUAUCACAUUAUCUUUACAGUGUUAUUAAGGAAAGUAGAUUACACAGUGGGAACCAAAAAUAGAAGAAAAUAAAGCCUCAUAUGAACCGAAUCUUUCCCCUUGCUUUUUUUUCUUGGAAUUUAAAGGUAUAAUGCAAGAAAUAACUCCUGGUCAUGCAAAAUUGCCAACAAAAAUGCGUCUUUGGUUUUUAAUUCCUUAAUAACAUACUAUCCAGCAUACUAUUUAGCAUAAUAACAUACUAUCUCAGAUGCAUCCACUUAAAUAUCCUGGCCGAGAUGGUAUGAGGCCAAUUUUCUAUCAAAAAUAUAGGUCUGUAGCAGGUAAUGACGUUACCUCACUACAACAAAAAUGGCCUUUAGCGGCAUUUAAAGGUGUCAGUAUAGAAAAUCUAACCUGACACUUUAUCUAUCCUGACACCCAUGGCGAGUGUUGUCCCUUCCAAUGUGGGGAUAGCCUCAAAUCUUUAGCAGCAUUCAAAUGUGUCAGGCAAACCAUGCUGCUAUAUCUUUACCUCUGCCAACAAAUCCUUUUUUUGUGAUAAUCGAAAAUGUAUGUAUAGUGUUAGGACAUCAGUAGGGAAUCGGUAGGAUAUCAAAUUUAUGAAGGCAUCUUGAGUUGUCUUAAUAUAUGGUUUUAAGGACACGUAGCCAUGUGAAUUUACAAUGUGUUGGACGACAUGCCCAUUUGUUGUUAGUGUUUUUCGAAGCUAAGCUAUGCUGACACUUUUAAUUGCCAGGAGAAUUUUCCCUGGUUUUUUUUUAUAUGGAAGCAACCUGCAAUUAGUCCUCCUUGCUGUACAUUCCAUCAAUCAGAAUCCCAAGGGACUUGUAAAAUUAUCCCAAAGAGCAGAAUGCAUAUGGCAAUGUAAAAGAAGAAGUCGAUACUCAAAUAUAAUUCAUUGAAUUAAAAGUCGAUAACAAGUACAAACAUAGCAAAUACUAAAACGCAAACAAGUGCUAAAAGCAAGUACUAAAAUAUCAAACCAGUACCGAAAGAUUCUCAUUUACAAUAACUUAAAAGCUCUAUCGGAAGCACAAAAUAAAAGACUCCCAUCCCUAAUAAGUUGAAAGAAGUAGAAGUAGCUUCCAAACUUUCCAUUUUGUUGAGAGUCCUCAGGCAUAACCACGAAGUCCCCAUCAUUCUUCAGCUGGUUCCACCUGUGCACAAAGACCAAGGGGAUCAUUAGAUCAUCAUAACUAAAACUAAAAUUCCAGAAAAUCCGCAAUGUAUUUAAGUGCAUAUCUCACCAAAUGACAAGGCCAAGCAACUGGUGCACCAAGUGCAUCUUGAAUCGUUUGUUGUAAACCAUAUGGUCUAAUCAAUUGCUCACGUGGAGUCAUUGCAACUUGUAUCUGUAUUUCACACCAGUUUGGCCCAAGAGCUUGUCCCCCGACCUCAUCCAAAGGAUUCAGACUCCGUAAAUAUCCCUUUGCCACGAUUUUUGUUGGGUCAAACAAACUUUUUAGUGAAACCAUAUUCCCUACCUAGUAAACAUCCAACAAGUACAAGAAUCAAACUCAUGCCAAAUUCCAGAUUACAAAUGCAAAAGUUUAGAAGUUGUAAAUACUUACUCAAAUAGGUCGCGUGGCUCGCGAUGGAGCAUGGCUUGACACAUUGUUAGAUGAUGAUGAAGGAUGUCUCGGGCUGUCAAUUGGAGAACCCCUUCCAUGUUGAACUAAAACCAUUUUCUUCAAGCUGGCUAUUUCAUCAUCUUGUCGCUGAAGCCUUUCCUCCAAACGGACUAAUGUUGACUGUUGUUGAACACUUAUACGGUAGCAUGUGUUACGACUAGGAAUGUCUUCCCAUAAGUCCGUUGGAUUCACACCGUCACUAAGCAAGCGAACAUGACCAUGUUUGUCUUGCCCAACCACCUGGGCAAAUAUAUCAUCACGACCAACUGGAUCUUGCGAAUCCGAUGGAAGCUGAUUUUUCAGCUCAGUCAUUUUUUCCUACAUAAUAAAGGAAAACACUUGUUAUUGCAAAAGACUGUCUGAAAACAUCCAUGGUAGAAUUGAUAGGCUUGUGUUCUCGGAUCCUUACCAAAUUCUCAGCAACUAUGGUACUUGAUGGAGUUUGUUGACCUUGGUCGAUCAAUCCUUGGUUUUGAUGAUUAACAAACCAAAAUGUAGAUUUGGGCUAAUGUUUUUAUGUGAGCAAUUUGUUAGAACAGAUUCUUGUGGCACAAAAGAAGAAGCAAAAACAGGGCACUCAUGUGAGACGUCCGAAAGGAAGCUAUCGGACGUCCGAAAGGAUGAAGAACAUCAGGAAGGAUAUUCUGUCGGACGCUCGUGAGAAAGCAUCGGACGUCCGGAUGGAUCGGACACACUCUUCGGACGCACAUCGAUCGUGUCGGACGUCCUAAAAAUUUCACGAAGAUUUGAUAACUCUCUGGACGACGUUCGGACGCAGGGUUCGGACGUCCGACAGGUGGUUUGGACGCAGGGUUCGGACGUCCGACAGGUGGUUCGAACGUCCGACAGGCCAACGGCUAGUUUUGACAGCAUUUAAUAUUUGACCGUUGGAGAGCCUUUUGGAGCCAUUUCUCACAUUCUAUAAACACCCCAAAGCACAAGAAGACACGGGACUUUUGCCAACACAAUAUACAAGCUUACAAGUGAGAUUUUUGAGUAGAAAGAUUCUUUGUUGGUUGUAUAAGGGGUUGGGGAAGUUGGGUUGUGAGGUUGCUCAAGUGAAGGUUAUUCUCUAGGAGGAGUAAAACCUGGUGAAGGUGAACCUAUUCACUUGAAGUGGUAAAACCUUGGUGAAGGGUUGCCUCAUUUGUAUAAAAUAGUUCUUAAUUGGUGAGUGGGGAUCUUUCAAGUGUAGGUUGUUGAGGGUUAACUAGAAUUGUUGUAAAACUCUUGGCUCAACCAAAGUGUGUUUUGGCGUGAGGAAGGGAGGUGAGCCUUCACUUGUACAUCUUGGUUAGCAUCGCCAUCAUUGAAGAGGCUAUUGGUUUGAUAUUUGGUUUGCAUUUCUUAUCCUUUCUCUUUAAUUUAAGUUUUCCUUUAUUGUGCUUAAAUUUGAUAUAUCUUUGUGCAUCAUUGUGAAAUUUGUUUGUACUCAUUAGGUUGCACCGGGCACUUACAAUUGGUAUCAGAGCUUGGUCUCUUUUGAGAGCUUAAUCCGGCUUGGAGUAAAGAUCAAUGGCAACCAUAAAAGUUUCCUUUUUUAGAAGGGCAAUCUAUUGAAGACCACUAUGUUUAAUGGUUCUCAUUUUAGCAUGUGGAAACAAAGAAUGAUGAUUUUCUUACAAUCCAUUUAUAUUGAAUUUGGUAUGUGGUAGAAGAUGGUCCUUUAUGAAGCUAGAAUAGUUGACUCUACCAUCAAUUUGAGUAGAUUAAAGACUAGACAAGAAUUGAAUGGAAAAGACAAGAGAUACCUUUCUUUGAAUGCCAAGGCCAUGUGUAUAUUGUACAAUGCAUUAGAUGUAAAUGAAUCUAGUAGGAUUAAAGGUUGUAAAUCAGCUAAAGAUAUUUGGGAUAAAUUGUGUAAUUUCAUGAAGGUAACCAAGAUAUUAAAGAACAAAAGAAAUCUUUGCUUGUUUCUCAAUAUGAAUUUUUCAAAAUGAUCCUCUGAAAAUGUUGAUAAGAUGUUAGUAGAUUUGUGACAUUAUUAAGAUCUUAAAUUGCUUGCUAGAGAAUAUUCUUUGGUGAGAAAAUAGAAGAUUUUGAAUGCUUGCCAAAAGAAUGGGAAAACAAAAUAAAUGCUAUAGAAGAGCAAAGGAUUUAAAUUCUAUGUCCAUUGAAUCUCUUGUGAAUUCCCUAACUUCUUAUGAAUUAAAGCUGCAAUUCAAAGUGCAAGAGAAAGAAAAUGCAAGAAUGUUAUAAGAGAGGCAUAGCUUUUAAAGCAUCUCAAGUGGGGGAUAACCCAUCUUUCAUGGGUAAUGAAAACAUGGAAGUGGACAAUGAUAUAACUCCUCACAUCAAAAGUUUCAAGAAGAUCUUCAACAAGAGAAGUUCAAGAGGAGAUUGCAAAAUUACAUGGGAUGAAUACUAAUUCAAAAAGAGAAAAAGAAGAGUUGGCACAAAUGGCACUAAUGGCCUUUGGAGAAGAUGAGGUAAAUUCUUAUCACUCUUCUUGUGAUGAAGAUAAUGAAGAUGAUGAUGUGAAAAUUCUUAUGAUUAAAAUGCAUAAAAGUUUGAGAAAAUCUUAUGCUAAAAAUAAAGAUUUGAAAACAAAAAUAAAUGAUUUGUUGGAAGAAAACUCCAAACUUUUUCAGGAAAACAAAUGUUUGAGAAUGGAAAAUGAUGAUUUAAAAAAUCAAAAAAAUGUUUUUGAUUGCAAAAAUAAUUUGAAAAGGAAGUUGGAAGAGAAAACAAAGUUUUAUGGAAAAAUGUUGGAUGAACAAAAUUUGUUAAAGAAAAGAAUUAAUGACUUGAACGAGUUUCUCCAAAAUGAAAAACAAAAGUUUUCUCAAACAAAAGAAAGCAAAUCUUUUCAAGGCACAAAUACGUUUGCUAUGAUAAGAAGUAAGAAAAUUAGUUGCAUUAAAUCCACUUAUGUGCAAAAUACUUCUAUCAUGUGUCACUUUUGUUGUCAAUUUGGACAUAUGCAAAAUGAUUGCUAUGUAAAGAAAAAUAUGAGAAAAGGUAUGAAAUCCAUGUGGAUUGCUAGAUCAUGUUGUACUAACUCCCAAGAACCCUAUAAAAACUUACAAUUGGUAUCAUGAAAGUUUUGUCAUUCUAUAUGGUCUUGAUUUGGAAAAUAAAGGGGGAGUUUACUUUUUGAUUGAUGUCAAAAGAGGGAGUAGGAUUUAUUGAAAUUUCUUUGUAUGUUGGCAUUUUCUAAGGGAGAGUUUUAUUUGAACUUAUUUGAUCAAAGAAAUCUUCAUUUUGUUUGUCAUCAUCAAAAAGGGGGAGAUUUUUGACCUUGGUCGAUCAAUCCUUGGUUUUGAUGAUUAACAAACCAAAAUGUAGAUUUGGGCUAAUGUUUUUAUGUGAGCAAUUUGUUAGAACAGAUUCUUGUGGCACAAAAGAAGAAGCAAAAACAGGGCACUCAUGUGGGACGUCCGAAAGGAAGCUAUCGGACGUCCGAAAGGAUGAAGAACAUCAGGAAGGAUAUUCUGUCGGACGCUCGUGAGGAAGCAUCGGACGUCUGGAUGGAUCGGACACACUCUUCGGACGCACAUCGAUCGUGUCGGACGUCCUAAAAAUUCCACGAAGAUUUGAUAACUCUCUGGACGAUGUUCGGACGCAGGGUUCGGACGUCCGACAGGUGGUUUGGACGCAGGGUUCGGACGUCCGACAGGUGGUUCGAACGUCGACAGGCCAACGGCUAGUUUUGACAGCAUUUAAUAUUUGACCGUUGGAGAGUCUUUUGGAGCUAUUUCUCACCUUCUAUAAACACCCCAAAGCACAAGAAGACACGGGACUUUUUGCCAACACAAAUAUACAAGCUUACAAGUGAGAUUUUUGAGUAGAAAGAUUCUUUGUUGGUUGUAUAAGGGGUUGGGAAGUUGGGUUGUGAGGUUGCUCAAGUGAAGGUUAUUCUCUAGGAGGAGUAAAACCUUGGUGAAGGUGAACGCUAUCACUUGAAGUGGUAAAACCUUGGUGAAGGUUGCCUCAUUUGUAUAAAAUAGUUCUUAAUUGGGUGAGUGAUCUUUCAAGUGUAGGUUGUUGAGGGUUAACUAGAAUUGUUGUAAAACUCCUUGGCUCAACCAAAGUGUGUUUGGGGUGAGGAAGGAGUGAGCCUUCAGCUUGUACAUUCUGGUUAGCAUCGCCAUCAAUUGAAGAGGCUAUUGGUUGAUAGUUGGUUUGCAUUUCUUAUCCUUUCUCUUUAAUUAAGUUUUCUUUAUUGUGCUUAAAUUUGAUAUAUCUUUGUGCAUCAUUGUGAAUUUAUUUGUACUCAUUGGGUUGCACCGGGCACUUACAGAGUUCCAUCGGCAUGGGUAUAAAACUUAUUGAACAUUUCUACUCUAGUAGGAGGUCUUCCCAACUGUUUGGCCUAUAAGAAAUUGAAUCGUUUUAAUUAUAGUUUUAGCAUUUAGCAUAUAAUUAAAAAACAAGCUAACAUAAUGAAACAUGUACGAGCAAAAAAAAUUAGCAACUAAAAAGUGGAUGAGGUAUCACCAAGUGGUUCCGAAGAUGAGCAAAUUACUUUUUUCUGGUUGUGUGGUUCAUCUUCUUCUCCCCUCUAGCUUUCUUGUUCCUCUCACUUAGUUUCUAAAUUUCAAAAUGAAAAGCAAGAUUACAGCAUUGAAUGAACACAACUUUAUGAAGAAUGUUGUAGCUGAUUUGUACCUUUGCUUCUUCACUUUUCCAAUAAGCCCAAAGUUUGAUCCAUUGCUCUUCCCGUACCCUUAUGUCCUUUUGAAACCGAGCUUCAGCAUUUGGCACGGCAGAAUCAAAAUAGUUAGCCUUUAAAUCUGCCUUCCAGCUUCUCCAUUUUUUGCCAAUAGAUCUUAAGGUCCAAGCUUCCAGUCCCAUAGGCAAAGCAAACCUUUCCUGAAACGUAGUUAGCAACAAGAAAAUCAACACAACUUCACAGUAAUUUUUGUACAAAGCAUACAUAAUACAAAAGCUGCCAUUACCUUUAUCACUUCUAACAUGUCCAUUUUAAGUUUCCUUGGCAUCUUAAGCCAUGUUUCAACAUCUAUUGGACAAUACAUACCAUUCCUAGCCAAACUGCCCAAGAAUUCAGAGAAAGAGUUUUUCUCACUUAUUGGGAUCCCAUUGUCAUCGAGUUUAAUCUCAAUCCGUGGAAGUUCCUUAGGCCGACCCCAAAUUUCUUUCAUAAAUAUAGGGCCUCGGGUUUUAUGAUUUACUUCACUUGAAUCAUUUGUAGUUUCUUUUCCUGUUUAAAAUAAGAAAAAGGUGCAAGUUAUGAACAUAACAAAAUGCACUUCUGGAAUUGGUUCAAAACAGUUAGUAAUACCUGCAUUGUCCGAGUUGCAUGACAUGAAGGUGGUGUCACUGGAAUGUGGACCUCGAGAAUCCUGAUUUGGACUUUCUUCGGUUGCUUCAUGCCUUGUUCCAAGUGGAGAUUGUUGAAUUGGAGAGUUCUGGCACUGCUCAUGCGACUUGGAACCUCCAUCAGCUUGUUGAGUAACUUGGUCACCUGAUUCAUGCAUUAUUCCCAAUGUAGAAUUCUGAAUUGCAGAUUGAGGUGCCCGAGCAGCUUCUCCUUGCACUUGUUCAAUUACAUUUUCAUGGCUUGUUCCAAGUGGAGGCUGCUGCCUUGUUUCAUAACAUGAGGGAGGUUGCUCAAUUGGUUCAUCUCUCAAUCCAUUUGCAGCGCGCUUACAUUUUCGACCUCUACGGGCCAUACCUGCAUAAUAUUUGAGUGAAGAAAGGGACAAAUGUAAAUGUUUAAAAUUUAUUGAAGCACACUCUCUACCUAUAGUUUCUUUAACUUACAAAUGCUAUUAUAAAGAAGUACUACUUGAACAAUAAACUGGCAUGACAAGUAACAAAUGGCAUUCUGCAAGAAUAAACCAGGGGAAGACUAUGGAGCUGUCAACAGAACAGAGAAACAAAUGGAGAAUAUAUGAUUCAAUGCAGCAACUAAUUGGAAAUGAAAUGAAAGCUACAUGCUUAAGUGACUGCAAGAAUAUACAUGGGAAAUGCUUUGAUCUACAUCCUUUCAGCAUGAAAGAUAUGCAGAAUUUACUACCGCUAGACACGAAACUUUUUCCAUAUUGUUUUGAGAAUGAUGCCUAUGAUCAAAAGUUGGUAUGCUUAUGCUCAAUGAGGGUGUAAGUAGAAGAGUCCACGUAAUUUUAACUUCAGUAAUGGAGCAAACUAAUAAAUGAUUGUCUUGAAUUAACGAAAUAUACUUGGCCAUGUGAUAACCAAAAAUUGCAGAGGAUAAUGUAUUCUACCAACAAAUACAAGUCUUGGUUUUGUAUGUUUAGGGUGGCAAUCGGGUCGGUUAUGAAGCUCUACUGAAUACUUUUAUUUCCAGAUUCUGACAUGGUUCUGCAUUUAUCAAGAACUUGUCUCAUCUAAACAAGAGCUCAAGCUUUACGUAGCAUUGACGAUUCCAAACCAAAUUACUUCUCUUUUUGCCAGAGCCACAUCCACAGUUAUGGGUUGACACUUAACAGUAAAUGCACAAACACUUUGUCCAAUACAAUUGUAGCAGUACAAACAAUACAGUUGUAGAACAGGAAGGAGACGAAGAGCAUCACGGUGAAAGACUGAAAACGAGAACCCAUCACCAAAAAUAGAUGGUUGAAAUUGUACAUUCAGUUCACAGUAGCAGUCUCCAUUCGACCAGGCUCACCUAGAAAUGUGCUUCUCAGAAAUGUGCUUUUCACACCGCCACCACCCCAAAAGCUUUUCACACCACCACCACCCCCCAAAGCAAACAUUCUACCUAGAAAUGUGCUUCUCAGAAACGGAGAAGGUGCUUGUCAGAGAUGGGAAUCGAAUAGCCUAAAAACUAAAUCUACCAAGCAAUGCAAGAACAUGUCUACCAUGCAAUGCAGAAUUAGACACAAAAUACUGAAAUUACCUCAAACUAUGGCUUGAAUCCCUAAUUUCUCGGUUUCCCAAGCUUUGAAGCCCUAAUUUCUGAUUUCUUCCCACCAAGCCAACACAACAGCCGAAUUAGGGAUUUGCCUGGUGCGAGCUCAACCAAGUUACCCAAAAGGGUGCGAGUUCAUGGACGGCAAUUGACUCAAAUUGGUUGUGCGAGCUUGAAAGAGAGAGAGAGGACAAAGGCAGAGGACAACGAGAGAGGGAGAAGAUGUCUGAAAUAAAGGCGGUACUAAUGACGCCAAAGUAAAUUAGUCAAGCCUCUUGAAUUUUUCAAUUUGCCGCGCUACUAAUGACAAUUUUUGUGUGUUUGGGCAAAAUUUUGUUAAAGCUAGAUAACAACUAAAAAUUUGGUUAAAGCUAUAUACAAUAUAAUAUAACAACUAAAAAUAUAAAGGCUAAAAAUCUUGUUAAAGCUAUAUAACAACUAAAAAUAUAACAAAUAAAAAUUUUGCAAGAGCUAUAUACAAUAUAAUAUAACAAUCAAAAAUUUUGUUACAGCUAUAUAACAACUAAAAAUAUAACAAAUAAAAAUUUUGUUAAAGCUAUAUACAAUGUAAUAUAAUAACUAAAAAUAUAAAAAUAAUUAAAAAUUUUGAGAAGCUAACAAAAAACAUUCUUUUAAUCAAAAUGUUUUCGGUUACUCAAUUUAUUUUAUGCUGCGAGCAAUUAUGUACGGCUUGUAGUCUAACAAGCCAUUGGAAGGAUCGAAUUAGUUUAUGAAACAAGAAAAUUAACUUGUGAAUGCAUGAACUUUCCAUUGAUAAACAUUGGGAUUAGAAUUGACUGAACAUAAACAAUGAAUAUAUAUAUAUAUAUAUUCAAUGUUUUCAAUUCCAAAGCAAUUGCCAUUGAACUUUGUGUUAAUUAGAAACUUACUAUCACUUACAAGAUCUUACUAUUGAACUUUUCAAUGAUUAACCUUAGGCUUACACUUACAACGCAUUAAUUGAACAUAAACAUAUAUAUAUAUAUAUAUAUAUAUAUAUAUAUAUAGGGUAAAAAACAAAAAGGCCCCCUGUAGUUAACCUAAUACACAGAAAAGCUCCCCAUGGUUUCAAAAUAUACAACACGAUCCCUCAUGCUUUGAACUAAAUUGUAAAGGUGACGGAAUCCGUUAAACUUAACGGAAAUGGACGAAAUGACCAAAAUGCACUGAUAUAAUUAAGCAAAAGACAGCUCAAAAAAAUCAUUUGUUUCAUUCUCUAAGUAGAGAGAAUUGAGGGUUAAGGGGUAGAAUAUGCAUAUUUGAUAAAAAAUAGGCAUAAAAAUUUUUUUUUAGGUUCCAAUAAGUCAUUUCCGUUAAGUUUAACGGAUUCCGUCACCUUUAUAAUUUAGUUCAAAACAUGAGGUGUCGUAUUGUAUAUUUUGAAACCAUAGGGGAUUUUUCUGUGUAUUAGGCUUACCACAGGGGGUUUUUUUGUUUUUUACCCAUAUAUAUAUAUAUAUAUAUAUUCAUUGUUAAAAAUUCCAAAGCAAUUGCCACUGAACUUUGUGUUAAUUAGAAACUUACUAUCACUUACAAGAUCUUACUAUUGAACUUUUCAAUGAUUAACCUCAGGCUUACACUUACAACGCAUUAAUUGAACAUAAACAUAUAUAUAUAUAUAUAUAUUCAAUGUUUUCAAUUCCAAAGCAAUUGCCAUUGAACUUUGUGUUAAUUAGAAGCUUACUAUCACUUACAAGAUCUUAAUAUUGAACUUUUCAAUGAUUAACCUUAGGCUUACACUUACAACGCAUUGAUUGAAGGAUAAUCUAAAAUUGCGACUAAACCGAUUAAAUUCGAUCAAAGAUCAGUUGGACUAGAAAGCUCUAUCGGAAUUAACUUUUUGUAUUGUUAUUGGUUUAAAAAAUAAUUUUUUCAUGGUAUUAAAAAAUUAUUUAAGAAAUUUAUAGAUUAAAGUUUCAAAAUAUUUCUAUUGAUAAAAAAUUAGACCUUGGGUUAUUGGGAAAAAGAAUUGGCCAUAAUAUAAUGAUUCACAAAUGUAAUAUUACAGCUUACAAUUAAUGGAAUUGCUUAUAAAAUAAUGACCAGUAUUUAUGCAGCCCAUUGGGCUCUUAAAAUGAGUAAUGGGUUCCUUGGAAAGUUGGAUAGUUUUAUGUUUGGUCUGAAAUGAUUUGCACAUUCCGUACGUUGCCAAUUGUUCUCCCCAAACCAUAGAUGUCUGAGGAAGACAGACUCUACAUCUUCAUCCAUGGACUUCAACCGUGGGUACAGAUGGAGUUGCGGUGACAAAAUGUUCAGACCGUGUCUCAAGCACUUGCUACUGUCGAGAAGUUGAUAGACUUCAAGUCCAUAGGAUCCAAAAGUGAAAAAAAAAGAAGGGCAAGGCCUAGCAAUUGAAACAGAGAAGAAUAGGGCCAGCAAGCUUAGCAACUAUAAAAGAUACUAAAUCAGAUUAUAUUGGGACAAAUCAACUUCAAUCCCGAGUCCAUCCUCACGAACCCAACUAAUUUCCUCAUUUUCAUUCUCAACAACAGGAUUGCCAACAUCACUUUGCAAAUAUGUCUCAACAUCCAUGAUUGUUCCCAUGUUAUAUCCAGCUCUUGCAGUGGUAGAGAUAACAACUUGCCAAUCCUUAUCAGUUGGAUCUGCCACAUAAAAAACCUGUGAUGCUUGUGAAGCGAGUAUAAAUGGCUCAACAUGAGGCCUCACGUUUGCAAAAUUGACUAAAGUAAACCCAUCAGCAUCUUGUUUCAUUCUCGAACCAUUUGAUAUCCAAUCACAUUCGAAUAACACCACCCGAUGACCUCCGUAAAUUAAUUCAAUCAUAUUUUUCAAGACGCCGAAGUAAACUAGUUCACUCAAAACUGGAUUUUGAUCCCUUAUACUUGCAAAACUGGAUGUUGUUGCAUUGACUGUAACACCACUAUUCUGCGUUUUUCUUUUCUUCUCAACUUCUUUGGUGUGAAACCGAAAUCCAUUAACAACAUACCUGUCAUGUUGGAUUCCAACAACAUCUGGACCUUUAGCAAGGAACCUCAACUCUCUCAACACCGAAACAUUUUGAGGAAGUUCUAACUUGUCAAUCUGUAAAAAAUAAAUAAAUAAAUAAAUAAAUAAAAGAAGAUGAAACUAUAUUUGAAGUCCUACAAUUCAAAUUGUACUUAAUAUUCAGAAUUUUACUUACAUGUUCAGCAAACCAACACGCAAAAUUUUCGCAGUGCAAGCGCUCUUUUAGAUGCUGUGGAAUUUGAGGAUGUCCUUCUUCUAUCAAUCUACGAUGCUGCCUAGAAGUACAUGAGUCAAAAUUGUAAUCAUACAUUGAAUUCUACAAUAAAAUUUUAAUGCAUCAAGUUGUAGUUGAACUUACUCUAUGUAAGGUGUGACAGCAUCACAAUUAAAUAAAAUAUACUGAUGUGCUUUACUCAAGAUAUGAGCAUCAAAGACUGUUGGCUUGCCCCUCCCCAAAGGAUGUCCUGAUUCAGAGAAUAUAUCUAAACCAUCUUCAAUUUCCUUAUGUACUUCUUCAUUUCUGCUUGGACGAUUGAAUUUUGUCUCAACAUAGUCCGCAAGAUACAAUGAGCAAAAGUUAAUGCAUUCUUCUGCCAAGUAGCCUUGAGCAAUCGAACCUUCAGGCCUACUUUUAUUUCGAACAUAAGAUUUUAAUGUUCCUAAGUACCUAAAGUAUCAUCAUUCCAACCUCUCUAAUUACUUCCACAAAUCAAAGAAAGCAAAAAAGGAAUAAACAUUUAAGGCAUAAUGAGAAUUACAAGCAGUACCUCUGUAUAGGAUACAUCCAACGAUAAUACACCGGCCCACCUAAUUUCACUUCAGUUGCCAAAUGAACAACUAAAUGCACCAUGACAUCGAAGAAGGUUGGUGGGAAGCAUUUCUCAAGAUCGCAGAGUAUGACGGCAAUUUCACUUUCCAAACGAACCACAUCUUGAGGACAAAUAACUUUAGAACAAAGCUGCCUGAAGUAUCUACUCAAUCGAAUCAAAGGAUAGCGCACUGAUUUUGGCAAAGUCUUUCUCAAAGCUAUAGGCAUCAAUUGCUGCAUUAGGAUAUGAUUAUCAUGACUUUUAAGCCCUGAAAUUCUUGGUGGUUUUACUCGAACGCAUCUUGAGACAUUAGCUGCAUAACCAUCUGGAACUUUCACUUUUUUUAGCACAUUGCAAAACAUAGUUUUCUGUUUUUUAUCCAUUGCAAAGGAAGAUGGAGGUAAGUACACCUUUCCAGGUUCUGUCUCAAUGGGAUGCAGCUCUUUUCUUAUUCCCAUUUCUCUCAAAUCACGGCGGGAAUUAUAAUGGUCCUUUGCUUUAUCCUCAAUAUCCAGCAAUGUCCCCCAAAUAUUUUCACAAACAUUCUUCUCAAUGUGCAUGAAGUCAAGAUUGUGUCUUAAGACAUUAUCUUUCCAAUAUGGCAAGUCAAAGAAAAUACUCCUCUUUUUCCAAUUGAAAGGCAGCUUCGGAUUACCUUUCACAAGUUUUCCAAAUUUAAUUUGCAAGUCUCCCAAUUCACUCACAAUCAUAUCCCCGGUUUGCAAAGGUGGUCGCUUUCCAUGUUCUUCGGUGCCAUCAAAGAAUUGGGCUUGCUUUCUAAAUUUAUGCUUACUAUCUAAGAAUCUCCGAUGACCUAUGUAGCAAUAUUUGAAACUAUGAGUCAACCGUCGUGCAUGAGUGAACUUGUGACAAACAGGACAAGCAUAUUCACCUUUAGUGCUCCACCCAGAUAACAUUGCAUAUCCAGGGAAAUCACUAAUGGUCCACAACAGAGCCGCAUGCAGUUGAAAAUUUUCUUUUUGGGAUGCAUCAUAAGUUUGAAUGCCAAAAUCCCACAAUUCGGUCAGUUCUUUAACUAGAGGCUGUAGAUAAACAUCAAUAUUAUUCCUAGGAGAGGAUGGUCCGGGUAUUAACAAAGACAACAUGAAGUACGGUUGCUUCAUACACAUCCACAGAGGUAAGUUAUAUGGUAUUAAAACUACAGGCCAAGUACUGUGUGUAGAACUCAUGUUGUUGAAUGGAUUAAACCCGUCAGAUGCCAACCCCAAUCUAACAUUUCGACAAUCCUUAGCAAAUUCUGGAUGUAGAUGGUCAAAAGUUUGCCAAGCUGGAGAAUCAGCUGGAUGUCUCAUACAACCAUCUUUUGUACGUUUUGCCUCAUGCCAUCUCAUUUGAGAUGCAAUUUUAGAAGACAUAAAUAGUCUUUGUAAUCUAGGUUUUAAGGGAAAAUGCCGCAACACUUUUUGAGGAAUUUUCCUUUUUUCCCCAGUUGGAUCAUUUUCUGAAGCAACCCACCUAAGCUCGUUACAUGUUUCGCAUGAAGUUCUUUUUUCAGCACUACCCCUAUAAAGAGAACAAUCAUUAGGACAUGCAUCAAUCUUUUCAUAACCCAGCCCCAAUGUAUUCAUCAAUUUCUCAGCCUCAUAGUAAGAAGACGGCAAAUUAGUCAUGGCCUCCGGAAAUGCUUCUCUCAACAGCUCAACAAGCAUAUUAAAAAUCUUGUUACUCAUCUUACCCAGGCAUUUUAGGUGAAGCAAACGAAUAAUGAAAGACAAUUUCGAGAAAUUUUUGCAACCAUUGUACAAAUUCUGUUGAGAAUCAUCAAUCAAUUUGUAAAAUUUUUUCAGCCUCUGAAACAGGAAUGUCCCCUUCUCUAUUCAAUUCAUUUGUUCCAUGUGGUAUCCCAAAUACAUCAUGGACCAAGUCUUGCAUGUCAUUAGUCCCAUUUGAAAACCCAAUUGAUGUAUUUUCAGAAUUAGAUGUGGCUUCAUUGUAGUUUGAAAGUUCUCCAUGUGCUGUCCAAUUAUUAUAACCCUUGAUAAAUCCUACCACUUUCAAAUGAUCAUAUGCUUCCAUUUUUGUCACACAAACACCCAUGCCACAAUCUUUGCAAGGACACAAAAUCUUUCCGUCACAACUUGAUCUAGAAAAUGCGAAGUUUAGAAACAUUUGAAGUCCUGUCUCGUACUUUUCACUUGUUCUUGGAAAAUCCAUCCAUCUUUUAUCCAUACUUUUAAUAUAAAUAAAUGUCCUCCAACGAGCUUCCAAUAGCCUACUUUUUAAACUCAGGUCGUGGCUUACAAGUCCCUAAUUUCAAGUUCAAGAAUUUCUCAACAAAAAGGAAUUUAUCAAGCAGCCAGCAAAUAAAGGAAAUCAACAAAAUGCAAAAUUUCUCAACAAUCUAUAAAAACAGAAUUUGCAAGUAAGCGGAUAGAAAUUUUAUUUACCUAAUAACAGAAAAAAACCCUUCGUACCAACUCCUGCGCUCACGUCUUCGCAAAAUUCCUAAGUUCAAUCUGAAAUGUCAAUGGUUAAACAAACACAUGAGCAUGAAAACUAAAGGUGAAAUUCAAGAAUUUUACUAAAUUUUCAUCAAAGUAUACAUACAUCUUUGGUGUGUAGUGAUUAAUUUUAUAAGUCAUCUCUUUAGAAAGGCAUGCAAUUGACGGCAUAGGUAAUUGGAAAAAGAAUGACAGAAAAGUCCCCUAGCUUCUAAUCAUGCCUAUGAAGAUCCUUAUGAACAUGUCAAAAUACUUUGACCCAACUACAUCAAUGUCUCUGUCUUAUUAAUCUAAAAGUCCCCUUUUUUGGGCUCAAAAUUUGCACUAUAAUAGACUGAUCAAGUGCAGAAGACACUUAGUACAAGCGUUAUACUAUAUAUUUCAAGCAACUCACGUACUGAUUAGACAUACAAUUUAAAACAGAAAAAUGAUGUAAAGAUGCAAGUACUACAUAGAAUUUAACAUAGAAAAAAGCAAUAGUGAUAUAAGUGAUACCAUUGGGUGAAAUAUGCACUUAGCCGGAGGACCACCUUUGUGGCAAAAGCCAAAAGGCAGCAAAGGUUACCAUUGUUAUGCAAAUUUUGUGCCUCACAUUGGCGGUCCAUUAUCUGCAUCUUAAUUGUCUUUGGGCUUAUAUAGUCACGGUUUCCCAAUUCUGUCACCAGAAUAAUUUCCUGCUAGGCAUAUAUAGACCAUGGUCCUUGUUUCAUUUAUUUAUAUCGAACUUGUUGCUGAGUGUUCAUGAUUACGAUAAGCAAUGCAAUUUGGUUGAAGCUCUCUAUUCACAGUUUUGCUUAACCGUCCCCAUCCCCAAACAGAACUAGCUGCCUAAACAAACUUCAAUUACAGCUAGGUUUCAUAGAAAAAAAUGAAAAACAGGGGGAAUUGACUUUUUAUCGAACAGGUUUUGGGCAACAUACUAAUCACCCGUGGACACUUUAUUAGCUAGCCUAUGUACAAUUAUGGCAUGACGAUAGAACAAAUGUAACAUGGACAUAAAGAUCGAUCUCCUCAAAAAAUACGCAAUCCAAUUGAACAAAUUUCCUCAAGUUUUCAUCUCCAUUGCAGCUAAAGAAAAAGCAUCCAACACCGAGUUGCUAUUAAUGCUACAAUUAGAUAGAUAUCAUAUUUAAAUCUUUCAACAAUCUUAAAUGAGGACAAUAUAACUCAACUAGCGACAGCUCAGGCCAAGAAUCUUUACUUCUCAGAAAAAAAUUUCCAAGUUGCAGGUAAUUUCUUGACAACGAAAUCAAACAUAAGAGCUUCAUUGUGUUUACCACUUCGAUUUUGGAACAACAUUUGCGCGCCUGAAGUAUCUUCCAGCUUUCCCAAUGUACAGCUCCGAUCUUCUAAUUUUACUCCCUGCCUGCCCUUCCAGAUGUCUUAGCCGAAGGAUUUAAAGUUGAGGUUAGAAAAGAUGAAGAUGGUUGUUUGCGGAGACAGCUUGACCAACAUUCUGGAUUGGCUGAGAUAGAUUGUAUGCGGAGAGGUGAGAGAGAUGAGAAGAAGAAAAUUUUCACCAAGUCCUUUUGCCGGCAAAAUGAAACUUCAGAGUACUUUACCAAGUGUCUGGAGCCAAAUUAAAACGAUGUCAUUUUCUGUCUUUUUUUUUUCUCACAUUUUCCCAAGUGUCAUGAUAGGUAGUCUAAAGACACAUUAUUAUUUUAUAUCAUGAUAAAAUAAAAAAAUUAUAGUACAGAUUAUUGAGUUGGUUAAUAAGUGUCAUGAUACGUUUGGUAUAACGACACAAACCAACAAGUGUCCUUAUAAACAUGUCAGAAAAGGCCAUUUUUGUUGUAGUGCCUGUUGCGUUUUGAAUUUCUUAAAUAAAGGUCUUCUCUUACCCCCAAGCUAAAUUUCACACACGUUGCUCUUAUUCCUAAAUAUUUAGAGCCCAAGCAAGCAAAUAUCUCAAUUCCGUCCACUAAGUUUAUGUAAUGUAGUGUACAAAUUAGCGUCUAAAGCCAUCUCUAAUCGAGUCCGUGUUCUUUUACCGAAUAUUAUUUCUGAUCUCAAUCGGCUUUUAUUCCUGGCCAAUUAAUCACCAGUAAUGUCCUUGUUGCUUAUGAAGUCCAUCAUUAUCUUAAAUGUAAAAAUGCAGGCAAGGAGGAACUCAGGUCGAUUAAAAUGGAUACGAGCAAAGCGUAUGAUCGAGUUGAGUGGAUAUUUCUCUUAAAAAUAUUACUAGCUUUAGGUUUCAAUUCUAAAUUUAUUUUCUUAAUUUUCAAAAGUAUUUCAACAGUUUCUUAUUCUUUUUUGCUCAUCGGUUUGGGAUUUGGCCACUUAAAACCUAGUUGGGGUAUUAGACAAGGAGACCCACUUUCCGCAUAUCUAUUUAUAUUGUGUGCAGAAGCUUUUUACAUUUUAUCUCAGAAGCUAGUCUUUGUGGAAAGUUGGGAGGCAUUGCUGUUGCGCCUGGUGCUUCAUCCAUUUCUCAUUUGUUUUUUGCCAGAUGAUACUCUUUUAUUUGGAAAGCUACAGGGGAGGAGGCUUCAAAUUUUAUGCAGGUUAUCAAUCUUUAUGAAGGUGCAUCAGGCCAGCCGAUUAAUGUGGAGAAGUCAGUGGUGGUAUUUAGCAAGAAUACUCCAGAAGCUGAUUAAUUGGCAAUUGAAUGUUCUCUUCGAAUGCCGCCUGUGGAAUCACAUGAAAAGCACCUCUGGGGUUGCCUACUAUCGUUGAGAGAUCUAAAGGUGAGGUCUUUAAUUCUAUCAAACAAAGGGUUUUUAAACGGAUUAAUGGAGCAGCAGUUAUCUCGAGCAGGAGAAGAAAUUUUAUUGAAUGUCCCUUGUAAAGUUAAGCAUUAUCUCUGGAGAAUUUGCUGUGAUUUCUUGCCUACUAAAGUAAAUCUGCUCCGGAGAAGAGCUUCAGUGGAGCUCAACUGUCUGUCUUGUGGUUUUGAUAUUGAGGAUCUUAUUCAUGCAAUUUCUUUCUGGGCGUUAAGCUGCCUUAAAGGGCAAGUACGUAAGUGGCAGCAAUCAAUUCCCAAAGAGUGGGCUCUGGAGUUGUUAGUUACGUUGAAAAAUCGUGAAGCAGAGUUGUUUGAGAUGUUAUGUUGGGCUAUUUGGCUUGGGAGGAACCAAAAGCUGCAUGAAGAUAAACGAGUGGACCCUUUUGAGUUUAGUUAGCUUUGCUUCGGGUGCGCUCCAAUAAUUCCAAGAAGCUAAUGUUACUCAGAAAUGUCCAGGCGAUGGCAAGUUAAAGUUUAAUUUUGACGGUGUGGUGUUUAAGGAAACUCAAUCUAUUGGUUUAGAUGACGGUGCGGUGUUGAUUUAUCUAGUUUAGACCCUCCAAUUUUUGACAUUACGAGGGACUUAACUAGUUUAGAGAUGUCUAGUAUUUCAGGAAUGAGUAGGAAUCAUAAUAAAAUCACUCAUAUAUUAGCUAAGAUCGCAGAAUUCAUAUGUGAUCAUGUCUUUUGGUGGAGAGAUCCUCCAGAGUUUGUUGUGCCAUUUCUAAUGGCGGAUUUGUUAGAAAGUUAAUGAAAGUUCAAUACAGGUUAUGUUGAGUAAGACGUUGGAUUGAAAAUUCAAGAUUUUGAACUGAAAUUUCAAGAUUUUGAGAUGAAAAUAAAAGAUCACGCUAAACUUAAUGGAUUCAAAUCUUAAUAUGUGCAAAUGCGUUUGAUAACCAAAAUUGGACAUCUGAAUUAAUUAAGUGCUAGUGAAUUUUCUAAACGAAAUUUGUUCUAAAAAAUAAGUGAUAAACUAUGCAUUUAUUACUGAAUGUGAUAUACACUUAAAUAUACUUGAUUUAAUACUUAACAAUCUAAUAAAUUAAUGGACUCAGAUUUUAGAUUUCAAUUUUAUCAAAGUAACCUAAAAAUAUAGACUAUAGAUAAAAUAACUGCAGAUAAUGAUUUAUGUUGAGUAAGCUUUCAAAGCUACGUUUCCCAAAACAAACUUUAGAUAAUCAUUCUCUAAUUUUUGCUUUCACUCUAGAAGAUGCGUACAAUAAUGGGUGUAUACAAAAAUGGAAGUUAAAUUGAUAACACUAAGCUCGCCAAUUCUCAUAAAAAAAAUGAUGACAUUGCCUGCAUUAAUUCUAGUAACGGACUGAAGACAAUAAUUAAUAGGUGACUAUAUGGUGCCUAAGGCACACAAUAAAAUGUGGACUUGGUACCAUUAUUUAUUUUUGUGAAAGGAUAAACCUAUUUUGUAAGGUGUCGCAAUUCAUCAUCAUGAAAUGAGUGGUAAUUUUAAAGCAUUAAUAGUGAAUUCACCUUCAUUUUUAACGUUCAUAUCGCAAAGCCUAUUAAAAAAUUUCCACCAGCACAAAUUCCACUUUUAAUAGGUUCGAAAAUUCACUCACAAAUUUAUCCACAAAUCCCAUUAACAAAAAAAAAAAAAGAAAAUGCAGAAAGUUAUCAACGGAACUUCUAUAGUGCGUUGACGCGCGACACGUGUUGGUUGGAGAUUACUAGAUGGGAGUGGGGUUAAUCAAAGGUGGUAUUUUAGUAUUAAGCCCAAAAACCACCGGUAACAAUGGUAUUGACCCAAUUUCUAGAGGAAUUGACCCACAUAAACUGUGAAAGAUUAUUUUCUCUGUCAUUUAAGGCAAUUUCUGAACAAGAUUUAGGCGUAUAAUAAAGAAAUUAUCAACCCCAACCCCCAAUAUUAUGCUAAUAUGCAAUUGGAAAAAAUUAAAUGAAUAUUUACUUGAAGUUAAGAAGUGGAUACCAAUCGGUAGAAAGUGUUUAUAACAUACUCCGAAAUGCCAAAGGACUUCCCAAAAAGUGGGAAGCAGGACAACAUCUGAAAUAUAGUCCAAGUUUGAAGUGCUUUAUGUCAAACAUAUUUCAAUAUAGAAAAAAAAAAAAUUACUGGUUAGCAUAUGUUUGUGCGCAGUAUUUGUUGAUUGGGAGACGGUUCUAAGGAGGCGGUUUUGCAACAAAUAAGUAAACGGGAUGUCGAUUACUUGGAGUUGUAUCUUAUGCUGGAAAAAUAAUUAGACAUGUCAGUUAAGUAAUAUUUCAAUUUAAAUAAAGUUAGUUAGGAACUAGAACUCGUAACAUGGUUGGAUAUGGUUAGUGAAUAGGAUAUGAAUGUUGGGGGAUAGAAUACAACUAGAAUUACUAAGACAAAUUAAGCGUGACACUUUGAAUUCAAAUUUUACUAACAUUGCAUAAUAACACCUUUGACUGAUAAUUUUUUUUGAUACGGAAACUGGAAAAAUUUUAUUAAGAAGAGGAUAGAUCCGUAUUAAUUGCGAAAGAAAGAAAAAAUGGUGGAGAAAAUCUCCAACUAUAAAUACCUGAAAUAGAACUAGCAUUACUAUCUAAGAAAUGAGCAGGCACAAUUAGAUUCCUAGGAAUCCAAUCAGCCUCCCAAGUAAUGAAAUUCUGUAAACUAACAAAGAUAUCAUCUAACAGCACUCCAUAAGCUGAAUCAUCGGAUUCCAUAUUUUUAAGCAUGUUGAUGAUCUUCAAAGAGUCACCCUCUAAAACAAUCUUAGAACCUUCAACUGAAGUAACGAGGAAAUUGCAGAUAUUGCAGCAUAAGUUUCAGUUACUUCAGGAGAAAAGAUACCUAAGAUUUUGUGAAAAAUACUAGCAACAAAUUUGCCCCAUUCAUUCCUCACAACAAUUCCAACUCUAAAGUUGUCGUCUUCAUAGAAUAUUGCACCAUCGAAGUUUGCACUGCACCAUCGAAGUUUGCCUUUAGAAAUCUUGCAGAGGGCUUUAUCCAAUGAAGUUGAGCAGUGGAAGAGCAUAUUGGAAUGUUUGGAAAUGUGUUUAUUUCAUGGUAUUUCUAUAAGAAAUUGAUAGAGAGGGAGAGACCAAACUGAAAGGAUCACGAUAGAACCAUCAAAUAAUGCAUCAUUUCGGUUAAACCGUAGAUUCCAAAGAAUUAUGGCUACCAAUUCCAUGUCCUGCUUUUUCAAAAGAUGAAGGCCAGACAACCGAGACGAAACUUGAUCGGUAGAGUCUAAUCUUAUCUUUAGUGUAAGAAAGCUAAGGGCCCAAGGUUGAAUUGCUACUGGACAGCACAAGAAAAGAUGAUUAACAUCAUCAAUAGGGGCCUUACAUAAAGAACAAGUAGGAUCAAAAUAGACUCCGCGACUAUUCAACUUGGAAGUUAUAGGUAGAAUGUCUUUGCAAAUUCACCACAAGAAUAUUUUAACUUUACUUGGUAUGUUGAGUUUCCACAAGCAGGGCCAAAUAUCAUCCAUAGAACCAUUACUACAUGAAGCUACAUCUUGUCAAUUUGUAGAUUAUAUUUUGAUAAGAUGAUAGGCAAUUUUCAUUGUGAAGGAGCCAUUUUUAGAAUAGUGCCAAAUGAGCUUAUCUUGAUUUCGUCUAUCACCCAAUGGAAUACUCAUAAUCAACUCAAUCACAUCUAAGGAUAGCAACGGGGGCAGUGCCCGGGGGGGCUAUUGGGGCAGAGGUUGGGGCGGGGGUGGGGCUGGAGCGGGGGGAAUUUUUCCCCCCAUUUAGAAACGGGGCAGGGGGCCCACCCAUUUGGAAAAAAAAGAGAGAUAUAUAUAUGUACAUAAUUAUAUAUAUAAUAGUAUUAUCAAUUAUACAUGUCUAUUAAUAAAAAUUAUUAAUUAUUUAUACUAAAUUUAUUAAUACAUUUAUAUUAAAUUCCUAACUACACUUAAUACAAUAACACUUUUUUUCUAAAAAAAACACAAUAAUAAUUUAGUGAUUGUAUUUGUAUCAAAAGUAAAAACAAUUAUUUUAGUUAUAUUUGUUUUAUCAUAUUAGAUCGUAUUCAAAUAACUUUUGUUUAAUUAUUUUUAUGAGUUUCAAUUGUGAAGUUAUAAUGAAUAAUAAUUUGGUGAUAUGUUGAUAUUUUAGUACUUGAUUACUUGCUCAAAUUUAAUUAUAAUAAAAUUAUAUAAUAAUUUUUUUAACCCCGCGGGGGAAGCGGGGCGGGGGCGGAGGACGGGACGGGGACGGGGGGGAAUUAAUAGGCAACGGGGCGGGGGUGGGGGAGGGGCCACCCCUAAUCACAUCCUGCCAAAAAAGCUCUUGAAGCAAAUCAUAUUUCCAUUUCCUGCUAUUUUCAUCAAUUAAACAAUCUAUAGUGGACAUUUCUAGUAGCACAUCAAAACGAGAUAUAAUUUUGAAAUUAGAAAGACGUGGAAUCCACCUCUCUUUCCAAAUUUUGAUAUGAUUCCCGUGUCCAUCUCACCAUCUACUACCAAAAACACCUUUGAUUGAUAAUUAAAUAGUUAAAAAAAUAUAUCUACUUAAUUUGUUUACUCAAUAGUUAUGUGAACUAAAACAUAAAAAAGAAGGUCAAUUAUUAUAUUAGUGUUAUAUUUGUAAUAUUAGUUCCCUAUAUAGUAGGUUGCCGAGUUGGGCAUAUUUAUAUUCUACCAAGUAAAUGCCCUAUCUUUUCGAAACGUGGCAAAAAAAUUGUGUUUGUUUUUUUUGGUAGAUUUCAUUCUUUUUCUUUUUUGGUAACAAUUAAUUUACUAUUCAUUUUCACUUCAUUAUUUAUAGUAAAUUUCAAUCAAUUAUCAAUUACUUACCUUAUAUGCAUUUUUAUUAAUUAUACCUUUAUUUUUUUUAAUCAACUUAUAGCUUUCCUUUUUAAUUAGGCACUCGUUAAUAUAUGUCUUAGGUGUUAAAUUUUUAGAAAUAUAAGAUGAAUUAGGGAGAGCAUAUAAAUGUAAGGGAAUUAAUUAGAAAAAUAUAUAAAUAAAAGAAAAAGUAGUAAUAGUUGCGUAUAUAUAUGGCAGGUUAGGUGGAAUGCAGGUGUGUUAACGAUUACCCAUAGGGCACCCAUUAGAAAUACUCAUCAAAAUUUGGAUUAAUUUUUUUUCCUUUCAUUGCAAUCAUUACUACCAUUUUUCCUAUCAUUUAUUACUAUACCUUCAUGUUUCUAAAUACCAAUAAAUGUAUUACUCUCUUACUUUUUAUUUGAUUGUGCUAAUUAUAGCUUUCCUUUUACUUAAUCAAUUAGUCAAUCGAUCAAUCAACCAAUGAUUUUAAUUCUCUUUUCAAUCGCACGAUCUUUCUUUUAUCCAUCAUUAGGGAGAUUUACAAUUUAGUCACAUAUUUGUUAUGUGUACAAUAAUUAUGCAAUCAUAAGCACAAACUAAUGCAAUUCUAAUAAUUUUGCAUAUAUGCAUUCAUAUUGUAUUGCAACACCUUUAAUAAUUCAUUAUAUGGUUACAAAAGCCAAAAAAAAUCUAGUAUUACCUAGACCUUAGAUAGUCCCCAAUGUAUACACUGAUACUGUAUAAAAUGAUUUUAAACCCGUUAAUAUAUAUACUGAUUGCAUAUGAAGAUUCAUCCCUAAUUUAGACCUCUUAGAUAGUUUGCAUGCAUUAUAUUCCCUUUUUUUAAUUUCUUAUUUAGUUUACCUUAUUACCAUUUAUGAUUUUUUUUUAAUUUAAGCAACAUCUUCCAAUAUUUUAUCACCAUUUUAAGUUAGUUCAUUUUUAGGAGAUAGUAGUAUAAGUGUGGUAGUUUGUCCAAAUAACUUUGAAUAUGCAUAUACAACCCAAAAAUAAAAUGAUAGUUGUUUAUAUUCUUAUCACUCAACGAUGAUAGUGUUAUGUAAUUUAAAUGAUUGAGAUCUAUUGCCAUCCAAAUAUAAAUUUAAUAUGAGGGUAUGAUAACUAAAAAUGACUAUAGAAUCUCCCUAAAUACUAAAUAAUGCGAAUAGAGAUAUUCCCUCAAAAACUUGUAAAGUACUUAAUGUGUAUACGGGUAAAUUCUUGCAAUAGUGAAAGGAAAAUAUCUUACUAGCCUUGAAAUUUUGGCCCGUGUAUUGACUUUUGUUAGCUAAAUUAAACUAUCUUGGAGUGAAGACAUAAAAUCUGCGGCAAAAUUUGAGAGAGUUGUGAACAUAGCUUAUCUAGCGUACACAUUUUUUUCCGAGUUUGAAUUCUCUCACUUACACGACAAAAAGAAAAAACUAUCGUACAUUUAACUUCCAACUAACAAUGAUGUAUAGGUAAUAAAUUAUAUGCAUGGGAUAUUCUCAUAAAUAAAUGAAAUAUAUUUACACGACAAAGAGUAAAUUCUUAAAUUAAGAAGAAAUAAUAUUAUAGUAGCUGUCAAUUUGUUUAUAUGACUUUUUGGUUUGUCUUUACUCAUGACAACCAAUUAUGUUAUUUUGAUGUAAAAAUAUCCAAAAACGGUUGAAUACAAUGUGGGACAUUAUUAUUAUUACUCGGAUACCUCAAUAUUUAUAAAAUUGAUUAAAUUGGAAUCCAUCUGGAUUUAACAGUAUUUUGAAAAAACUAUUUUUGUUGUUCAAGUCUAUAGUAAUAAACUUUAAAAAUAACCUCAAAAAUAAUUUAAAAAAUACAACAUAUCUCAAAUACAUUAAAAAAUAAUUAAAAAAUUUCCCUAAUUCUUCUUCCCCACACUACCCACUACAACCACCACCACUACCCAUCACUGUCCACUACCACCACCAUCAUCCCCACACCCAUGACCCGUCUUCCUCUCUCCUCUCUCUCUUUCUCCUCUCUCUCUCCUCCCUCCUCCCUCCUUUCUCUUAUUCUCCUUCUCCUUUCUCCUUCCUCCUCUGCCUUGUCUUUCCUCCCUUCUCCCUUCUCUUUCCCCAUCCCCUAAUCCCCCCUUCCCUCUACUGACUGUGGCCUUCUUGGUCUUGACCAGAAAGGUUGCAGCCAGAAGCCGCGACUAGUGGCUUCUGGUUGCAACCAAGGUCACAGAUGGAGUCGCGGUUACCAUCCACGAUUGGGAGAGGUUUGAGGGUCAGAAACGAGAGGGACGGGGGAGAGAAGGAGAAGAAAGAGGAGGGAGAAGGAAGAGGAAGGAGAGAAAGAGAGGGAAAACAGAGGGAGAGACAAGAGAGGAGAAAGGGGGUAACGGCGUUGAGUGGUGGUGGUGGCUGGCGUAAAAUUUUUUAAAAAUACCCCAAAAAAGUUGUAAAUUAUAAAAAUAUCCCAAAAAUGUAUUUUAAAAAGCCCUAAAAAUACCUUUAAAAAAUCCCCCAAAAACAUCUAUAGUACAAGUUAUUUAUAUAUAUAGUUACCGUAAAGUUUUUAAAAGAUACCCUAAAAACAGUUAGUCCAAAUGGAGUCUUGAGUUUUGAGGUUAAGGUUCAAUGAUUGACCACAAUUUAGGUCAAAGUAAAACUUGGCCGAAAGUUUAGUGGGUAAAAUAUAAUUUUAAAAAUUAAUCAUCUUCCCUGAUCCUCACAGUUGCAAUGGUGAACUGUCAGCCCCUUAGGACGUGUUCCAGACGGAACACGCGCAACCGUGGUAGAUUUCGGUCACUCAUGGUCAACUUGGAAGGCUGAAGGUGAACUGGUUGGGAAAAACUUGGACACAUGUUUGAUGAUGUAUUCCAUGCCUAUGUAUGGGUUUGGAAAAGUUUCAGGGCUAGGAAAAUGUCUCUAAAUUAGUGGGGAAAUGAGGGGUGGCUUUACUAGCGGUCCGAAAUUUUUAGCUAGGACUACUAUAGAGAGAGAUAACUAUAACUAAGCCAAGUCAAUGCCAAGGGCUGGGGGCUAAGGCUUUAUGGGUUAUUUUGGAUGGUUCCAAGCAUUUGGAGCUGUGGUGCCUAAGUUGCUAAGUGUUGGGCCAAGUUGGGCACGGAACUAAGCAAAUGGCAAGAAGCUGGGUGUGCGAAACUGUGUGACCAUUGCAUGUGCGCUCCAAAGACGAACGUUGGGACUGUCUGGCAGUUGCUAGUCGUUUGCUGGAGUUGCGGACGAUUAUCAGUCAACUCAGACACGUUCUUAUCGGUUUCCUGACUUCAUGUACAUUCGGGUCGGACCAACGGUUGGGUCUUGUCAACUAUAACAAUGCAUAUAAAUAAAUGGCUAGGUAGGGAGUAAAGGCAGAUAGUGAGAAACACCCUUAGAUGUUCUGCAUGCUAAAUGUUUGUAGAAUUGUCCUUGUAAUCUCUAUAGUGAAAUACAAGGUUGGCCGUUUGAUUGUAACUUGUGCGUGUUGUUCCUUUGUUUUUGCCUAAGUAUUCUAUGUUGAAUACUUGUAUGCAAGUGUCAGUGUAAGGGCUGACUGGAAGCGCGGCUUAUCAAUGCCAUUACAUGCUUGUUAGGCUAGUGAGCGUAAACACCUCGUAAUAGUUUGGUAUCAAAGCACGGCUUUGAUCUAUUAGACUGUGCUUCUGUUAUGUGUUUUGUUGGUUAAUGAUGGUUGGACACAGGAAUUCUGUUGCAAUGCUUGGAAUGGUUGCAAUGUUAGGAACUUGCAUUCGAGGACUUGAUGCAGUGUCUAGGAGAUGGCCUAGAAGGCUUCAAUGUCAUAGAAGUUCUAUUGCAGACUAGAGAGAUGAUCAACACCCUGACUGCACAGAUGGACGAAACCAGGCAGACAGUUUCUUCUGUUGGGGAUGUUGAGAUGCUAAGGAAUGAAAUGAUUGCAUCCCAUGCAAAGAUCGUGGCUUUACAAUCGAAGAUCAAUGUGUUAAAAAAGGCAGUCGGCUCUUGUAACACACAGACCUUUCAAAAAUCUUCGAAGAGGAAAGUGAAAGUCCUAGAUCCGAAACCAUACCAAGGUAGUAGGAGUUCGAAGUAUUUGGAAAACUUUUUGUGGGAUUGUCGAGUAGUACUUCAAGGCUAUUGACAUUCCUGAAGUAGAGAAGGUGUCAAUUGCAUCAAUGUGUCUUAGUGGUGAUGUAAAGUUAUGGUGGAGAACAGUGCAAUCAGACCUACCAAACCCAAGAUCGGUACUUGAGAAGUACUGAAGGAGGAAUUGAAGAAGCAAUUCCUUUCCACGAAUGUUUAAUGAAAAGUUAGAGGUGUAUUGUGAAACUUAAAGGAGAAUAAGAAAGUACAGAGUACGUUACAGAGUUCCAAGCCUUGAUGUUAGAUGUAAGGGAAAUGUCUGAGGAAGACAGACUCUACAUCUUCAUCCAUGGACUUCAACCGUGGGUACAGAUGGAGUUGCGGUGAUAAAAUGUUCAGACCAUGUCUCAAGCACUUGAUACUGUCGAGAAGUUGAUAGACUUCAAGUCCAUAGGAUCCAAAAGUGAAAAAAAAAAAGAAGGGCAAGGAUAAGGCUAAGGGCUCGAAAGGUGGUCAAUUCUCAAAAAAGAAUAAAAAGAAGCAGACAGUAACAACGACCGAAACUAGCGGUGCUUCCUCUUCUAAGAAGAAGCAAACAUCCAACCCUAAAAAGGAUGGCUGCUAUACCUGUGGAAGACCACACUUAACCUGCAAUUGCCUCAAUAAGAAGGACCAGAACGUUAGUGCCUUAGUGGCAGAAGACAAUAGUGACCAGUUGGAGGUCCAGGAUGCACGGGUCAACCCCAUGUAAUUCUUGAACGCCAUCACCGAUACUAAUGUCUGUACUCUUUACAAUGGUUUGAUGUAUGUGCAGGUUACAUUGAAUGGUAACCAUAUAUUGACGAUGGUUGAAACGGGAGCAUCAUAUAGUUCUAUGAUGGAAAAAGUAAUGAGUCGGUUCCGGUUACAGUUGAAAGACUUGGGUUUCAAAAUUGAAGGCUGUAAACUCUGAAACCAAACCAGUGCUAGGCAUGGCGACCGUAGAUUUAGAGUUGGAGCCAUGGAAGGGUUGGUGCAAUUUCAUGGCAAGUCAAAUGGAUGAUUUUGACUUGAUUCUAGACAAAGAUUUCAUAGUUGCAAAUAGGAUCUAUCCAAUUCCGCACUUGGAUGGCGUCAUGGUGAAUGAUGGCUAGAGUCCAGGCUUUGUUCUUGUAGUAAAGUUGCAGAAACAAAAGAACAAUCAACAAAAGAACAUGGUAUCAACGAUAGAGAUUGAGUCAUAUCUUCUGAGGCGCGGUGAAGUUGUGUAUAUUGCUGCAUUGGUGGAAACCAAACCUAACAUGUACCAAGAAGUACCUAACGCCAUGGCCCACGUUCUAGAGAAGUUUACAAAUAUCAUGCCUACAAAGUUUUCGAGAUAGCUUCCUCCAUCCUGUGCCGUGGAACACAAGAUCGAGUAGGUUCCAAGAGCCCAACCACCUGCCCAAACUCCUUAUCGCAUGUCCCCGAUAAAGUUGGCUGAGAAAGAUAUAGUACGCAUGAGAAAGAAAUGACAGUUGUUGUACAUUGUCUCAAGAUAUGGAAGCACUAUCUAUUAGAAACCAAGUUUGUGGUGGUGACUAAUAACAUGGACAAUACUUACUUCAAGACACAGAGAGAGUUGACCCCGAAGCAAGCUCGUUGACAAGAGUUUCUGGCUGAAUUUGACUUUGACUGGAUUCAUAAGUUAGGAAGGGAGAAUGCAGUGGUCGACAUACUUAGUAGAAAGUAUGUCGAAGAAUACAUUGUUGUGCUUAGCACUGUUGAGACGGACUUCAGGGACAAGAUCAAGUGGGAGUCCCCGAGUGACCCAAUUUAUCAAAACUUGGUGUUCGUGAAGUCAAAGUUCGUCGUUAUUGGCUGGAGGAUGACUUACUAUUUUGCCAAUAGUGGUCAAGCAUAUGUUCCAGCAGGAGGGGGACUUAGGCGACAGUUACUACGAGAAACUCACAAUGCUUCUUGGAUUGGUCAUUCUGAAGUUGAACGAAUGCGGGCAUUAUUGUCGCGUAGCUUCUAUUGGCCAAAGAUGGAAGAGGAUAUUGAAGCAUACGUGAAAACUUAUCUUGUUUGUCAACAUGACAAGAUGAGAGGAAGAAGGAGCCAGGCUUGUUGCAGCCUUUGCCGAUCUCUGAUCGACCAUGGCAAUCAGUUUCUAUGGACUUCAUUUCGAGAUUCUCUAAGGUCGAUGGUAUGGCUUUUGUCUUUGUAAUUAUUGACAGAUUUUCUAAGUAUGCUGUGUUUGUUGGUGCACCAAAGGAGUGCUCGGUUGAUGUUGUCGUUGAGUUAUUUUUCAGACAUGUUAUGAUGUAUUUCAGAUUACCCAAAGAUAUCAUAAGUGACAGGGACAUGAGAUUCAUAGGUAGAUUUUGAACCGUGAUGUUCGGGUUGCUAGGUUUCGAACUGAAGUUCUCAACUGUCGCAUACUCUUAGACCGAUGGACAAACGGAGAGGAUCAAUAUCUUGCUAGAAGAAUACUUAAGGCAUUACGUGACGACAAGUUAGAAAAAUUGGCUGGAGUUGCUGGAUACUGCAUAGUUUUACUACAACCUGCACAAGUUAUUCGUAACUAAGUUGAGUCCAUUUGAGUUAAUGAACAGGCAACAACCUCUGACUUCACCUGAAGUUGCUCUUCAAGAGUUAGUUUGUUGAUGACACAACAACGCAUGAAGAAGUACGCAGACCAACAUAGAUCGGACUUAGAGUUCCAACUGACUCCCUAGAUUUGAAAAAAAGUAAAUAACAAGACAGUCCAUCGUGGGAUCAUCCAUGAGUACAAUAGACCAUUUGAGGUAAUCAAGAAGGUGGGUCAUAUAGCUUAUCGUUUGAAACCACUUGACAAACUCAAGAUCCACCUGACCUUCCAUGUGAGUUUUCUGAAACCCUUUUACCAAGACGAGAUGGAUGGAGGACGGAGGGAAGCAAAGUGUGCCUCGCCAGUGAUCCACAAGCAAUUCCAGAAUGAUGUGAAGGCUUUGCUGGAUUACAGAAUGAUGGGACAAAGAAAAAAGAAUAGAUGGACAAACUAUCUGAUCCAUUGGAACGGUGAAACAAAAUUAGAUGCUACUUGGGAACGAGAUGUUACCUAGUGACAGUUUCAAGAUAAGAUUGUUGAGUACUUGAAGAACGUGCGAAAGCAAACCAAGUUGACGAGGGCGUCAACCUCUUCAGGUGGGGUGGUUUAUCAGCCCCUUAGGGUGCGGUCCAAACGAAAAGUGCACGACCGUGGCAGAUUUCGGCCGAUCAUGGUCAAGUUGGAAGGCCGAAGAUAAACGGGUCGAGAAAAGUUUGGACACAUGUUUGAUGAUGUUUUUCAUGCCUAUGUAUGGGUUUGGGAAAGUUUCAGGGAUAGGAGAUGUCUCUAAGUUAGUGGGGGAAUGAGGGGUGUCUCUACUAACGGUCCGAAGUUUUUAGCCAGGAAUACUAUGUAGAGGAAUAACUGUGACUAAACCAAGUCAAGACCAAGGGCCGGGGGCCGGGGGCCAAGGGUGUGGUACGACUAGACUUUGUGGGUUAUUUCAGAUGGUUCCAAGCAUUUGGAACCGUGGUGUCUAAGUUGCUAGGUGUUGGAGCAAGUUGGGCACGAAACGUAGCAAAUGGUGGGAAGUUGGGCGCGCAAAAUCGUGCGACCGUUGCCUGUGCUUGCAAAGACGAACGUUGGGACUGUCUGACAGCUGCUAGCCGUUGUUGGAGUUGCGGAAGGUUACCAGCCAACUCAGACACGUUCUUAUCGAUUUCCUAACUCAUGUGCAUUUGGGUUGGACCAAUGGUUGGGUCUUGUCAACCGUAACAAUGCCUAUAAGUAAAUGGCUAGGCAGAGACUAAGGGCAGAUACUAAGAAACAUCCUUAGAUGUUCUGCACGCCAAGUGUUUGUAGAAUUGUCCUUGUAAUCUCUAUUGUGAAAUACAAGGUUGGCCGCUUGGCUUUAACUUGUGCGUGCUGUUCCUUUGUUUUGUCUGAGUGUUCUACGUUGAAUACUUGUGCACAAGUGUGAGUGUGAGGGCUGACUGGUAGUGCGACUUACCAGUGCCAUUACGUGCAUGUUUGGCUAGCAAGAGUAAACACCUCGUAACACGAACACUGGUCGCCCAUCUUCAACCACCAUCUAACACUUCUUUUCAAGAUCAAUUCUUGCCUAACACUCAUUUUAUUCGCUUGAGUCAUGAUUAUGGCAUCACUUUUCUUCAGUUUAAACCCUUUGACGAUACAAAAAUAAGGUCACAAUUGAAAUUCUGAUUCGAAAAUUUGAAACUUUCGGGAUUGCCUCCUGCUAUGGGCUUUUCUCAAACUCGAUCAUAUGCCCGAACAAAUUCAUCAACCAACACUCACUCUGCCCUUGGGGCACCCAAUUAACCCCUUUAAAACAAUUUUGAAGACACCCGAAACUAGGGUUGGGCAAAAAUACUUGUUAAUCCAAAAAUCUGACAUAUCCGAUUCGAUUCGAUUCAACAAAUAGGGUUCCGGUGUGUAUUAUUUGAUCGGGUCAAAAGAAAGUUGGAUAAUUACUUGUAUGCGGCGUUAGGUGGAGUCACCUGAUUAAGAAUCCGUGGGAACCCGACCCUUCCCACAUAUAUAUUUUUUAUUUUUACACACAUAUUACAAAAUAAUACUUUUGGAGCUAAAUAAGUAAUUUCAUUAAACAAAAUACAUUAUAAAUAUGAAAAAUAAAGUUUAUUUAUAAGAUUCAUUUAUAGAUGUCAUGAUUUCUUUUUUUUAAGGAAACAGUUUAAUUAAUAUAGAACAUAUAUUUGUAAAAAGGUACUAUUUAUUUGAAUUUUCAUUGAUUUUGAAUUCUUUUAAUUUUCUUUUCUCGUAUUCUCUUUGCAUGUUCAUUUUUUAUUGAGAAAAAAUCUUUAUUAAGUUUUAGAUGAAUAUUCAAAAUACAAAAUUAAAUUACUAUAAAUUAUUUUUUAAAACAAUUAAAUGAUAACCAGCGUGAUGCAAAUAUCUGUUAACUCAACCCUACUUUAAUGGAAACCCACUCAUAUACGGGAUGGUUAAAGGUCAAAAGAUAGCUGUCUUGCAAGGUACGGGUCUAGUCAGCCAAAUGAAGCAUAGAACGAGUACUACUUGACUUGUACCUACCCCUACCCAAAACAAAUCUUAAUAAUCAUAAAAUAGCAACCUGCACUUGCAAAAUCCAAUUUUCAAUUUUCUCCUCAGAAUUUAGCAUCAAAUUUUACAAAAAUUACACAAAAACAAUCCAAUCAACAAAUAAAUACUCAAGCAUUGAAUUGACAUUAUACUGUAUUUGUGCAGCACCGAAUUGACAUUAUCUGACUUGUAUGUAUGGCAAAAUAAAGGAACUAUGAAGAGGAUGGGAAGGAGGGAGAAGGAUGCUCAGAGUAAGGGAGGAGAUGAAUCGGAAAAUUUAGAUAUUUUUUCUUUUUAUUUUCUAUAUUUUCUAUUAACCGGAUUUAUAGGUAACUAGAGCUGUUAAUCGAACCGAAUAACUCGCGAGCCGAGCUCGACCCGGCUCGACAAGGGCUCGGCGCGGCUCGUUUACAGAGAGAAACAAUCCGAGCUCGAGCUCUACUCAGUAUUCGUUUAAUAUAUGCUCGGCUCGUUUAAGCUCAGUAGGCUCGAAGAGUAGGGGCAUUAACAUCAUUUUAUUGUGUAUGUGGUACUCUAACCUAAGUCAUUCUCCCGUUUGUAACCAUAAUUUUUCUUUCCUCUUUUGGUCUUACCUUCUCCCGUUCCACAGCCGUAGCCACAGUCGCACGCCCGCACCCUUCAUUUUUACCACCGUCACCGAGUCACCAUUCACCAAUUCAUCCAUCAUCUCACCUCCAUCAGGACCAUCACCUAUCCGUCCACUAUCUCACCGCCAGGCGCUAUCCCUAAUUUUUUCUUUCCUCUUUCGAUCUUUCCUUUUCCCGUUCCACAGCCGCAGCCGCACCCUUCAUUCUUACCACCGUCACUGACUCACCAAUCCAUUCAUCUCACCUCCAUCACCAAUCCGUCCACCAUCUCACUGCCAUCAUUCAAUCCACUUCUCGUGAAUCCGUGAGCAGCGCCAUACGGAGCCACCUUGAUAAAGCCAGGGGCCUCUACCAUAUCCCGAUUCCUUGCAUAAUCUGGUAACCAUUUCUUCUCAAUUUUUGCAAUUUAUUUUGGUUUUAAGAGGUUGUGUGGGUUUUGGUUAAUGGUGGAUAGCCCCGUAUCCCAUAUGGCUUCCCCGUAUCUCGUUGGCUUCCUGUGUUUUAUCCCGAAUUUCACCUGCACGGAUUGCUUAUGCAUCGCUUAGUCGAUUUUUGGUUUCAAAUAGCAUGUCUUUUACCCGUUAAAUAGCCUUUUUUUUUACCCAUUGUUCUGGAUUGUUGCAUAAGUGUCAAAUUUCGCCUGAAAUGCUCACAUAUUCUUCGAUGAGAUUACGUGUAUCACUACUGCGUUACCUUCCUUCGACACCUGAAGCUGGAGUUUGACGUUUCAUUUCGUUCAGACCAUGGAAUAGUUGCUGCGAUUAAACUUAUGUCUCUAAGAAAAUAAAGAAGGAAACAUCACUUUUUGUCUCUGUGCUCUUUGAUUUCUGCAUUUUCUAAUCCAUGUUAUAGAACUGACUGUUGAUGAUACCAAACAUUUUGUUAAAAGAAAGCCAAAGUAUUCAAUUCCCAUACAUUUAACUCUUCCUGGUUAAAAUGUAACUUCCUCUAUUGGUGUCCAUAAAUUUCCUCGAAAAAGCUUGCGAAUUGCAAAAGUUUCCACCAGUCGUCUUAAAAUGGCACUCUAAACCGUCUGCUAUGAUACUUCUGAUAAGCACAGUUAUACUGCCAGGAAGGGCAAGUAGGUAUGCAUCAUGGACCAUGAAAAUGCCAAUUUCCAGAAAUCAAUUACAGCUUUGACGAGUUGCAAACUUCUUGGACUAUGAAAAUGCCAGUUUCUAGCAAUGAAAUGAUAGCUUUCACGAUCUGCAACUUCUUAUUGAUUAAUGAAUACUGAAAAGUACGUAUCAGCCCAAUCUUGCCUCUCUUCGUAGUACCUGGAAAAGAUUUAACAGUCAACCAUAAGUGACAGAACUUUAACAGAGCUAGCCAUAUAACAAACAGUGGACAAAACUUUAACAAAGCUAGUCAUUUUCUUUUCUUUAGAAUGUGAUAUUUCUUCAUGUUUUGCACUUUUGUUUAAGCUUGACAGUGAAAACAUUUUUCAACCUAGAAAAUUCUGCAAGGCAAAACUUUCUUCAUUUUAGUUUCUUCAUUUCAGCAAAAUUAACUUUUUGUUUGGACUUCCAUUUUAAGAGUUUUUCACUGUUAUUUCAUUAAUCUGAAUGUAAGCUUGAGAAUUGAGAUAGGAACAAGUUAAAGAAAUGUUAAAACUGGCUUGAAGUGGGCAUUAUUUCUUGGAAUCUGUUUUAUUACUUUUGUACCUUAUUUCUUAGAAAUGUCAUUCUAAAUAUCUAUUUUGGCUAAUCAGAAUCUGUAUUGGUUAUUAAAUGUGUUUUGAUUAAGGAAUGUACAGCUCUCCAUUCAACUCAUUUCAAGGUUCAUCAUCAAGUCCUGUGAUGGAGCAAAAUAAUGAAGACGUGAACAAUUGAACUACAACGAAAAAAGAGCUGAUGAGAUGAGUGAAAAAGAGAUAGAAAUGAUAAAAAAUGAGGGCAAUGAAGAACGACAGCAAGAGAUGGAGAUGAAGGAGCUGGUCCUUUUGAGAAAAAACAUAGGAAGAAGAAAUCUAGCAUAUGGGAUGAAAUGACAACAAUAGUGCUAGAUAAUGGGAUGGUCAAAGUGAAAUGCAACAAUUGCAAGGAACUUUUUGUCAAGAGUGCAACCGAAGCCAUAUCUCAGCACAAGAGACACUUGAAUUCUUGCCUACAAAGAAAGAUAGCCAUUGGAAAGCAAAGCAAACAAAAGCAACAAGUGUUGUCAUUCAUCGAAGGCCAAAGUAAUGGUAUCACUUCCAUCACAAAUUUCUUGUAUGAUCAUGCCAAGGUAAGAGAGCUUGCAUCACACAUGAGUACCCCUUUUCUAUGAUAGAUCAUGUAGUUUUCAACAAAUUCAUGAAAGCGGCUUCUCCAUUUUAUAAUUGUUAAGAAAGAUUGCAUUAGUACUUAUACAAUUGAAAAAAGGAACCUGAAAUCAUUGUUGAAAGGUGCUGGUAGGAUUAGUAUUACCACAGAUUUGUGGACAUCUGGUCAAAAAAAUUCAAUAUAUGGUUGUGACUAAUCAUUUUGUUGAUUUUGAUUGGGUGCUACAAAAACGUGUGUUGAAUUUUUGCAAUGCUCCUCCUCCUCAUACUGGAGUUAUUAUAGCUGAUACUCUAAGUAAGUGCUUUAUUGAUUGGGGGAUUGAGAAUAAGGUUUCUAACAUAACUGUUGAUAAUGCUUCAUACAAUGAUGUGUGCAUUAGGAGACUUAGAGAGGAUUUUUCUCCAAAAAAGAGAUUAAGUAUUGGAGGAAAAAUUUUCAUGUUAGAUGUUGUGCACAUAUACUUAAUCUCUUAGUGCAAGAUGGUCUUGGUCAACUUGGUGGUGUGAUUGAUGUUGUUAGAGAAUGGAUAAAGUACUUGAACAAUUCUGAAUCUAGGCUUCUUGAAUUUGCCAAAAUUAAAAAACAGCUUCAAUUGCCCUCUAGAAAGCUAAUUUUGGACUGUCCAACAAGAUGGAAUAGCACCUAUUUGAUGUUAGCUUCAGGUUUAGAGUUCAAGGAUGUUUUUUCAAGAUAUGCAGACAUUGACCCCGGAUUUCACUAUGUUUUUACUGAUUUUGAGUGGAUGAAAGUGAAAGAAGUGUGCAAAUUUCUAGGAAUAUUUUAUGAAAUCACUGAUAUGAUUUCCGGGUCCGAGUAUCCAACGGCUAACAUUUUCUUGUGGAGCUCUAUAGGAUUAAAGAGCUUUUAAAUGAUAAAGCUCUUGACCCUUUUUAGCAUCUUCGGGUUAUGGCUGGAACUAAAUUUGAUAAGUAUUGGGGGGAAAGUAAUGUACUGCUAUCUUUGGGUGCAAUUUUGGAUCCGAGAUACAAAAUAUUUCUUAUUAAUCAUACUUUUCCGGUGAUUUAUGGUGAGGAUGCAGCUCCUAGAUUCGUGGCUGAAAUUAGAGACACUCUUUAUGAGCUUUACAAUGAAUAUGUUGAUUGUCACAUAGUUUCCCAUUCUGAACAAUAACAGAGGCAGGUUGUAAAAGGGAGACAAAAUGAAGGUUCUAGUUCUUCUAGUAAGAAACAGAAAAUGACUGGACCUGCCGUUUUAACUAGUAAAGAAAAGUUGCACAUGCAUGUGAGUGAAAUUAACAGGGCUCCACCACAAAAAUCAGAUUUAGAUGUUUAUUUAGAGGAAAGUAGGUAUUGUGACGCCCCCACUUCUCCUUAAGGUGAACCAAAGAGUAUCCACGGGACGCCUGCCCAACUCUUACCAGGACUCGGUACAAUUUCCGUUCAACCUUAUUACAAUACUAGCUAUCACGACAAGAUGAAGUAAAAAAGAUAAAGUCGCUUCUAUAAAUAAUAUUCAAACUUACACCACGAGUUCCAAAAUACAUCAAAUUUCCAAAAUAUACAACUGCCAAAAGUCUAGUCGAUUACAUUUGGAACCCUAAUACAAAAGUACAACAAAAGGAUUUCUCCGAGUUUCACUCCAUAUCUAUGCCUGUUAAGGAAAACAAAUCUACGGGGUGAUCAAUUGCUCGUGAGGCCAAAAAACACACAUACAAGCACGUUGUCCAAUUAACAAGAAAACGAUAAUAUUCGAGUAAUUAACAAUUCAAGCGGAAUGUAAACAGAAACAAUUCAAGGAUAUGGGAGCUCUCAGGAGCUAUUGUCCACUGGCACGAUCAAGAACCUCCACGAGUUGACACUCCGUCAAUCGGGUAGGUCAUAGUCCGUAGAAGCUUCACUUACGCGUUCCCCGUCCACCAUACAUACCGCACCGGGCCCGAACAUCAUUUACAAGGUGAUACUCCACGAGUAUGUCAAGCGAGAUCUUUCAAAUAGAUCAAACUUAUCAUGUUAUUCUCAUGACUCAUCGAGAUUCCCGACCAAACCCAUGCCGGCUCGAGUUCCAAGGUCGACCUAUGAGUUUGGACCCCCAUGUAACAUUUGUGAGUGGAAGAGAUUCACUCCAACGAUGUAUGCAGUCAUAGCAUACUAUUUCAUGUCAUUCAAGCAUUCGAUACAUUCAAUCAUUCAUUUCAUCCCAUUCAAGCCAUUCAUGAUCCAUUCAUUUCAUUUCAAUUAAUUCAAUCAUGAGUCAUUCAUUUCAAAUGAGAACGGGUGCGGUAAAAUACACACUCGACUCCAUUUUCAAAAUCUCCAAUCAUUAAUAACAGUUAAGCAUGUAUCAAGUUCCCAUACACUUGACACUCACCAAGUAAUUCAAGAAGUAAAGCACAAGCGGUUGUUUAGGCGUCUCCUGUGAGAUCCUCUUGAAGGUCCUCUUGAGUGCCUGAGUAAUAAUAAUGAACUAUUACACACUAUCAUUUAAAACCCCUACUUAUCGAGAAAGAUUGCACUCGUGUACAAUUUAAGAAGAUAUUAUGAGGAUGAGCCUUAAUUACUCGUAAAUCGAGGCUCAAAAGUGGGGUUUUAAUAAUACAAGGAAAUUCGAUUUUCAUCUUUGAAAUCAAAUGUAAAACGAUCAAGCAAUAUCGAGGGAAAAUGGUGAGUUCUAAAAACUCAAUUUUCUUUAAGUUCGGAAAUUUCAGAUUUGAUAAGCAAUUUUUGAAAAAUCGUAUCUCAUUCUCUAUAGGUCCAAAAUUGGAAAACUUGGUACCGUUGGAAACUACUUCCAAAGUACUAAAAGUUCUUAGAAGACAUUUUUCCAUGAUUCCAAAUGGAUGACAUUCAAAAUUCGGUUCAAAGUUGCUGUUUUGGGCUACCAAGACAAUUUCGGCAAAAUUCGGCAAAAUGUGAACUAGCCUCUGCAAUUUGGAAUUCAAUUAUAGUUACAAACAAAGUUUGAAACGCAAGAAACAGAACAAGAAUCGGAGUUUUGAGUGCCAAGAUAUAGCAGCUCAAAUUUGCUGAAAUUUUCUCACUAAAUAAGGAUUUUCCAGAUUUGAAACAUGAAAUUUGGGAUUUCAGUUGAGUAUCGAAAUGGACUUGGAAUGGCACCAAAUUUGGUAGUAUUACCCUACCAUAGAAGGGCUAUUCCUCUGUCAAAUUUCAUACAAAAAUUCUUAUGGAAGGUCAGUUAACAAAGCCGCUAAAGUUCCAAGAAUUUCCAAGGCAAAUCUGCCUUGUACUUCCGUUUUACUUUUUCAAGCAUUUGGCCAAUGAAAUCUUCUCAAACAUGGUUCAUUUAUAAAGACAAGAUCUAAGAAACAUCCAAAAUGUGUUUGGUAGGUGAUUAAUACCAAGAGUUCCAAAAUAAUGACUCCCAAUUCGAGUUAAGGCAUUCAACUAGCCAAGAUUAGGGUUUCCUUUCACUGACACAGGUCUGGAAUUUGGCCACAACUCACUCAAUUCAACUUGGAAUUAGACAUGAUCAGUGGCGUUGGAAACUAAAUUCAUAGGGCUAUAAUUUCUCAGAAAAAAUCAUUUUGAAAUUCUGUCCAUAACUAGUUCAUAUUCUAGCAACAAGUUGCAGCACACAACAGGUUUUCUAACACAGACGAGAAACAGGGCAGGUGACUUUGAAAGGCUGGUACGGUUCACUCAAGUGGAAUCAGGGGAUGCAUUUUAUACUGUUAGAAAACUGGAAGUAUCUAGUUUCUAAUUCCGCAAAUGGAACUCGAUUUUGAUGUCGGAGAAAGAGUUAUUGUCGUUUGAAAUUCGCUGCCAGAGCAACUCUGGACAUGUUUUCCAACCAUGAAGAAAUUUCGAAAUCCAAACAUUUACCCAACCAAAUCAAGUGAUUUUUGGUGGAAACUUUUCACACAACCUAUAAAACAUAUAUACACCGAAAUCAAGUCAAUUAGAUCACAAAAAAUUGCACCAAGAGGCGCGGCAAUGACAGGGCAGAUCUGGCCCUUCUUCCAUUUCAACUUCCUUUGAGUUUCUUUCCACUCUUUCAACUUAAAUCCACUAGAUUAACACUUAAUCAACAUAAAUAACACUCAAAAUCAUCAAAUCAGAUGAUCAAGUCCAUUGUGGGAUUUCAUAGAGCCUACUCACAUGAUUUUCAACAAUCCAAAGCUACCCACAUGAAGCUACAAGCUUCUAAGUGAAAUCUAACUUACAAAAGCUAAGAUUUAAAGGGUGGAUGAUCAUUACCUCUUAGAUGUUGCUAGAGCAGAAAUUUUGGUCCUUAGAGCUCCAAGAAAACCGUGAGAAUGAAGCUCUUCUCCUAGCUGAAGAUGAUCUCCAAGUUAUUUGCAAGGUGUGGUAUGAAUUUGAGAGGAUUUGGUGCAAGAUUGAGAGACGAAAUGGUGAAAAAACUUGGUCUUCUUCUCCUUGGUGUUGCACGGCUGCUUGAGGGAGAGAAAGAGAGAGUUGUGGCUGAUGGAAAGCUUCUCUUGGAAGCUUAAGAGUUUGUGGCCAAAAUUACUCCAAAAGUCAACUAAGAAUAGUGCAUGUACGCGCGCGUUUCGUGCUCGUUUCCUCUUGGAUUUGUUUCACUUGUGCACUAAACCUCUAAUGCACUUCCAUUCAUACUAUUAUUAUUCACUUUUAAUAGUCUAAAAAUAAAGGUCUAAAGUCCCUCAAUUAAUCGCGCGCGCGAAAACACGUACUUCCGUUUUGUGCGCGAUAGAGUAAAAUUUCUAAGAAAUUCUUACAAUGAUAUUAUAACUGACUAGUACUUGAGUACUUAAACAUAAAAAUACCUAUUUUGAAACUAAUGUAUGAGUCUUCAAUCUCCAAACUCACUGUACCCUCAAAUCGAUUAUUGUCUCCAAACGCACAUUCACUAUUCUCACUAAACGAGUUUCUAAAAAUUAAAUUUUUGCAACAAGUCAUUUUAAAUAUAUAUAUAAGUCAUAAUUCCAUGUAAUUGAGUCUAAAAAGGUUGGAAUAAAAUAUUCGGAGCAAACAGACAAUUAAAUAUUUAAAUAAGCUAGUAAUAGAAAUUUAAAAUAAGUAAAUUUGCGGGUCCUUACAGGUAUGCUUGUGAUGCAAAUGCAAAUUUGGAUGUUUUGGGUUGGUAGAAAUAGGAAAGAUUGAGAUUUCCUAUCUUGUCGAGGAUGGCUGCCGAUAUACUCUCCGUUCCUGUUACAACUGUGGCUUCAGAAUCUACCUUCAGCGCCGGAGGUAGAGUAAUUGAUGAUCGACGAGCUUCUAUGUCAAUUGAGACGGUGCAAAUAUUGCUUUGCGGCAACGAUUGGAUCCGCAGUCUUCAUGGCCUAAAGAAUAAGUCUCGCGUUAAGUAAUUGAUUAGAUGUUUUUGUUGUUGUUACAGUUUCUUUAUAUCUGAUUUUAAAGAAUUUUAUAACUUUCAUACUUUUGUUUUGUAGGAAUCACUUGAUGCGACCGAAUCAAUCACAUUUGAGGAAGUUAAACUUCCCGAAUCAUUCACAACCUGAUUUGGUGGCUGUUGAUGUUGCUUGGUGCAAACUGAUUCAUUCACAUGUUGAUUUCGUUGAAGACCUAAAGAAUAAGUCUCGCGUUAAGUAAUUGAUUAGAUGUUUUUGUUGUUGUUACAGUUUCUUUAUUUUAAAGAAUUUUAUAACUUUCAUACUUUUGUUUUGUAGGAAUCACUUGAUGCGACCGAAUCAAUCACAUUUGAGGAAGUUAAACUUUCCGAAUCAUUCACAACCUGAUUUGGUGGCUGUUGAUGUUGCUUGGUGCAAACUGAUUCAUUCACAUGUUGAUUUUGUUCAAAAGCUGCAUCGUUCACAACUUGUUUUCACCCAAGAAAGUUAUUUUUAACUCUUGGUCUAGAGUGUGGACAUUUUAGAAACUGCUUAAAACGUAUUGAUGGCUGAUCUUUAAUUGUUUGGACUCUUUUAUGUAAUUUUUCAUUUUGUAAUCUGAUCUGGUCUGCUGCCGAGUUUGGACAUUUUAUUCCUCCAUUUGAUAGUUUGAGCUGCAAUUUUAACUUCUUUUUUGCUACUCGUGCUUAUGAUGCUUCUGUUUUGCGUUGUCGAAUUGAGUGGAUGAUAUAUUAGGGAAUGUGUUGUUCUCUUUUUGUCAAACUAAAUAUGAGUGUAGAAGAAGCUGAUAUGCUAUCUUACGUAAACGACUUAUGAAGCUCGAAUUACUAAUCGAGCGAGCUCGAACUAGCUCGAUUAGAUGUUCGAGUCGAGCUCGAUUGUCGUGUGCUCGAGCUCGACUCGGCUAGUUUAACAGCUAAGGUAACAUGCAUCAAAGCAGGCUUAUUCUCUUAGUACUUUUUUUUUUUUUCUUUUUAUAAAACACAGGUGCAUUAACGCACGACAGAAGCACCCUAUCAAUCUAAGAUCCCAGCUUGCUUGUAGCUUUCGAUAGAGUCAACAAGAGUUUCUUCCACUGGCCUAUACCUCCAGCCCAGCCUCUCCAAUUUUU
rnacentral:lncRNA from 1 species